rnacentral:lncRNA from 1 species
GAGUAGAGUUUCAGAUGUGUACAUUAGCCAAUCAUACUACUACCACCACUACUAUCUAUCUAUCUACUUCAGAAUGUGUGCGUGUUCAGGUCAGUUAAGUCACAUGAAGGUGUAAGGCAACUAGGUGAACUUGGGUGGCCCUCGCCGCUCGCCGAGCAUGUGCUCAAGCAUCCGCGGGCGACGACAAGAGGCGAUCGAUUGAUCGGUCGAGUGAAAUUCUUUGGUUUAUUCGUAUGCUUUGUUGUAGUUUCGUUAUCUUCUCCUGCAAAGUUGUAGGAUUGUGUUGGGCGUCCAUGGUGAUGCUGUCGCUUGUAAUGUUGGGGGUGGCAACUUCACCUUUUCUAGCAUUUCCACAAGUUAUGGGUCUUGUAAAUUCCAAGUCUCAAUAAAGGGAACAACAAACUUGCCUUUUUGUACAGAACAAUCAUACUUGUCUUUGGUUUCCCAGCAUUUUCAUCCUCUGGGGGAAUGCACAAGCACUCCAAGGUGAGAUAAUGCAGAUACUGACUAGCUAGAAAUCAAGCGUUCUAUUUAUAACUUAGGGGGGCAACAACUUUUCUGCCAUCAAAUGCACGCCACCCGCGACCCAGAUGUGGAUGUCGAAGAAGAAAUUCAAGAUGCAUUAUGAAAAUAUAUGAUGAAAUUUCCCUAUUAAUAACAAGAUGACUAAAUCAAAGCCAGGCGCAUUCAUAUCCAAGUAGAGGGAAAUGGUUUUACAAUCUUCAUAAGAUCAGAUGUAUAACAACACAGUUCACCCUAUGAUAAAAGCACCCUGCAAAAUUCAAAUGCUUAUGCAUGAAGGAGAUGCGGAAAGGACAUGAACCUCUGAUAUUUUUUGAUGAUACUAGUUCAAUCUUCCCUGCGCUAAAACAGAGUAGGGAAGCAAAGCAGAGCAUCCUUGAUUCGUUGCAUAUGUGAACCCAACAAAGAAAACUAUUCGCUACCGCAUGGAGUGAGCCUAUGAAGAUGAGUCAUCCGUUGGUUUCACACUAAACAUCACCAUCGUCUAUAGCCCCUUUGGAUGCUAAAGAGGAGAAGUUUAGCAGGAAUAUGAAUGGACUGAGGUCCAGUUUCCUGUUAAGAAUUCAAGUGAAGAAUCUUUAUUUUUAUUUUGCAGAGAACAAUUCGUUGAAGGAUCUUAUGGAUUAUUUCUUUUUACAGUCUUGCUUAUUCUUGGACACUAACACUAAAUGGACUCAAUUACCGUCUAAUUUUACGCGGAUAUUGAAAAUUUUACCUUUUGGCCUUUUCUUUUCCAUUCCUCAAUACAUGUGCACUAUUAGGGAAAAGGCUAGCAGCAGCGCGGGUUUUAGGUGUAUCGGUAGUGCGGGUAGCGGCGCUACUAAUAAGGCGCUACAGCUAACACAUAGCAGUAGCGCGUGCUCACCGGCGCUACUGCUACACAAGUAUAGCAGCAGCGCGGUUAGCGGAAGCUCGCUACUGCUAGUAGCUCUAGCGCGCUUUCCAAUGACGCGCUACUGCUAUCGCGGCGCUGCUGCUAACUUUUAUACACUCGCUACUGCUAAUUUAAGUAAUUUUUUUUCUGGCAUAUUUGUUUUGUAUUUGAACAGGCUUUAUAGAAGAAUCUUUAGCACAUAGAAAUGUCAUCAUGAUACACAUACAAAUGCCUACGAGACCACAAAUGUAAUUGUAGCAUAUACAUACAAAUAGUCUCAUCAUAAUCAUCAUCCAACACAAAGUGGUAUCUUGUCAUCAUCUCGAAAAUAGAGAUACAUGAAAGUCUCGAAUACUUGCAACUACAACAACGUCAUCCAUCUAAACAAAGGUAUACGCAAGAAGAGCUAUCACUAUGAGUGAGAGCGGAACUAUGCAGUACAUGAGGUGGCGGUUACGAGUCCUCUCUCGCGCUAGCGUGAACCUCAAGUAACUAGCUUCUCCUUCUUGUCUGCUUUUGAAGCCUUUAUGGCUGGCGCCCAUGAACCCAUUCACUUGCGCCUGACACUCAUGCCACUCGUUGUACAUCCCCGGAACCUUCCCUUUGUACACGACAUAGCAAUUCCAUCUCGCCAUCAAGAAACUAGGUACCUGUUAGAGAUGCAUGUUCAUGAAGAGGAUGUACAAUCAUAUAUAUGCAACAAAAUAUACUAGAGCAACACCGAAAAAGAAUGGGUUAGCAACUAGAUGCAACAUACAGUACGCAAAUUAAUUAACUAGAGGUACGCAGGUCAUCGUACGCAAACUAACAAAGUAGCGUUAUGCAAGUUCGGCAGGGACCGUGGACAUCACAAAGUUUCAUCGCUACAAAAAGUAUACAAGUUCAACCGACACAUAUCAUCAUCAUCGACAUCAUAAAUCACUAGAAGUUCCAUCCUUCCAUAUCAUCGAGGAUGAACCCUAGCUUCUUGAACGCCGUGAGGUCUAGACGUUGCAUGCCUAUGCGAGUUCGGACGUCAUCUCGCGAUAUAGAGCCGUGGUGGAACAUCCCCUUCUCACGACGACUUCUUUCAUGAUGAUCGUCGCAAUGUCGCUUUGGAUGCGAAAGAAGUCAUCUUUAAGUUUAUAAUCCGCUUCUCCAUGAGAUUCUAGCCACUUGUGGAUAUGGUCAUCAUUUCUGCUUCUCAUGCGAAGCUUUUGGUGAUCCGUGUUGAACUGAAUCAUGAGAUGGACGAUGUAGAAUCCAUCCUUCUUGCUUUGUUUUGGGACAUGGAUGCAGGAGAAGUUAGUUUUAUGCGCGAAACCCAUCUUCUUGUUCAUUUGUUUCCUGAUAUGCACGUGGCCACCUCUAAAGCUGAAGCCUUGGAGAGCAUCAUCUAGAAUAUUCAUUAUGUGGGUGUAGUCUUUUAUCUCGUAGUCUCUGGAAGGGUCAAAAUACACGGCCUAGGAGACUUGCGGGUAAAGAACGAUAAGGACGGCGCGCCUGUUGCUGUAGGGAAAAGACACCUCAAAUUAUUCCCCAUAUGAGAGAGAAGGAAUGAUUGAAAUGUACGAAAGGGUUGUCCGGAACUGACUUACUUUGGAUGAUAAGGCACGAGGACAAUUUCCCGGUCCUUAUUCUGUACCAUCAAGUUUUGGAGGUACUCCCUAGCAGUUUCACGCUCAAAGUCGCCGAGACUCAAGAAAGACUCGUGCAUGUAGUACGGAUCCGCCACACAGAUUUGUGAGACUUCUUCACUCUUCAUGACGGAGCUCAUAUGUAGCGCCAAAAGGCGGACGAUUGUAAAAUCGAGCCGCCUUGUUAGAAACAUCUCAAAGAUAUGGUCAAACCGCAGGAAGAACACCUCCGCGGGCCGUGUCUCGACAUAGCACUUCCCCUCAGGCACACAAGCCACGUAUGUAGGAUAUCCUAGAUCCUUUGAGGCUAGUAGGCUUUUCUCAGUCGAAAGCACAUGGUCGUGCAGUCUCCUGAGAUCCCCUGAUAGUGCCUCUAGCGGUUUCGGCGGUAGCAUCGGCUCGCCCGUGAGACGGAACAUGACCGGACCUUUCACAGGUAAACGCUCUUCAGAAUGUAUCGUCUGGCUGCUCUGUGCUCUGGCUUGUUUGGAGGCAGUUAUCUUCCCCUAUCUCUUCCUCUCCUUUUUCUGGGGCACACCUUCCAGACCAUUCCUUAACCCCUGCCCCAGUGUUCCCGGGCUAAGUACUGUACGACCCUCGUGCCCGGCUAGUUGAGCCUGUGUUGAGGCGGCAUCUUCAGGCGUGUCCUGUGAGGAUUUCAUGAAGAGAGACUUUUUGAAUCCCUGAUACGACCCUGCCUGGGCAUAUCAUCCAUAUCCUCAUUAGCAAGCUGAUAGCCCGAUUCGUCAUAUGGUUGACUCAUCAUAUCUAUGUCACAGUCAUACGCGUUUGUAUUGAUGUAAUCCAUAGGGUCGACCUCCUUCUCAUCAUCCAUUCUCUGUUCUACAGGAGAAAUUACAUCAGCCAGUACUAUUGCACCCCCUUCAUCAUGUCGUCCGCCGCUCUCACCCGGCACUACAGGAGCUGGUAAUUGCAUAGGCGGGGUGGUGGUCUCCGCACAUGCUUGUUGAUGUGUGGUUAUUGGUGCGCUCUCGGCCGGCUCCAGACGAAUAAGAUUCUUCGGCCAUAGCAGCACCCAACCCUUGCAGCUUCCAAUCCACGGCGGGGUCUCGUCGUCCGCUCCCACAGGCUGUACUGGAGGAGGCAAAUCCUCGUGCCCCGAUUUCACACUGGUCAAGCUAACCCUGAAGUGCCCAACGGGGAUCGGCUGGUUUUGGAACGUGGGUUGCGAGCGGUCCAUUAUCAUUCCCUUUCCCACGUCCACCUUCUGGCCUUUGAUCAAGUAGAGUAUGGUGCACAGGGUUUCUUUCUCCUGCAAACACAUAUGUCUGUGGUGUAAAACAACCGAAAGGCAACAAAAAUGGAAUAUUAUAUAUAUAUAUAUAUAUGUUGGUGCGACAUGUAAUUACCGUGACGGCGUCGAGCUCAGCCAAAGACAAAGGCCCACCUAGCACGCUUGAGACUGAGGACGGCCUGCUAUGAGAGGGAGCGGCUGCGAGAGGAGGCCCUGUUGCGUGAGCAAGUGAUGGUGCGAUGGUAUUGUUGUUCAUGGAGUUUCUCCCGACGAAACUAGGCAACGGGAAAUCAUGUACCGUCUUGUCUGGAUUUUCCGUCGUCCAGUUGAUGAUAACUGGAACCAAGUUAGUAGCGAAAUCAUUUCUGUAGGCAGUUAUAGCUGGAUUGACUGCCUCAUGUAGCAACUCAUAUUUGUCCUCGGCUGCUUUUUUCGCGUCCUCAGCUGCUUUUUUCUCAACCGCAAGCUUCACCUUCGCAUCGAUGUCCGUCUGACUAAACUUAUUUUUCUGCUUCUUGACCUCCGGGCCCUCGUUGUAAAGCACCUUCCAUGUGGCGCCGUCUCCAGCGCCGUGCACACGACCAUAUUGCGGCCGCUGGCCCAAAGGGAGUCCCUUAAGUUCGUUCAAGGCCCGGUUGAGAGGGGUGUCCCACUUGGGCCUCAUCGGAGAAGUAGGGCUUUCGGCUGCAAGCCGGUGUUGCUUCUCCAAUAGUCUAAUCAAUUUCCUCGUGAUCUUGUCCGUGUAAAAAACCUUUUUCUCCUUGUCCCACUUGUAGCGGGCCCUGAUGAAGUCACGCUCCAAGGGGUUGGUGAACUUCGCGAAGGGGUCUGGGAGACCCGCGGCUUCACGUUCCGCGUCCUCCUUAUCCCAUAUGGGCCUUUUACCGAGGUAGCCACGGCUUCCGAGGCGAUGCUUCCCCGUGUUGCUUUGCUGAAGGCUCUUGAAUUUCGCAGCCUUAGCCUUGGCUGCCUCGGUAGCGCAAGUGUCCUUGAACUUUUCGAACUCCUCUUCCAUAAGUGUCGGAUUUUCCAGAAGAAUCUUGGACAAGGGUUCAUCAGCCUCAAUAGCUCGUUUCACCCUCCCUUUCCAGGAGGCCAAAUCAUUGUUGAACAUGCCCAUGGCGUCAUUGUUAAUCUUUUUCAUCUUCAGAUCAUCCCACGGUUGUUCUAUGUUAUCAUCCCGGUCGGGGAACUUGAAUCUCUUAUGCAACUUCGUUAGGAGCAACUGCGUCAAAUGUUCUUUACUCCUUAAUUCAUCGUUGUUGAUGCUCGCGCAUUCCCGUAGGAUGCGUCCUACUUGGUUCCCAUAGCACUUGCGAGGUUAUUCCGUCUCUAACGGCUCCAACUUGCCAAGUGCCAUCUUUGUGAUCACAAGUCGUCCAAUCCCUAGUUUGUUAGGUCUUCGUAUCCUCUGCUUCUUAUGCUUCCUCUUUUCGGUAGCGGCAUCGGGGCUGGUACCUUCCCCGCUGGUAUCUUCCCCGCCGGUACCUUCCCUGCCGGUACCUUCCCCACCGGUCUCGGUGCCGGCGCCGUCGGUGUCAAUGUCGGUGUCAGUACCAUCAUCAAGGCCGACCUGCAAACCUUGCUUAGCAGUCAUAUAGUCGAGGUACUCUUGUUCACCCUCAUAAUCCAUCUCGUCUGCAUCUUGGUCAGAAGGCCCAGUUUCUUCGUUGUUCGACAUGUUUCCUAUGAUUAAGUAUCCUCAUUUAUUUCUAAAAGUAUGAAUAAAUGAGAAAUGACAUAAAAAGAAAUCUAUGUGCCAGCACUCGAUAUGCCAACUAUGUAGCACAAAUCAUGCCUUUAUUCACGGGAAAUUUCGGCAUGACCUUUGCUAAAAAAUGGACAUAUCGAGCGCCUGAAAUUCACCGGAACGGAAAUGAAUCAACAUUCCGGCGUAACAUAGGCCACUCAGAUCAUUUUCCAAACAUGACAUAUCCACAUAUCACAUGUCCAGUUCAAAUUUGCAUAUAAAUUCAGCUAAUUUUGAAACCUAGCUAAAUUCAUAACUAAAUAGAUAACCUAAUUAACAUACUGCCCAACUAAAACCUAUGUAAAUUAACCGAAGAACCCUGGCAGAGAGAGAGAGUGGGAGGGGAGGUUUACAGAGGGUGCAGGGGCUAGGAGGCAGGCCCGACGAUGGCCGAGGUUGGGAGGGGAGGAAGCAGAGGAGGGAGGCGAGGGCCGACGGGUCGGGGGCGAGCGCGCCGGAGUCGGGGGCGAGUGCCUGGGUCGGGGGAGAGCGCCGGNNNNNNNNNNNNNNNNNNNNNNNNNNNNNNNNNNNNNNNNNNNNNNNNNNNNNNNNNNNNNNNNNNNNNNNNNNNNNNNNNNNNNNNNNNNNNNNNNNNNNNNNNNNNNNNNNNNNNNNNNNNNNNNNNNNNNNNNNNNNNNNNNNNNNNNNNNNNNNNNNNNNNNNNNNNNNNNNNNNNNNNNNNNNNNNNNNNNNNNNNNNNNNNNNNNNNNNNNNNNNNNNNNNNNNNNNNNNNNNNNNNNNNNNNNNNNNNNNNNNNNNNNNNNNNNNNNNNNNNNNNNNNNNNNNNNNNNNNNNNNNNNNNNNNNNNNNNNNNNNNNNNNNNNNNNNNNNNNNNNNNNNNNNNNNNNNNNNNNNNNNNGGUCGGGGGCGAGGGCGGGGUCGGGGGCGAGCGCCGGCGCCGGGUUCGGGGGCGAGCGACGGGGGGAAGAGAGAGUGGGGAUUUGGGGGGAAAAGGCGGGACAAAGCAGGGAUAGUGAGAAUUUUGGGUUAAGUAGACGUAGCAGUAGCGCGUUUGGCCAAAACGCGCUACUACUACCUUCAGUAGCUGCAGCGGUUUAUAUGAAAAGCGCUGCUACUACCUUCAGUAGCUGUAGCAGUUUAUACGAAAUGCGCUACUACUACCUUCAGUAGCUGCUACUACUUCCAGUUUCCCUUUUUCUUUUCCUUUAUUUUCUCCCACUUUUAUUUCCAGAGAGCAGUGAACGAAGGGAGGGCGAUAUAUAUUGCAUCAUCUGAUGGUUAAAUAUGUAUGCAAAAUAGGAACAUAUAUAUUACAUCAUUGGACCCAUGCAUAAUAAUGGCUAAGUGUGUAUACAAAAUAGGAACAUAUAUAUAUAUAUAUAUUACAUCAUUUGACCGAUAACAUAUGGUUCCUCAGCGCUGAUGUUUUCGUUUUUGAGUCAGCUUCUUUCCCUUCUUGUUCGUCGAAGAAUAAUUGAGCCCCUCAUUGUGACUUUGCCUUUUCCAUGGAGUACGAUUUUUCUUAGGUAAUGUAGUAUUGAUUCUUCUUUUGACGUAUACUUCAUCAUCAUCGUCAUCUUCCCUCAUUGGGUUGCCGUACUGAUCAUAGUCUUCCUCGUUGGUGACUCCAUCCAUUCCAAUGAUGUUCCUUUUGCCUCUCCUCAAGACAACACGACUGGGAUUGCAUGGGUCGGUUAUGAAGAAGCAUUGUGUCACGUGCUUAGCGUGUACCCAUGGCUUGUUAUUUGCGAUAGCGUUCACGGUAGCGCUCUUGGCGUCGGGUAUACUCAUGGUAGUGAAAAUCCGGUUUUAUCUUUCGACAUUCUUUGCCCAUCUGACACGGAACAUCGUUGUGUUGUGCAGUCCAGAGUAGUCAAGCUCCCAGAUCUCCUUGACCCUUCCAUAAAAUUGUUCAGUUGCGCCGUUGUCGCUGCCGGUCAUGCAUUCCAUCGUCACCCCUGAGUUCUGAUCAUCACUAUCCAUAUCUUUGGCCUCUGUGUAGAACGUGUAUCCGUUGAUAUCAUAUGCCUGAUAGGUUACGAGGUUGGGCAAAGGGCCAUGUGCUAAGGCGUAUAUGAGCAAUCCGUCCAUAGAGCCCUCCUCCGGGGGAUUAGCAAUAAUAUGCUCUUUGAACCAAUGCAGGAAAGUGGAGUUGUGCUCUCUAGUAACUUCGACGUUCAUCCUGCAUACCCCCCGGUCACGAUACUUCUUUGCGAUAAUUUCUUUGUGCAGUGCCACAAAAGGAUCUACCUCGUCUAGGUGUUGUAGCACUACCAAUUUUGCUCUGUCAAAGUCGCUGCGUCGAUCUGAGUAUGCCACGUGCAGUUCCCUGCGACCAUUGCAGUGACCAUCUCCUUCGAGCCUCCCAUCGUGCUUGUUAACGGGCAAACCAAUACUAACACCAGGCGGCUGGUCUGCGCCAUAUAGAAAAUUCUCACAGAAAGAGAUGCACUCUUUUGUCAAAUAGCCCUGGACAAUGCUUCCAUCCGGACGGGACGUGUUACGAACGAAUCCUUUGAUGAUCCCAUUCAUCCUCUCAAACGGCAUCAUGUUGUGCAGGAAUGACUGCCCCAGGUCUAUUAUGUCAUCCACAAUAUGGACACACAGAUGCACCAUCACGUCAAAGAACGCGGGCGGGAAGUACAUCUCAAGCUCAUUCAGUAUCACAACGAUCUCUUCCUGUAGCCUUCGGAGCUGCUUCAAACUAAUCAACUUUCGAGAGAUGAUGUCGAAAAAGUUACAGAGACCAAUAAGCGUGUCACGGACGUGCUUGUCCAUUAUCCCUCUAAGGGCAACAGGUAGUAUCUGCGUCAUCAUCACAUGACAGUCAUGAGACUUCAUCCCGCUAAACCUUUUCUUGUCUGUGUCUAGAUAUCUGCUUAUCUUACCACAGUAACCGGAACUAACUUUGACUCCGGUAAGGCACUUAAAGAAGGCAUUGAUCUCAGCCUGACUUAAGGUGAAGCAAGAAGGGGGGCAAUAAUCCUCUUUCUUUCUUUUCUUGCCCUUCUUCUCCCGUGCCUCUGUCUCCGUCUCUGUCUCGUCUGACAUUUUACGGGGCGGCAUGUGUAGAUCUUCCCUGAUUUUCAAAUCUUGCAAGUGUUUUCUUGCCUUCGGCCCAUCCUUGGUCUUAUCCGGCAUGUUCAUCAGUGUUGCAAGCAAGCUCUCAAGGACAUUCUUACAGAUAUGCAUUUGAUCAAGGCAAUGAGGUGUAUUGAGUUUGUGCCAAUACUCCAAGUCCCAGAACACAGACCUCGUCUUCCAUACCUUCAGCAGCGGGUCCGGCGCCUUUCUCAUCGUCUUUCCCGGCGCGGGGCACUCCUUCCAAUUUUUCAAUAGCUCAUCGAUUUCGGCACCGCUCCGCUUACGUGGAGGUCCUCGAUGCUCAGCGUGACCAUUGAAUAGAUCUCCACGGUUUCUCCACGGGUCAUCCUGUUCAAGCCAUCUUCGAUGCCCCAUGUACAUGAUUUUCCCAGACCUGCCAUCUUUCCUUGACGUUAGCUGCUGAGACGUCUUAUCAUCCAUGCACCGUGUGCAUCUGCAAUAUCCAUGGCACACCUGGCCUGCCACAUAUCCGUAACCAAGAUAGUCCUGCACUGUCAUGAUCAGCGCGGCUCUCAUGUUGAAAUACCCGCCUUUGCUGGCGUCCCAUGUCUUGGCCGGUGUUUUCCAUAACGUGUCUAACUCCUCUUGAAGUAGCCCCAGAUACAAAUUAAUAUUAUUUCCUGGUUGUUUCGGCCCUUGAAUAAGCAUGCUCAUGUGAAUGUACUUCGAUUUCAUGCACAACUAGGGGGGGAGGUUGUACAUCCAUACAAACACGGGCCAUGUGCUAUGGUUGGUGUUCUGGUUGCCAAACGGAUUCAUGCCAUCGGUACACGCGCCGAGCACGAUGUUCCUUGCAUCACAUUCAAAAUACCGAUAGAAGCUGUUCAACGCUCUCCACUGGCUUCCAUCCUUCACGUGUCUCAGCUUCGGAUCAUCUCCAUCGUCGGGCUUCUUCCUCUCGGCGUGCCAGCGCAUUAGCUUUGCUUCCUUGGGAUCUACAAAAUACCUCUGGAGACGGGGAGUGAUCGGUAAGUACCAUACAACUUUCUGGGGACAUUUCUUCCCGGCCUUCUUGUAUCGAGAAGCAUUGCGCACCGGAUAGCUUGUUUUUUCCGCGUGCUCCUUCCGAUAAAUUAUGCAAUCGUUGAUGCAUGCAUGGUAUCUAACGUGUGGCAGAUCAAGAGGGCACACGAUCUUCUUGGCCUCAUCAACACUAGUGGGACAUAGAUUACCCGCGGGAAGAACAUCUUUUAGGUACUUGAGAUGCUCAUCGAGGCUAGUGUCGGUCCAUUUGUUUUUUGCCUUCGUCUUCAGGAGUUGGAGCGUGAAACUCAAGCGGGUCACCUCAGGAUUGCAACCAUCAUACAAUGGAGUGUUCGAGUCUACCACCAGUUGCUCCAGCUUAGCCUCCUCUCUAGAAGCAGCUCUGUCAGUACUCGUCUCCUUGCGAAGCAAUGCUUGAACAUGAGGGUCCCGCACGAUUGAACUUAGUACCGACGAACUCUGCUGCGUGGAGUCCAUGUCAUUCUUUCCGCCGCCAUGUCUGGCCCCUUCUCCUCCGCCAUGUCCGGCCCCUUCUCCACCGCCAUGUCUGGCCUCUUUCCCGCCGCCAUUAUCGACCAUCUCUUCGUCUUGCCCCGUGUCAUCAUUGCCUGCCCCGUCGGCAUCCUCAACAUCGUCAUCCUCAUCUUCAGUUAUCCACCGAGUAUAGCCAUCCAUGAAACCAGUCAUGAGCAGGUGCGCUUCGACACGACCAUCGUCAUAGGGGUCGAGCCAAACUAUUCCUUUGCAUUUUCGACACGGACAUAAAACCUCUGUCUGUUUAUUUUCUUUCAUGUCCUGCACCGCCGACCGCAACCACCUGUCUACCAUCGUUCCACUGACCAUCGUCAACUCUGCACGGUAAUAAUAAAAAAAUUGAUUAUAAAAAUGCGUGCAUGCAUCAAAGUCAUACAAAAAUUCGGCAUGACCUUCCCUAAAAAUAGGACAUAUAUGGAUCUAGAGUUUGCCCGGAAUUCGCCGAAACGGAAAUAAAUUGACAUUUCGGCAAAACUUAGGCAACUCAAAAGCACAAUUUGGCGUCAACUCAUGCCACACACACAAUUUCCACAAACAUAUCACACACACAUAAACAUAUUUCCAUUUUGCAAAAGCAUGAAAUUUUCAUCACCUAUCUCGAGAUCGAGCACACGGUGGAGAUGAUGUUGAGGGAGAUCAAAAGUGCACAAAGCUCUUCUUGAUAAACAUAAAUCUAGUUAGGGGGCAAAUAGGUCACUUAACUAAAUCCUACAUCUACCUAGCUACCUAAUUUGGGAGGAGACAACUUCAACUAGUGGAGGGGAAGGAAAAAGACAAAGGAGAUGCAUUAAUGGAGGUGGUGUAGUUAGGUAGGAGUAAUGAAGAGAGAGAAAGGUAGAUAGAAGAGAGAGAGUAAUGGGGGAGAAGUAUUGAGGAAGAAGAAGAGUGAGAGUGGGAGCAUGUGGGAGGUAGGGGAAAGGGAAGAGAGGAGGGGGAGGGGGGGAUACGGUGGGGAAAAGGUGGUGGGUUGGUGCGGAUUAGCAGUAGCGCGGGACGUAAAACGCGCUGAUGAUAAGGAAGUAGUAGCAGCGUGCUUUCGUCAGAAGCGCUACUGCUAACCGGGACAGAAAGUGUGUCCAAUUUGAAAAUUAGCAGCAGCGAGCUCAGAAAAACCGCGCUACUACUACAGCUUUAGCAGUAGCGCGGCUAUCGAUACCACACUGCUACUAAAUGGAGAUGAGGAGACACUGUUAGUCGAUAUUUGUAGCAGCGCGUGUUACACAGAGCGCGCUACUGCUAAACACUUGUCAGUAGCGCGGUUUACUCACACGCGCUACUGCUAAUUAGCAGCAGCGCUCCUUUUUGAGCAGCGCUGCUGCUAAGAUUCUGUGUAUAGGGUUUUCCCUAGUAGUGGUGUUAUGACAUUAUUUAUUUUAUUUAAAUAUAUUUUUUCUUAUCCAGUUGGAAUUUUUUUACACGUUGUGCAUCAAUGUAGUUUGUUGUGUAAUUGGACUAUGAGUAGGCGUUAAGGGUCAUGUUUGCGUCCUUAACAGUUGAACUUGGUGUCUGACGCAUUUCUGAUGCCUAAAUAAUUCCUUUCAUUGUUACCUUGCUCCAUGGUGUCCUUUUUAUCUCUCGUUGGAAAAUGCUUUUGUGGUCUAUAGUGGUUGUGGGACUUUAGGUCAACUCCAUCACGCAUCACCACUAAAUGUCUGAUCGGACGUCCCAAACAUUCUUAUUGCCAUUCAAUGACAGUCAUCAAAAUUGUCCAGACUGGUCCUAAUGUUUGCAUGUUCAGAAAAAUUUAGGGUUAAUUUGCAUCCGCGUAGCAUCUAGUCUGAAAAGAACUAUUUAAAGUAGAUCGGAAAUCAUUUGCUCUGAUCAAUCUAAUCAAUUUUUUCUUACACUUAGCAAAAUUAAACACAUAGCAAUGGACUAAAUUUGAAUAUAUGAUAAGUUUAUUAUACAACCAUAAUUUUUAAAAUUGGACAUAUAUUUUUCUAAUUAUAAAACAUCAUUGGAAGUAAAGUGAUUUUUAAAAAUAAUUUUUCUUUGACAUUCAUGGCGGCUUAAAAACCUAUGCUUAAAUAAAGUUUUCCCAGUUUCAUAUAAAUAAUAGUCAUUUAUAUGUCACCAUGGAUCCAUUUUAGUGUGUUUGUGUGUGUGUGUGUGUGUGUGUGGUGUGUGUGUGUGUGUGUGUGUGUGUGUGUGUGUGUUCACACUUUUAAAUACUCUUAAAUUUCUAACUGAUAAAUUAGCAGAGGUUUCUAGAGUGCAUGAGUAUAUAUGUUAUGUCUACAUGCACAAGGAGUUCUAGAGUGUAUAUAGCACCUCAAGCAGAAUUCCCAAAACACAUCAACCUUCUAAAAAACUGCUAUUAUAAAGAACAUAGGGACAAUUCCACUCCAGCAUAUUGUGUAUAAUGGCAUGUGUACUUAUACGAACUUUAGAGGGCACUCGGUGAGUACAUUUUGGCUCCCGUGUCCAUCGAGUACAUAUCAGGUACCCCCUAGUACUCCGGUAUAUAUCCGAUAACCCCUGAAACCAUUCCGGUGUCCGAAUAUAGUCGUCCAAUAUAUCAAUCUUCAUGUCUCGACCAUUUUGAGACUCCUCGUCAUGUCCGUGAUCACAUCCGGGACUCCGAACUAUCUUCGGUACAUCAAAACCUAUAAACUCAUAAUAUAACCGUCAUCUAACUUUAAGCGUGCGGACCCUACGUGUUCGAGAACUAUGUAGACAUGACCGAGACACGUCUCUGGUAUAGAGGAACCUGGAUUCUCAUAUUGGCUCCCACAUAUUCUACGAAGAUCUUUAUCGGUCAAACCGCAUAACAACAUACGUUGUUCCCUUUGUCAUCGGUAUGUUACUUGCCCGAGAUUCGAUCAUCGGUAUCUCAAUACCUAGUUCAAUCUCGUUACCGGCAAGUCUCUUUACUCGUUAUGUAAUGCAUCAUCCCAUAAAUAACUCAUUAGCUACAUUGCUUGCAAGGCUUAUAGUGAUGUGCAUUACCGAGAGGGCCCAGAGAUACCUCUCCGACAGUCGGAGUGACAAAUCCUAAUCUCGAAAUAUGUCAACUCAACAAGUACCUUCGGAGACACCUGUAGAGCACCUUUAUAAUCACCCAGUUACAUUGUGGCGUUUGGUAGCACACAAAGUUUUCCUCCGGUAAACGCGAGUUACAUAAUCUCAUAGUCAUAGGAACAUGUAUAAGUCAUGAAGAAAGCAAUAGCAACAUACUAAAUGAUCAAGUGCUAAGCUAACGGAAUGGGUCAAGUCAAUCACAUCAUUCUCCUAAUGAUGUGAUCCUGUUAAUCAAAUGACAACUCAUGUCUAUGGUUAGGAAACUUAACUAUCUUUGAUUCACGAGCUAGUCAAGUAGAGGCAUACUAGUGACACUCUGUUUGUCUAUGUAUUCACACAUGUAUUAUGUUUCCGGUUAAUACAAUUCUAGCAUGAAUAAUAAACAUUUAUCAUGAUAUAAGCAAAUAAAUAAUAACUUUAUUAUUGCCUCUAGGUCAUAUUUCCUUCAGUCUCCUACUUGCACUAGAGUCAAUAAUCUAGUUCACAUCGCCAUGUGAUUCAACACUAAUAUUCACAUCUGUAUGUGAUUAAUACCCAUAGUUCACAUCGUCAUGUAAUCAACACCUCAAGGGUUUACUAGAGUCAAUAAUCUAGUUCACAUCGCUAUGUGAUUAACACCCAAAGAGUACUAAGGUAUGAUCACGUUUUUCUCGUGAGAGAAGUUUAGUCAACGGGUCUGUCACAUUCAGAGCCGUAUGUUUUUUGCAAAUAUUCUAUGUCUACAAUGCUCUGCACGGAGCUACUCUAGCUAAUUGCUCCCACUUUCAAUAUGUAUCCAGAUUAAGACUUAGAGUCAUCUGGAUCAGUGCCAAAACUUGUAUCGACGUAACCCUUUACGAUGAACCUUUUGUCACCUCCAUAAUCGAGAAACAUAUCCUUAUUCCACUAAGGAUAAUUUUGACCAAUGUCCAGUGAUCUAAUCCUAGAUCACUAUUGUACUCCCUUGCCAAACCGGGGCAGAGUAUACAAUAGGUCUGGUCCAUAGCAUGGCAUACUUUUAUAGAACCUAUGACUGAUGCAUAGGGAAUGACUUUCAUUCUCUUUCUAUUUCCUACCGUGGUCGGGAUUUGAGUCUUUCUCAAUUUCAUACCAUUGCAACACAGGCAAGAACUCUUUCUUUGAUUGAUCCAUUUUGAACUACUUCAAAAUCUUGUCAAGGUAUGUUCUCAUUGAAAAUCUUAUCAAGCGUCUUGAUCUAUCUCAAUAGAUCUUGAUGCUCAAUAUGUAAGUAGCUUUACUAAGGUCUUUCUUUUAAAGAACUCCUUUCAAACACUUCUUUAUGCUUUCCAGAAAAAUUCUACAUCAUUUCUGAUCAACAAUAUGUCACUCACAUAUACUUAUCAGAAAGGUUGUAGUGCUCCCACUCACUUUAUUGUAAAUACAGGCUUCACUUCAAGUCUGUAUAAAACUAUAUGCUUUGAUCAACUUAUCAAAGCGUAUAUUCCAACUCCGAGAUGCUUGCACCAGUCCAUAGAUGGAUCGCUGGAGGUUGCACAAUUUGUUAGAACCUUUAGGAUUGACAAAACCUUCUGGUUGCAUCAUAUACAACUCUUCUUUAAAAAAUCUAUUAAGGAAUACAGUUUUUGACAUCCGUUUGCCAGAUUUCAUAUAAUGUGGCAAUUGCUAACAUGAUUCGGACAGACUUAAGCAUCGAUACGAGUGAGAAAAUCUCAUCGUAUUCAACACCUUGAACUUUGUCAAAAACCUUUUUCGACAAGUCUAUCUUUGUAGAUAGUAACACUACUAUCAAUGUCCGUCUUCCUCUUUGAAGAUCCAUUUAUUUUCUAUGGCUUUCCGAUCAUCGGGCAAGUCCACCAAAGUCCACACUUUGUUCUCAUACAUGGAUCUCAUCUCAGAUUUCAUGGAUUCAAGCCAUUUCGCGGAAUCUGGGCUCAUCAUCGCUUCCUCAUAGUUCAUAGGUUUAUCAUGGUCUAGUAACAUGACUUCCAGUACAGAUUACCACACCACUAUGGUGCGGAUCUUACUCUGGAAGACCUAUGAGGUUCGGUAGUAACUUGAUCUGAAGCUUCAUGAUCAUCAUCAUUAGCUUCCUCACUAAUUGGUGUAGGAAUCACAGGAACUGAUUUAUGUGAUGUACUACUUUCCAAUAAGGUAGCAGGUACAGUUACCUCAUCUAGUUCUACUUUCCUCCCACUCACUUCUUUUGAGAGAAACUCCUUCUCUAGAAAGGAUCCAUUCUUAGCAACAAAGAUUUUGCCUUCGGAUCUGUGAUAGAAGGUGUACCCAACAGUUUCCUUUGGGUAUUCUAUGAAGACGCACUUCUCCGAUAUGGGUUCGAGCUUAUCAGGUUGAAUUUUUUUCACAUAAGCAUCGUAGCCCCAAACUUUAAGAAACGACAACUUUGGUUUCUUGCCAAACCACAGUUCAUAAGGCGUUGUCUCAACGGAUUUCAAUGGUGCCCUAUUUAACGUGAAUGCAGCUGUCUCUAAUGCAUAUCCCCAAAACGAUAGUGGUAAACUGAUAAGAGACAUCAUAGAUUGCACAAUAUCCAAUAAAGUGCGGUUACUAUGUUAGGACACACCAUAACGCUAUAGUGUUCCAGGUGGUGUGAACUGUGAAACUAUUCCACAUUGUUUUAUAUGAAGGCCAAACUCGUAAAUCAAAUAUUCUCCUCCACGAUCAGAUCGUAAAAACUUUAUUUUCUUGUUACGAUGAUUCUCCACUUCACUAUGAAAUUUCUUUGAACUUCUCAAAUGUUUCAGACUUGUGUUUCAUUAAGUAGAUAUACUCAUAUCUGCUCAAAUCAUCUUGUGAAGGUCAGAAAAUAACGAUACCCGCCACGAGCAUCAACACUCAUUGGACCGCAUACAUCGGUAUGUAUUAUUUCCAACAAGUCAGUAGCUCGUUCCAUUGUUCCGGAGAACGGAGUUUUAGUCAUCUUGCCCAUAAGGCACGGUUCGCAAGCAUCAAAUGAUUCAUAAUCAAGUGAUUCCAAAAGUCCAUCAGCAUGGAGUUUCUUCAUGCGCUUUACACCGAUAUGACCCAAACGGCAGUGCCACAAAUAUGUUGCACUAUCAUUAUCAACUUCACAUCUUUUGGCAUCGAUAUUAUGCAUAUGUGUAUCACUAUGAUCAAGAUUCAAUAAACCAUCAACAUUGGGUGUAUGACCAUAGAAGGUUUUAUUCAUGUCAACAGAAUAACAAUUUAUUAUCUGUCUUAGAUGAAUAAUCAUAUCGCAAUGAACAUGAUCUAAUCAUAUUUAUGCUCAAUGCAAACACCAAAUAACAUUUAUUUAGGUUCAACACUAAUCUCGAAAAUAUAGGGAGUGUACGAUGAUGAUCAAAUCAAUCUUGGAACCACUUCCAACACACAUCGUUACUUCUCCCUUAACUAGUCUCUGUUUAUUCUGUAGCUCCUGUUUCGAGUUACUAAUCUUAGCAACCGAACAAGUAUUAAAUACUUAGGGGCUACUAUAAACACUAGUAAGGUACACAUCAAUAACCUGUAUAUCAAAUAUACCCUUGUUCACUUUGCCAUCCUUCUUAUCCACCAAAUAUUCAGGGCAUUUCCGCUUCCAGUGACCAUUUCCUUUGCAGUAGAAGCACUUAGUUUCAGGCUUUGGUCCAGUUUUUGGGCUUCUUCAUGGGAGUGACAACUUGCUUGUCAUUCUGCUUGAAGUUCCCUUUCUUUCCCUUUGCCCUUUUCUUGAAACUAGUGGUCAUGUCAAUCAUCAACACUUGAUGCUCUUUCUUGGUUUCUACCUUCGUUGAUUUCAGCAUCACGAAGAGCUCAAGAGUCGUUUUUGUCAUCCUUUGCAUACUAUAGUUCAUCACGAAGUUCCAGUAACUUGGUGAUGGUGACUAGAGAACCCUGUCAAUCACUAUAUUAUCUGGAAGAUUAGCUCUCACUUGAUUCAAGCGAUUAUAGUACUUAGACAAUCUAAGCACUUGCUCACUAGUUGAGCAAUUCUCCUCCACCUUUUAGGCGAAGUAUUUGUCACAGGUCUCAUACCUCUUGACACGGGCAGGAGUUUGAAAUACCAAUUUCAUCUCAUGGAACAUCUCAUAUGUUCCGUGACGUUUCAAAAAUGUUUUUGUAGUCCUGGUUCUAAGUCAUAAAGCAUGGUGCACAAAACUAUCAAGUAGUCAUCAUAUUGAGCUAGCCAAACGUUCAUAACGUCUGCAUAUGCUCCUGCAAUAGGUCCGUCACCUAGCGGUGCAUCAAGGACAUAAUUCUUCUGUGCAGCAAUGAGGAUAAACCUCAGAUCACGGACCAAGUCUGCAUCAUUGCUACUAACAUCUUUUAACUUAGUUUCUCUAGGAACACAUAAAAACAUAGGGAAGCAAUAACGCGAGCUAUUGAUCUACAACAUAAUUUGCAAAAUACUACCAUGACUAAGUUCAUCAUAAAUUAAAGUUCAAUUAAUCAUAUUACUUAAGAACUCCCACUUAGAUAGACAUCUCUCUAAUCAUCUAAGUGAUCACGUGAUCCAAAUCAACUAAACCAUAACCGAUCAUCACGUGAAAUGGAGUAGUUUUCAAUGGUGAACAUCACUAUGUUGAUCAUAUCUACUAUAUGAUUCACGCUCGACCUUUUGGUCUUUGUGUUCUAAGCCCAUUUCUGCAUAUUCUAGGCUCGUCAAGUUUAACCUGAGUAUUCUGCAUGUGCAAAACUGGCUUGCACCCGUUGUAGAUGGACGUAGAGCUUAUCACACCCGAUCAUCACGUGGUGUCUGGGCACGACGAACUUUGCCAAUGGUGCAUACUCAGGGAGAACACUUUUAUCUUGAAAUUUAGUGAGAGAUCAUCUUAUAGUGCUACCGUCAAUCAAAGCAAGAUAAGAUGCAUAAAGGAUAAACAUCGCAUGCAAUCAAUAUAAGUGAUAUGAUAUGGCCAUCAUCAUCUUGUGCUUGUGAUCUCCAUCUCUGAAGCACCGUCAUGAUCACCAUCUUCACCGGCGUGACACCUUGAUCUCCAUCAUAGCAUCGUUGCCGUUUCGCCAUCUAUUGCCUCUACGACUAUCGCUACCGCUUAGUGAUAAAGGAAAGCAAUUACAGGGCGAUUGCAUUGCAUACAAUAAAGCGACAACCAUAUGGCUCCUGCCAGUUGCCGAUAACUCGGUUACAAAACAUGAUCAUCUCAUACAAUAAAAUAUAGCAUCACGUCUUGACCAUAUCACAUCACAACAUGCCCUCCAAAAACAAGUUAGACGUCCUCUACUUUGUUGUUGCAAGUUUUACGUGGCUGCUACCACUAGUAGAAAACAGGGCUUUCGUCCAGGCCAGUUUAGCCCAUUAGUCCCGGUUCAAUCCAGAACCGGGACCAAUGGAGCUAUUUGCCCCGGUUCGUGAGCCCAGGGGGCCGGCCGGGCCACGUGGGCCAUUGGUCCCAGUUCGUCCGGACCUUUUGGUCCCGGUUGGUGGGACGAACCGGGACCAAUGGUCCUGGCUCCUGGCCCACCACUAUUGGUCCCGGUUGGUGGCACGAACCGGGACCAAAGGGUUACCUUUAGUCCCGAUGCAUGCCACCAACCGGGACUAAAGGGUUGGCCCUUGUUGCACCCAGCUUUUAGUCCCACCUCGCCAACCGAAGGGCGCCCACACCUGUUUACAAGCCCGUUCCACUCUGUGUUGUUGAUCUCCUCUCAAAGUGAAAAUAGAUGCACCUAUAGAGGAAAUUGGACCUACAUUUAUAAAUAGAAACUGAUUAUGAAUUUAUGUUUAAUUUUCUCUAUAAGUGCAUCUAUGUUCACUAACAGAGAAGUUUUUAUUUUUUGUGACCUAAAAGAAAAAAGAAAUCACCAAAAAACUGUAAGUAUUUAUUUCUAAGUAGAACUGAAAAAAUAAUGGCACUAGUAAAGUUAAUCACAAACUUCAAAUUCACACAAAUUUCAAAGAAUUCAAUUUAACUAUUCACACAAAUUUCAAAGAAUUAAAAAAUAAAGCAAAAAACCAAAAGAAAAUAAUUAAUGCAGAAAACAAAACAAAAAAACUGGAAAAAACUAAAAAUAGCAACAAUAAGUAUUUUAUUGUAAGUAGAAACAAAAUAAAAUGCAUAAAGCAACAAAGAAAACAAAAAAAGAGUUUCCAAAUUUGAAAACUAAUGGCACUAACAGAAAGUUUAUAAUUUUUCUAAAACUAAAAGCAAAAAGAAUUAAAAAAUAAAGCAAAAAACAAAAGAAAAUAAAUAAUGCAGAAAACAGAACAAAAAACUGAAAAAAAUAAAAAUAGCAACAAUACGUAUUUUGUUGUANNNNNNNNNNNNNNNNNNNNNNNNNNNNNNNNNNNNNNNNNNNNNNNNNNNNNNNNNNNNNNNNNNNNNNNNNNNNNNNNNNNNNNNNNNNNNNNNNNNNNNNNNNNNNNNNNNNNNNNNNNNNNNNNNNNNNNNNNNNNNNNNNNNNNNNNNNNNNNNNNNNNNNNNNNNNNNNNNNNNNNNNNNNNNNNNNNNNNNNNNNNNNNNNNNNNNNNNNNNNNNNNNNNNNNNNNNNNNNNNNNNNNNNNNNNNNNNNNNNNNNNNNNNNNNNNNNNNNNNNNNNNNNNNNNNNNNNNNNNNNNNNNNNNNNNNNNNNNNNNNAAUUAAAAAAUAAAGCAAAAAACAACAAAAACUAAAUAAUGCAGAAAACAGAACAAAAAACUGAAAAAAAAUAAAAAUAGCAACAAUAAGUAUUUUGUUGUAAGUAGAAACAAAAUAAAAUAAAUAAAGCAACAAAGAAAACAAAAAAAGAGUUUUCAGAUUUGAAAACUAAUGGCACUAACAGAAAGUUUAUAAUUUUUCUAAAACUAAAAGCAAAAAGAAUUAAAAAAUAAAGCAAAAGACCAAAAGAAAAAUAAACCAAAACCAAAAUAAACUAAAUAAAGCAACAAAUAAAACAAAAAAACAAAAAAAUGCCACCUACUGGGCCCCCACGGCCUGAAUACGACUAGAAACCCUAUGGGCCAGGAUUCAGGCCCGUGGAAGGCCUAGUAGGCCCACAGGCACAGAUGGCAGAGUUAGGCCCGAAAGCCUGCUUUAGAGAGGAGCUCGAGAGGGGAGCCGCACCGCACCUUAUAAACUGGUGCGGCUCCCUCUCAACUAGCGAGGUGGGACUAAACAUUUGGCGCGGGGCAGCACAAGGCCUUUGGUCCCGGUUGGUGGCACCAACCGGGACUAAAGGGGGGCAUUAGUCCCGGUUGGUGGUCCCGGUUGGUGGUCCCGGUUAGAUUUUUUUGUUUUUUGCAUUUUUAUAAAAAUGUAUAUAUGUUCUCUGUGUAUAUAUAUGUUAUGUUUAUAUGUAUGUAUGUUAUGUUUAUAUGUAUGUAUCUUUAUAUGCAAAGCAUAUGCAAAGAAAAAUGUAUGUAUGGUCAUAUGCAAAGAAUUUUUUUUUGUUUUUUGCAUUUUUAUAAAAAUGUAUAUAUGUUCUCUGUGUGUAUAUAUGUUUUAUGUUCAUAGAUUUUUAUUUGAACAUUAUUUAAAAAAAACAAGCAAUACAAGAAGAAGAAAAAGAAUGAGAGGAAAAAGGAAAAAAGAAGAGGAAGAAAGGAGAAGAAGAGGGGAUAUGAAGAAGAGGAGAAAUAAAUAAGAAGAAGAAAAAAGAAGAAAAAGAAGAGGAGAAGAAGAAAAGAAUAGAGGAGAAGAAGAAAAAAUAGAAAAUAUUCUAUUUUUUCUUCUUCUCCUCUUUUUUUUCUUCUUUUUUUUCUUCGAUCUUCUCCUCUGUCAUCGUCGAUAUACCCCUCCCGAUAACUUCAACAUGAGAGGAGAAGAAGAAAGAAAGGAAUAGAGGAGAAAGAAGAAACUUUGACACGAGGGGGGGGGGUACCGAUACCCCCUCCCCGAUAACAUUAUUUUCCCAUGUAUAUGUAUGUUGCUUCAUUGUCGAUAUAACGAGGGUGUCGAGGAUCACCGAGGGGUCGAGGGUCGGGAACUAGGGUAGAGGGUCGAGGGUCGUUAAGGGGUCAAGGGUCGAAGGUUUCAGGGUCGAGGGUCGUUAAGGGGUCAAGGGUCGAAGGUUUCAGGGUCGAGGGUCGUUAAGGGGUCAAGGGUCGAAGGCUCUCGACCCCUCGGCGAUCCUCCCGACCCCUUGACCCUCGACCGCUCGGCGAUCCACGACCCUCUACCCUACCACGGGCGUCGAUGCCCACGUCACUUGUGGGACAUAGAUGUAGUGUUCAAUGCCGACCCCCUCCCGAUAGCUUCAACACGUGGGGGGGUCGAUAUUACCCCCUCCUAGCUUGAAGCGUUCUCGAGGCCACCCCCUAACCCUUGAAGCGUUGUCGAGGCCACCCCAAACCCUAGAGAAGCAGCGUCGAGGCCACUAAUAUGAUUCCUUAUUGUGAUUAGCUAGCUAGUUCUACGUUUGCCACUAAUAUAUCCAUAUCUGUCAUGUUUGAAUAAUAAUUGCCAUGUUGUAAAUAUUUGUAGAAACUAUGGACACCCCCCGAGACGAAGCACAAGAAGCGUUGUUGAGGGACAUAAUCGCAGAAGGAAGUGAUGCCCUCUCGAUGUUUCUCAACGACAACGAUGGUCUGGAAGGAGAGGGUGAAGAAGCAGCUGGCCCUCUCCUCAUUGAUUUACAUGGCUCCGAUGAUCCAAUGCCGGUGCAAGAAGGAGAGGGUGAAGAAGUAGACCGUGAGGACGGCUCCGGUGAUCACCAAACCGAGUCCGGCCAGGUAUAUAUAUUAGUUAAGCCUGUGCUGACUAGCUAAUUGAUGCAUUCAUUGUUUUGGUAUGUACACAUAUUAAUUAACUCUCGUCUUUGUUCUUUUUUCUAGCCCUCCGGAUCGAGCACAACUUCGGUAAAGAGACGAGGCCCGAAGAAAAAGUUGAGCUCGGAUGAAAAGUUUGAGAUCAUAUAAAUCGCGCGCGACGGCCAACCGAUUGAACCCUACCGGACAAAGAAGGCAUUUGUUGCUCAGUGUGGGGUUCUGGUUAGGGACAAGAUCCCGAUCAGCAUCCAGCAAUGGUGUAAGCCUAAGAACGAAGACCCUGAGGUGUCUUAUGUCAAUGAGAUGCAGAAAGAGAAUCUUUGGACUGAGCUGAAGUCAAAUUUCACCCUACCGCCAGAGGAUGAUCCAGAGAAGCCAGUUAUAGAGCCAUUAAUCAAGUCUUUUGCUCUGAGGAAGAUGGCAGACCUAUUCAGGAAUUGGAAGAAAGACCUCAAUAGGUAUGUCGAAAAAAAUGAGACACCAGAAUUCAUUGGCAAAUAUGAGAAGAUCAGAGAUGACUGGCCCGCAUUUGUGGCCCACAAGACAUCGGAAAAGAGUAAAAAAAUGUCGGUGACAAACAAGAGAAAUGCUGAGAAGAAGAAGCUUCACCAUCGCACGGGGUCAGGUGGCUACCUCGUAGCCCAGCCUAAGUGGGCCAAGGCUGAGAAUGAUCUGCUUGAUAAAGGGAUCGAACCAGAGACAAUGAACUGGCCAGAACGUUGCCGGACUUGGUUCUUUGGGGUCGGCGGAUCCUUGCACCCUAUAAUAGGGAAGUGCAUUUGGACGAAGGAACAAUUGGACAUACCAGUCAAGAAGCUUCAGCAAUAUAUCGAAGCAGCGCAGCAAGGGACGUUCGUUCCAGAUAGGGAGAAGGAUGAGCUCACAAUGGCCCUCGGCAAUCCUGAGCACCCUGGAGGGACACGAGGCACGCCAGGCUCCGUUUCGUGGAAGGCUGGAUUUCCGGACGCAGGGGGUUACAAAACCCACGAGAGGAGGAAGAAACUGGAGCAGAGCCAACUGCAGUCGCUGCACGAAAGGGUAAUGGGGCUAGAGGAACGAGAAGCAGAUCGCAGCAAAUGACCUGCCGAAGCUUCCCCCGAAGCUACCCCGCCAUCUCAGCGGAAAAGCAGCGUGGCUUCCACCGAGCUGCUUCAGCCAGAGGAUGCCUUGACGGCUCCUGCCAGCUAUCCCGUGGAUGCUAUCACGGAUGCUGAAAAUUGCCACCUUAUGGCGCAAUGGAGCAAUUUGAAGGUCAAGGCGGCUGUUGGCUCUGUUUAUCCUACUAAACCCGACUCAACUUUUCACUGCCGGCCGAUUCCAGAAGGAUAUGCUAAGGUGAUGGUCGAUGAAAUAACGGAGGGAUUUGAGGACCUCCGGCUUGACCACCCUACCGGUGAAGGGGAGUAUCGGCUGGGUUCUGCUCUGAAGACUCCAUGCCUAUGGCAGAAGGAUCUCAUCAACCUUCCGAACUGGACGCCUCCGCCUCCUCCUCCUACUCCGGCGAGUCAGGGCACUCCGCCUCCUCCACCGGCGAGUGACGAUCAGGGCACUCGGCCCGCUCCUUCUCCGGCGCGUGGCGGCACUCCGCCUCCUUCUCCGCCUGCGCCGGCGCGCCCGAGCAGCCAGCCUCCUCCUUUUUCGCCUCGUCAGCAAGGGCGGAAGAGACCCGUCGCUGCUCUGGCUUCUACGGCGCGUCGCAGUCCUUCUCCUCCACCUCGUAAGCAAGGAAAGAAGACAUCUGCUCCGUCUACUCUGCCGGCGUCUAGCAGUACAGCCAAAGGCGGGAGGAGAUACAGAUUCGGUCCUUCUCUGAAGACUCCAGAGAAGUUACCGUACGAGAGGAGCGAGGAGGAAAACACGAAGAUCGCACAGACCGAAGUGGAUGACUGGUUUCAAGGGUUGAAAGCAAAGAGACAUCCACCUCCGGAGGAGAAGGUAGAUCCGGUGAAAGGGAAGCGCACUCUGGCUGCCCUGACAAAACCACCCAAGUCUCCGUCGAAAGGCAACUAUGAGCACAUUAUUGGAAAGGCAUUUGCCGAAGCGGAGAGGUCGGGAAGUACUAAAAGUGAUCAAAGGAUGAAAGAACGACGAACUGGGAAACAAAUUGCCCAGCUCGGCGAACAAGCGAAGCAAUCGUGCCCCCCGCUCAAGGUGCCUGCUAGCGACAUCGUCGAUCCGGGGAUGGUGCCCGGUUAUGGCAAUCCUGCAAAUUACCUGCCCGACGAUGUACAUUAUGAUAUCUUGGAGGUGCAGAUACAAAGAUACGAGUACGGGAAGCCUCUCGUCAAAGAUGAAAGUUCUCUAUCAACGAUGAUGCGAAGAUUGCAUGAUUGGUACAUGAAAACCUGCAAAGAGUCUGAGGGGAGGAAUACUUUGGAUAUGAGAGUUAAAAAGGAGCAUGACCUCCUUGGAAUUGAACUGUUGCCUAUUCCAUUUGAGGAGUUCUAUCAGUUUUUCAAUCAAUUGGCCAUCAAUAAAGCAACGGUCACCUCCUACUGUAUGUAAGUAGUAGUACUUCCGUCAUUAAGUCUCUCUUAUAACUCAGCCCUUUCAUUUGCAUGUAUUUAUAAUUAUCCUCACUAUAUUAUGCAGAUUGAAGAUCGCCGAAUUGAAGAAAAGACAAGUGGGAGAUAUUCGGUUCAUUAACACGUAUCUCAUAGAUGCAACUGAGGUUCAAUAUCAUGCCCAAGAAACCGAGGCCAACUUGCUACGAUCGUUGGAAAUAAAUGAACACAAAGAUAUAAUACUCUUUCCUUACAACUUCAAGUGAGUGUUACUGUCUUGUGGCAUAUUCGGUUUCCUUAUUAGUCCAGGUUAUAGUAAUGUAAUAUUGAUGAGUUAUGCAUGUGUGCACAGCUACCACUAUAUUCUCCUAGAGAUUAAGCUUGAGAAGGGAGUAGUAACUGUCUUAGACUCCAAGCGAAAAGAUCCCAAGGAGUAUGCGGACAUGACUGAAAUGCUCGAGAAGUAAGUUAAAUCGAUCAUUAUCCACCAUAUCAGCAACUUUGUUCAUUUCUAAUAUCAAGUAAUUGUUUUCUUUGUAUGGCAGGGCUUGGAGAAAAUUCACCAAAAAAGCUCCGGGACUACCGAAGAAGCUGCAAUUUAGGCACCCGAAAGUAAGUACUAUAUAGUAGCAUAUUCCAGGCAUCUCCUAGUGAUUCAAGCGCUAGUUUCAUCAAUACCAUUUAGCAUGCUUGCUAAUUAUCAGUUUGAUUGACCUCUAUUUCUUGUAAAGUGGUUGUGGCAGGAACAAGGGAAUGAUUUCUGUGGAUACUACAUUUGCGAGUCCAUCCGCCACACGACCUGUGAGCGGGGCUACUCCGACAAACAAUAUGAAGUGCGUAAAUAACAAUAUUCACAAUUUUAUUUUAUUACCGUCAUUUGUGUUGAGUUUCAUUCAUUCAUAUAUAUAUAUAUGUAUUGACCCCCUUCUUAAAAUUAGAUGUUUCGGAUGCGGGAUGAACUCCUAGCACCAGAUCGCAUGCGAGCAAUUCAAGAGGAAUUGGCGGCAUUCUUUCUUGACCACGUGAUCGCUGAAGACGGAGAAUACUAUGUGGACCACGCGUCCGUAUUUUAGGAGAUUAUAUAUUUGUAAAAGAUAAUUAUUGUAUAUAUGUAGCCGGUAGUGUCGGAUAGAUAUACGAGAACUUGUUUGUUCGACCAAUCUCUCGGAGAAGGAGAGGUGGUCGAUAUCACUUCUCUCUGUAUGCAUAUAUGUUCAUGACGAUCUUCUGUUUGCUUACUAGCUAGCUAGCGUGUCUAGCUAGUCCUCUCUAUACGUAUGUAUGUAUGGUACGUAGCGUCGACCAAGCACGGACAAAAGAGAGGACACUUCUCUCUAUUAAUUAGCUAGCUAUAGCACAAUAUAUGAAACACCUAAAUUAACCCCCCAAAACCCCCCACCCCCCUUUCAAAAAAAACAAAAACCACAGCCACAUAAACGCUGACGCGUGGAUGCCUAUUGGUCCCGGUUGGUGCCACCAACCGGGACCAAAGGCCCUCCUGCCUGGGCUCAGGGGACAGGCCACGUGGAGGCCCUUCUGUCCCGGUUCUGGAUUGAACCGGGACUAAAGGGGUCAGGGCAUUAGUACCGNNNNNNNNNNNNNNNNNNNNNNNNNNNNNNNNNNNNCCCCCCCCUUUCAAAAAAAAACAAAAACCACAGCCACAUAAACGCUGACGCGUGGAUGCCUAUUGGUCCCGGUUGGUGCCACCAACCGGGACCAAAGGCCCUCCUGCCUGGGCUCAGGGGACAGGCCACGUGGAGGCCCUUCUGUCCCGGUUCUGGAUUGAACCGGGACUAAAGGGGUCAGGGCAUUAGUACCGACCCUUUAGUCCCGGUUCAUGAACCGGGACUAAAGGCCCUCACCAACCGGGACAAUAGGCCCUUUUCUACUAGUGUACGGGCUGAGCAAGAACCGUUCUUACCUACGCAUCAAAACCACAACGAUAGUUCGUCAAGUUAGUGAUGUUUUAACCUUCUCAAGGACCGGGCGUAGCCACACUCAGUUCAACUAAAGUUGGAGAAACUGACACCCGCCAGCCACCUAUGUGCAAAGCACGUCGGUAGAACCAGUCUCGCGUAAGCAAACACAUAAUGUCGGUCCGGGCCGCUUCAUCCAACAAUACCGCCGAACCAAAGUAUGACAUGCUGGUAAGCAGUCUUGUAUCGCCCACAACUCACUUGUGUUCUACUCGUGCAUAUAACAAUAACGCAUAAAACCUAGGCUCGGAUGCCACUAUUGGGGAACGUAGUAAUUUCAAAAAAAUUCCUACGCACACGCAAGAUCAUGGUGAUGCAAAACAACGAGAGGGAAGAGUGUGUCCACGUACCCUCAUAGACCGUAAGCGGAAGCAUUAGCACAACGCGGUUGAUGUAGUCGUACGUCUUCACGGCCUGACCGAUCAAGCACCGAAAGCACAGCACCUCCGAGUUCUUGCACACGUUCAGCUUGAUGACAUCCCUUGAAGUCCGAUCUAGCCGAGUGUUGAGGGAGAGUUCCGUUAGCAUGAUGGCAUGGUGAUGAUGAUGAUGUUCUACCGACGCAGGGCUUCGCCUAAGCACCGCUAUGAUAUUAUCGAGGUGGAUUAUGGUGGAGGGGGGCACCGCACACGGCUAAUAGAUCAAUGAUCAAUUGUUGUGUCUAGAGGUGCCCUCCUACCCCCGUAUAUAAAGGAGCAAGGGGGAGGGGGUGGCCGGCCAGGAGGGGGCGCGCCAAGGGGAUGGGAGUAGGACUCCCUCCUUUCCUUGUCCAAGUAGGAGAGGGGGAAGAAAGGGAGAAAGGGGAGGAAGGAAAGGGGGGCGCCGCCCCCCUCCUUGUCCAAUUCGGAAUAGAGGGGGAGGGGGCGCGUGGCCUGCCCUGGCCACCCCUCCUCUUCUCCACUUUGGGCCCAUGUGGCCCAUUAACCCCCAGUACUCCGGUAUAUAUCCGAUAACCCCUGAAACCAUUCCGGUGUUCGAAUAUAGUCGUCCAAUAUAUCAAUCUUCAUGUCUCGGCCAUUUUGAGACUCCUCAUCAUAUCCGUGAUCACAUCCGGGACUCCAAACUAUCUUCGGUACAUGAAAACAUAUAAACUCAUAAUAUAACUGUCAUCUAACUUUAAGCGUGCGGACCCUACGGGUUUGAGAACUAUGUAGACAUGACUGAGACACGUGUCCGGUCAAUAACCAAUAGCGGAACCUAGAUGCUCAUAUUGGCUCCCACAUAUUCCACGAAGAUCUUUAUCGGUCAAACCGCAUAACAACAUACGUUGUUCCCUUUGUCAUCGGUAUGUUACUUGCCCGAGAUUCGAUCAUCGGUAUCUCAAUACCUAGUUCAAUCUCGUUACCGGCAAGUCUCUUUACUCGUUACGUAAUGCAUCAUCCCAUAAAUAACUCAUUAGCUACAUUGCUUGCAAGGCUUAUAGUGAUGUGCAUUACCGAGAGGGCCCAGAGAUACCUCUCCGAUAAUCGGAGUGACAAAUCCUAAUCUGGAAAUAUGUCAACUCAACAAGUACCUUCGGAGACACCUGUAGAGCACCUUUAUAAUCACCCAGUUACAUUGUGACGUUUGGUAGCACACAAAGUUUUCCUCCGGUAAACGGGAGUUACAUAAUCUCAUAGUCAUAGCAACAUGUAUAAGUCAUGAAGAAAGCAAUAGCAACAUACUAAACGAUCAAGUGCUAAGCUAACGGAAUGGGUCAAGUCAAUCACAUCAUUCUACUAAUGAUGUGAUCCCGUUAACCAAAUGACAACUCAUGUCUAUGGUUAGGAAACUUAACUAUCUUUGAUUCACGAGCUAGUCAAGUAGAGGCAUACUAGUGACACUUUAUUUGUCUAUGUAUUCACACAUGUAUUAUGUUUCCGGUUAAUACAAUUCUAGCAUGAAUAAUAAACAUUUAUCAUGAUAUAAGGAAAUAAAUAAUAACUUUAUUAUUUCCUCUUAGGCAUAUUUCCUUCAGCAACGAUCCACUCUGGGACCCAAACACUUAACUCAUCAACUGGCACACAAGGUUAUGCCUGCUUACCGGGCCAGGGUACAGCACGCCCAUAACCUUCCCUAGAUGGAGGCACCAACCAAAGGCACGACAAUGAAACGCAUUAAGGCCGUCCCAUACUGGAAAAUGUGGUUGCACUGGGAAAACUCGUUUCAGCGGCACCACGACCAGGUCGACAACAUAUUCAAGUUGAGUGAUUUAUCAGGUUCAACUUAAAGUGAAAGUAACCGGUGUCAUAAUGCCAUGCUAUGCAUCACUAACAUUUGCAUCAAAUAAUCAUGAAAAUAACUAAAUCAACUACGCUCCCAUGGAGCCAUCACUAACUCAAGGUACUUCCCUGGUUAAGAUCAAACCUCACUUAAACUAGAACCAUUUCUAGCAAUCUCAUCAUUUUUCGUCAUGCAAGAAUAAUAAUUAAACUAACUAUUAACCUUCAUGACCAUAUCCUUUUAUUAUUACCCACAUCUAAGUUCUUGCUAGCUUAUCAGCAGGAUUCAUUUCAAAAUUUCUUUAAAUCAAACACACUUAACAUGACAAGAAUCUAACAGAAUAUAAUUAUCAUAAUAAUUAUUUGAAUGCAUGAAUAAUCAUAAGUUCAAGUAGAAAAAUCACAAAUAUUGAAGUGGCACUAUGAAAAUGUUGCUGUUGCUUGCCUUAGUGCUGAUGAGGUUCACAAACCUACUGGUGAUCCUCAAGACAAGCUUGCUCUUUUGAAAAUAAAUAGAACCACAAAAAGAAAACAUCAAGAAACCUUCUGAAAAUUACUAGAAAAUCUAGACAGCAAGGAAAAAUCCCAUCUUUUGGGUGCUGCUAGAUUUUUGGACAAAAAACACAAAGCAAAAAGAAUCAAUGUAUUUGGACUUAUAUAAUAAAAGUUGUGGUUGUUUGAAGUUUCCUGGAUUUAAAUGAAUUUGAUUUAAAAAGAAAAUAGACUGGGGGGGGGGGUGACGUCGAAGGCGUAAACACCCGGGGCGCCACCACUCUUACCGCUUCGCGCGCGCACUGAGUGGCUAACUAGCAGGCCCCGCUAGUCAGGACAGAAGGAGGGGGACAGGGAAACAGAGGGAGGCGGAGCUUCACCAGAGCACACGCCGACGACGAGGGUUCUUGGGGUUAAACGAGAGGGGGGAUCGAAGGAGAAGAAGGUGGCGCACCUACCCGUACCCGUAGCGUGUCUAGAGGUGACAUGACGGUGUCGGAAGCGGCCUCUCUAGCGGAGGCAGAGGGCAUCGGUUGUCGGAGGCGAAGACGACGGCGGCUCGGGGCGGCUCCAAGGGCUCCAACAGGGCGGAACGCCCUCACCGAAGAGAGGAGGAGGCCCUGGCAGGGUCGCCCUGGCCUGGGAGGGGUCGGAGCUGCGGGGAUUAUCCUGAGGGGAUCGCCGACGAGCUCGGGCUUCGGGACGGCAGCCGGCGGCCUGCCCGGCCGGGCUGCGGCUUCUACUGGUUUGUGGAGGGUGUGGGAGUAGCUGCGGGUGCUCAAGGACGCUGGGGGUGGCGACAUUUAUAGGCGGGCGGCGAGAGGGGUUCGGGCUCCGCCGAAGGACACCUGUCCACGACUCCCGGUGACGAACGACGCCAGCGAGAGAGGGGGAAGACGACGGAGGUCACGCGGAAACUAUUGGCGGGCGCGGACGAGCACAGGGGCGAGGGAGAAGACGACGAGCACAGUGCACCGUGUACUGUGUCGUUGGUCGGACCGUGCCCGUGCCCGCUGCAGCGAGCUCCGGCAUCGGCGAGUGCCAACGGUGAGUUAAGGGGGUGGAGACGGGGAUGGUGGAGAGGCUUGGCAUGCUCGGGCAGGCUAGGCAGCGAGCACACGCUCAACAGAGCGCUAGGCGGCAUGCAGAGCGCGUGUUUUGCAUGCCAGCACGCCCGGACAAACGCGGUCACCGCGUGAACCGUGACAUCAGGCCACCCUAAGUGCUAACUUGAUGUCUGGCAUGUAGUCCUUGGUGGUUUGAAGUGUUACCACGGUUGGGCUUGGAUCCAGGUGUAGUAGAAAUGGAUUUGUACUGCUAGCAAGUUUCUGGACAGUAACUUUGGAGGUUUACUAUGGCCAAACCACUGGGAGUUAAGGGCUGGGCUUUGGAGGCUAUCUUACACUUACUAAGGUAAAUAGGCACAAGAAAAACCAGCUACAAUGGAGCUAGUAAAAUGGUAGUUGCUGUAGAAACUACCAUUUAUGUUCAGAAAUGAAUUUAUUUUCUGUAGCCAAAAUAUUUGAAAGAGUGAUGAAAUAUUUUCGCUUGGAAAGGUGCCCUAGGGUUCAAAGAAUAAUUGGGAUUUUUCUCAGGAUUUUUGGGGCAAGAAAAAUUAGGGUUGCUUUGGAGCACAAAGGGCUAGCUAGGGUUUUGGAGGGCAAAAUGAAUAUUUUUCAUUCAAGAAAAAUAUUCCAAGCAAUAUUUUGAGUUGAUCCAGAGGUGAAAUGAUAGUUUUGAGGAGCAUAGGGAGCACUUGGGUGAAAUUUAAGGGGUACCCAAGUGGUUAAGUCCAAAUGAAGAGAUUCAAAACUCCAAAUUCAAAACCAACUCAACUGAAAACCAAACAGAGACAAAGAGGGCAAAAACCAGGCUGUCACAAACCUCCCCCACUUAGAAUGAAUCUCGUCCUCGAGAUUCGGUCGCUUGGGAAAACCAUUUUGGGUAACAUGUCGUUAGAAAUUCUUCUGAUUCCCAUGUUGAUUAUGACUCGGUAUGAUGCUUCCAUUGGACUUUGUAAAACUUCCGUGCUUUACUGCGUGUGACUCUUUCCAUCUAAUCCAAGAUUUUUACCGGCCUUUCUUCAUAUGUUAAAUCCUUUUCCAGCUCUAUUUCUGUCAAAUCAGUCUUUUUCUCAGGCGGCGGUAUGCACCGUCGCAAUUGUGAGACAUGGAAUACAUUGUGCACGUACGACAAUUUAGGGGGCAACUCCAACUGAUAUGCCACAGCACCCACUCGCAUCAUAACAGGAAAUGGACCAAUAAAUUUGGGUGCCAAUUUUCCACGAGUCUGAAACCUCUUGAUACCUUUCAUAGGCGUGGCUCGAAGAUAGACAUGUUCUCUGGGUUCAAAGCUGAUUUGACGGUGCUUUGCAUCAUAAUAACUUUUCUGUCGUGAUUUGGCCAACUGCAGUCUGUCUCUAAUUUCCUUGACUUGCUUUUCGGCUUCCAGUAUGAGAUCCGUUUCGAAAAUAUGGCUAUCUCCGGUUUGAGACCAAUUUAAUGGAGUGCGGCACUUACGGCUAUACAAAGCUUCAUAUGGUGACAUCUUUAAACUGGUCUAGAAGCUAUUGUUAUACGAGAACUCGACGUAUGGCAAGCAGUCUUCCCAUUUUGGGCCUUGGGCCAAAACACAUGCUCACAGCAUAUCCUCGAGUAUCUGGUUUACUCGUUCUGUCUGCCCAUCAGUCUGAGGGUGAUAAGUGGUAUUGUACUUCAACUCCGUCCCUAAGGCUUGAUGGAGACAGGACCAAAAAGCGGAGGUAAAAAGUGAACCUCGGUCAGAAGUAAUGGUACGGGGGACUCCAUGCAGACUUACUAUUCUGGACACAUAAAAUUGUGCAAGCUCAUCUGCUCGAUAUGAGGUUCUGAUCAAGGGGAAAUGGGCUACCUUGGUUAACAUGUCCACUAUGACCCAGAUCGCAUCAUUGCCCCGUCGGGUCUUAGGUAGUCUGGUGAUAAAAUCCGUACAGACAUCAUCCCAUUUCCAUUGUUACACUGGCAACGGUUGGAGAAGUACGGCUGGCUUUUGAUGUUCUGCCUUUACUUUAUUGCAUAUGUCGCAACAUGCCACGAAAUAAGCAAUGUCUUUCUUCAUUCCAUCCCACCAGAAUACUUGUCGAAGGUCUUCGUACAUUUUUGUACCUCAAGGAUGAAUGGAAUAUAAGGAUUUGUGGGCUUCUGAUAGGAUUUUCUGCUUUAAAUCCGCUUGAUUGGGCACACAAAUCCGUCCCCUAAAUCGGAGGGUACCGUACUGAUCCUUCGAGAAAUCGGAAUGCUUGACACGUUUUUGCAGAUCGGUGUCGCCUGGCUGGGCCUUGCGGAUUUCUUCCUCAAGAGUAGGGGUAACUUCCAGAAUAUUGGCAAGGCCAGCCUCAACUAUGACCAGGUUGAGAUGAGCAAUCUCUUCUUUAAGUUCAGGAGGCAAGGAUUCCAAUAGGACAUUUAAACGGACGGGCUUUCGACUGAGCGCAUCGGCAACCACGUUGGCCUUACCCGGAUGGUAAUUUAUUCCAAGGUCAUAAUACUUGACCAACUCAAGCCAUCUUCGUUGACGGAGAUUUAAAUCUGGCUGAGUAAAUAUAUAUUUGAGGCUUUUGUGAUCGGUAAAAAUUUGGCACCUUUUUCCGAUGAGGUAGUGUCUCCAAAUUUUGAAGGCACGAACCACCACGACCAUUUCCAAAUCAUGAGUGGGGUAAUUCCCCUCGUGGAGUCGUAGCUGUCAUGAGGCAUAAGCUACUACCUUGUCAUCUUGCAUAAGUACGCAUCCCAGUCCUUGCCUAGAAGCGUCGCAGUACACAUCAAAGAUGCGGUAGAUAUCUGGGAGUGUUAAUACUGGUGCAGUUGUCAGUCGUUUCUUUAACUCGGUGAAACUUUUCUCACAUUCCUUACUCCAUUCAAACUUCUUAUCCUUUUUGAGCAGCUCUGUCAUGGGUUUAGCAAUCUUGGAAAACCCUUCAAUGAAACGCCGGUAAUAUCCGGCUAAUCCGAGAAAACUCCGGAUCUGAGAUACGGUUGCGGGUGGCAACUAGUCGAGCACAUCCUUUACCUUGCUUGGAUCCACGGCUAUACCUUCAGCGGAUAGCACAUGUCCGAGGAAUACAACUUGCUUGAGCCAAAACUCACAUUUACUGAAUUUGGCGUAUAACCAAUGCUCACGGAGUCGUUGUAACACUGCUCGGAGGUGUGCCUUGUGCUCUUCUUCACUUCUUGAGUAAAUGAGUAUAUCAUCGAUGAAGACGACCACAAACUUAUCGAGGAAGUCCAUGAAUACCUUGUUCAUCAUAUGCAUGAAGAAGGUGGGGCCGUUGGUGAGGCCAAAAGACAUGACUGUAUAUUCAUAGAGACCGUAGCGAGUGGUGAAUGUGGUCUUGGGAAUAUCCUCCUUUUUAAUUUUGAGCUGAUAAUACCCAGUCCGUAAAUCGAUCUUGGAGAAUACCUUGGCCCCCACUAAGCUGAUCAAACAAAUCAUCAAUCCUUGGUAGAGGGCACUUGUUUUUGAUUGUGACAUCAUUCAGCUGGCGAUAAUUCACACACAUGCGGAGGCUGCCAUCUUUCUUGUCCACAAAAAUAGUAGGUGAUCCCCAUGGUGAGGAGCUGGGGCGGAUAUACCCUUUCUGGAGCAUUUCAUCGAGCUGUAUCUUUAGCUCCACUAAUUCUGAUGACGGCGUUCGAUAAUACUUCUUGUGUAUUGGGGUGGUUCCGGGCACAAGAUAUAUCGCAAACUCAAGCUCUCGAUCAGGUGGUAUGCCUGGCAAUUCUUUUGGGAAUAAAUCAGGAAACUCGCUGACCACCGGAAUUAAUUCCAUUUCAGCCAUUGCUGUAAAGACCAUUUCCUUGGAGGGUAUGCUCCUACGAGCAAUAAAUUUUGUAGUUUGUCCCUCUUGGCCGGUCAAGUUGACUUCUCGGGUUGCACAAUUAAUGCAUACUUGAUACUGAGUCAGCCAAUUCAUAACCAAGAUAACUUCCAACUUAUCAGAUUCAAUAAGUAUCAAAUAAGUUGGAAAACAGACUCCGUUGAUAUUGACUUCCAGAUUACGGCAGGCUAUAUUGCUUCUGAUUAGAGAUCCCGGGGUUUGUACCAUCAUAUUCUUGCCCAAAAGUGAACAAGGAAAUUUGUUUUGGGCAACAAAACUUCGAGAAAUGAAAGAGUGGGAAGCCCUAGAGUCAAAUAAAAUUACUGCAGGCAUGUUAUUAACAGGGAACAUACCAAUGACGACUUCGGGGUUCUCUUGGGCUUCAUCGGCAGAAAGGUGAUGAAUGUAUCCCGUGAGGUCGUGCUGAUUUGGGCAUGCCUCCAUAUAAUGGACUUGUGGCUUGAAUGUAGCAGUUGCCCGAUUGUUCGUGGGACACUGUUUGGCAUAAUGUCUGAUUUGCCCACAAUUGAAACAGGAAUUGAUGUGCAAAUGAUUCUCUAGAACUAGGUUGAGGACGUCAUUCUUGACUUGGGUGGUGGUUUUGUUAACAUUUUGCUGCCAAUUGGGCUUGUAUGCUACCUGAGUUGGCUGCCAGGUACGAAUCUUCUGUACUGGUUGCAUUUCUUUUCCUGGCUCAAACUUGCGCUUGUGAUCAUUGUUGGCAGGCUUAGCGUCUGGUACAAGCUUGUGUUCCCUUUCAGAAAUGAAAGCCUUGUUCACCAGAGUCUGGAAAUCUGGGAAAUCAAACAUGCUGAGAGUACAACGGAGUUGUGGUUUUAACCCGCCAAGAAACCUGUCCAUCUUUCUUUCCUCAGUGGCCACGUCAUAUUGAGAGUAACAUGACUGUUGAUUGAAUUUCUGCAAAUAUUCUCCAACAGACUGACUUCCUUGGAGGAGCGCCAGAAAUUCACGCUGCUUAGUCUUCAUAAUUCCCGUAUGGAUGUGUUAUUUCCGGAAUCGUUCCUUGAAUCUUGACCAGGUAAUUUCUUCAUGAGCCAUCCACAUGGCUUUUUCAUUUUCCCACCAUAUGGCAGCAGCACCUUCAAGAUAAUGUGUUACAAAUGGAACUUUAUCCCCUUCAUCAGUUCGAGCAACCUCAAGCUUCUUUUCCAUUGUUCUCAACCAAUCAUCUGCGUCCAAGGGAUCAAUGGCCUGACUGAAACUGGGAGGCUUAGUCCUUUGAAAAUCAGAUAGCUUGGAGUGAUGACCGGGCUGAUUUCCAUUCUGUCCAACCACAGCUUGAAUACUUCUGAAUAUUUCCAUCAGAUCAUUAUUUUGUCUUUCCUCAAACAUACGCAGAAUUUGCUCGGUGGAGGGCGGAUUUGGCGGUGGAGGCGGUGGUGGAACGUACGGCUCGGGUGAGUGUCCUGCCUGUCAUGCGGAAUGACAAACAGGAGAACCCUUGCGAACGUUGCUAUUGCAGCCUCCCCAUGUCAUCCUAAUAUGAUUAUUUUCCCAAGGCAACGCAACCGAGAUGAGAAGCAUUCAAAAUAAGUUGGGGAGAAGCCAGCAACAAAAUCCGAGUAAAACCGAAAUGGCGAAGAAAAUACGGCGAAUAAAAUAAAGUUCAACAUAAUUAUACAUAGACUCAUACAUGAAUGAUAACAACAUGCCAGGUCCAACUACCCUCAUACAUGAAAGAUAACAACAUGCCAGGUCCAACUACCCUCAUACAUGAAAUGAAACAUUAUGACUCGCACGACUACAUCCAUACUCCAUCCUGACGAAUGCGAAUACUUGGAAGCUCUACUGCUCGACUGGUGCUGCGGUGUCCUCUCCUAAAGCGGACUCGGAUCCUGAACUGACGGGGUUAACUGAGACCUCCGGGUUAAAAGUGACACGACGACGCUGCCUCGAGGGCUCUCCCUCCGGGGCAGGUGGAGGGUGAAUCAUCGGGGCUACAGGGGUGGCAAGGAGUGAAACCCACGCAGCAGGAGCACUAAGUGGACUCACAGUCACGGUGCCCGAGCUACUCGGAGGAGUAACCAGGGAAAUAAGGGAUCUAGAACUGGCAGGUAUAUAGGGAAUAAAUCCUACAGAUGGUGGAGUAGUAGCUGAGCUAGCAGAGACUAAAUCAGAGGCUAAAGCAGUACGGGCAUGACUCAGCUCACGAGCCAGCUCGUAGAUCAGAAGAUAGCUAGCAGUGAUAUAGCGAGAAAGGUGGCUAGCUACACUAUCAGACUCCGGAUCAAUGACAGGGAAACGGACACGACCAUUAUCGUGGGGAGAAGGAUAGUAGUGGAAACCUGGGUGGUUCUGCAUCCGGACCUCGUUGUAGUGGAGCUCAACGAGUACCUCGAAUGCAGCAAACUGGACAGCCUGAGAAGCGGUAGAAGUGUAGCCGCUUCGAGAAGUACAAGUGUAAGAGCUGGAAUCAGAACUGGUACGCAGAGUAACCACGACGUGAUACUCAUGCACUGAGUCAGUUAGACGCUCCCAGUACACACGAUAGACUGGAUCGUCACUGUGAGGGUACAACCAACGCCACACGUUAUGAAGGAGAUGCGGCGACAUGUACGACAUUAGCUGCAACUGGCACGGAUACAGCACCGGAGCCAUCUACACUCACAACCAUUAGCAUGUUAGCAUAAAAGUAAAAAUCAGUGCAUGCAAUGCAACAACCAGCUACAAUUGUCUACCGGCACUAAACUACAACUCGUAUCUAACAUCCAGUUAACUCGGUGUAGUCUAGCAUGGCCUACAGUCAGCGCGGCUCUGAUACCAAGCGCUGUGGCACCCCGGCUCAGAGCGACCGGUUUACCCUGCAUUGCCAACCCAGAGUGUGAUACGUCCAUUUUGCAUCAUCCUUUUAUAUCAAUAUCUAUUGCAUUAUGUGUUGUUAUUACACAUUUUAUCUCAAUACUUAUGGCUAUUCUCUCUUAUUUUACAAGGUUUACCAUGAAGAGGGGGAAUGCCGGCAGCUGGAAUUCUGGCUGGAAAAGGAGCAAACAUUGGAAACCUAUUCUGCACAGCUCCAAAAGUCCUAAAACUCCACGAAACAAAAUUUUGGAAUUCAUAAGAAUUUCUGAGCGAAAGAAAUGCACCAGGGGGCCCACACCCUGUCAAGGAGACAGGGGGGCGCGCCCCCUAUCUCUUGGGCCCCCUGGUGGGCCUCCGGUGCCCAUCUUCUGCCAUGUCAUCGCUUUUACCAUGGAAAAAAUGGCGGGCACGCUUACGGGACGAAACUCCGCCGCCACGAGGCGGAACCUAGGUGGAACCAAUCUAGGGCUCUGGCAGAGCUAUUCUGUCGGGGACACUUCCCUCCGGGAUGGGGAAAUCAUCACCAACGUCAUCACCAACGAUCCUCUCAUCGGGAGGGGGUCAAUCUCCAUCAACAUCUUCACCAGCACCAUCUCCUCUCAAACCCUAGUUCAUCUCUUGUAUCCAAUCUUGUAUCAAAAACCACAAAUUGGUACCUGUGGGUUGCUAGUAGUGUUGAUUACUCCUUGUAGUUGAUACUUAUUAGUUUACUUGGUGGAAGAUCAUAUGUUCAGAUCCUUAACGCAUAUUAUUACACCUCUUAUUAUGAACAGGAAUAUGCCUUGUGAGUAGUUACGUUUGUUCCGGAGGACAUGGGUGAAGUCUUGCUAUUAGUAGUCAUGUGAAUUUGGUAUUCGUUCGAUAUUUUGAUGAGAUGUAUGUUGUCUUAUCCUCUAGUGGUGUCAUGUGAACGUUGACUACAUGACACUUCACCAUUAUUGGGCCUAGAGGAGGGCAUAUGGAAGUAAUAAGUAGAUGAUGGGUUGCUAGAGUGACAGAAACUUAAACCCUAGUUUAUGUGUUGCUUCGUUAGGGGCUGAUUUGGAUCCAUAUGUUUCAUGCUAUGGUUAGGUUUACCUUAAUAUUUUUGUUGUAGUUGCGGAUGCUUGCAAUAGGGGUUAAUCAUAAGUGGGAAGUUUUUCCAAGUAAGGGCAAUACCCAAGCACCAGUCCACCCACAUAUCAAAUUAUCAAAGUACCGAACGUGAAUCAUAUGAGCGUGAUGAAAACUAGCUUGACGAUAAUUCCCACGUGUCCUCGGGAGCUCCUUUAUCAUUAUUAGAAACUGUCCAGGCUUAUCCUUUGCUACAUAAAGGAUUGGUCCACCUUGCUGCACUUUAUUUACUUUGUUUACUUGUUACUCGUUACUAUUUAUCUUAUCACAAAACUAUCUAUCACCUACAAUUUCAAUGCUUGCAGAAAACCUUACUGAAAACCGCUUAUCAUUUCCUUCUGCUCCUCGUUGGGUUUGACACUCUUACUUAUGGAAAGGACUACGAUAGACCCCCUACACUUGUGGGUCAUCAAGACUCUUUUCUGGCGCCGUUGCCGGGGAGUGUAGCAUUUUUGGUGAGUGGAACUUGGUAAGGAAACAUUUAUAUAGUGUGCUGAAAUUUUCUGUUACUUGUCACUAUGGAAACUAAUCCUUUGAGGGGCUUAUUUGGGGUAUCUUCACCCCAACCAGAAGAGCAAAGAGUUGCUCCUCAACCUACUGAACUUUAUGAAAAUAUUUAUUUUGAGAUUCCUUCGGGUAUGUUAGAGAAACUGCUAGCUAAUCCAUUUGCAGGAGAUGGAACGUUGCAUCCCGAUUUACACCUUAUCUUUGUGGAUGAAGUUUGUGGAUUAUUUAAGCUUGCAGGUAUUCCCGAUGAUGUUGUCAAAAGGAAGGUCUUCCCUUUAUCUUUGGAGGGAGAUGCAUUGACAUGGUAUAGGCUAUGUGAUGAUACGAGAUCUUGGAAUUAUAAGCGAUUGAAGUUGGAAUUUCACCAGAAGUUCUAUCCUAUGCAUCUUGUUCAUCGUGAUCGUAAUUACAUAUAUAAUUUCUGGCCUCGCGAAGGAGAAAGCAUCGCUCAAUCUUGGGGGAGGCUUAAGUCAAUGUUAUAUUCAUGUCCCAAUCAUGAGCUCUCUCGGGAAAUGAUUAUUCAAAAAUUUUAUGCUCGGCUUUCUCUUGAUAAUGGCAACCUGCUUGAUACUUCCUGUGCUGGUUCUUAUAUGUUGAAGACUAUUGAUUUCAAAUGGGACUUAUUGGAAAUAAUUAAACGCAACUCUGAAGAUUGGGGUUCCGAUGAUGGUAAGGAGUCAGGUAUGACACCUAAGUUCAAUUGUGUUAAAUCUUUUAUGGAUACCGAUCUUUUUCGUGGAUUUAGCGCUAAGUAUGGACUUGACUCUGAGAUAGUAGCUUCUUUCUGUGAAUCUUUUGAUACUCACGUUGAUCUCCCUAAAGAGAAGUAGUUUAAAUAUAAUCCUCCUGUUGAAGUUAAAGUAGUUGCACCUAUUACAGUCCAAGAAAAGACUAUUACCUAUAGUGAUCCUAUUGUUCCUACUGCUUAUGUUGAAAAACCUCCUUUUCCUAUUAGGAUGAAGGAUCAUGCUAAAGCUUUGACUGUUGUUCGUAAGAGAAAUACUAGGACUUAUACACCUCCUGAGCAAAUUAAUGUUGAACCUAGUAUUGCUAUUGUUAAAGAUCUCUUGGAUGAUAAUUUAGAUGGGCAUGUUUUUUAUUUCUGUGAUGAAGCUGCUAAUAUUGCAAAACCAGACGCUAAGACACAUAGGCCCGUUGUAGGCAUGCCUAUUAUUUCUGUUAAAAUAGGAGAUCAUUGUUAUCAUGGCUUAUGUGAUAUGGGUGCUAGUGCUAGUGCAAUACCCUAUGACUUAUAUAAAUAAAUUAUGCAUGACAUUGCACCCGUUGAAUUGGAAGAUAUUGAUGUUACUAUCAAGCUUGCUAAUAGAGAUACUAUUUCACCAAUUGGGAUUGUUAGAGAUGUUGAAGUUUUGUGUGGGAAGGUUAAAUACCCUGCUAAUUUUCUUGUUCUUACUUCCCCUCAAGAUUCCUUUUGCCCCAUUAUAUUUGGUAGACCCUUCUUGAACACUGUUAAAGCUACGAUUGAUUGCAAAAAGGAUGUUGUUACGAUUGGCUUAGAUGAUAUGACUCAUGAGUUUAAUUUUGCUAAAUUUCGUAGACAACCCCGUGAUAAAGAAUUAUCUAGUAAAGAUGAAAUAAUUGGUCUUGCUUCUAUUGCCGUGCCUCUUACUGAUCCAUUAGAACAAUAUUUGCUAGACCAUGAAAAUGAUAUGUUUAUGAAAGAAAGAAGGGAAAUAGAUGAAGUGUUCCUUAAAAAGGAACCUAUGCUGAAACAUAACCUUCCUGUUGAAAUUCUUGGGGAUCCCCCUCCACCCAAGGGUGAUCCCGUGUUUGAACUCAAACCCUUACCUAACAAUCUUAAGCAUGCUUAUCUUGAUGAAAAAGAAAUAUAUCCUGUAAUUAUUAGUGCUAACCUUUCAGAGAAAGAAGAAGAAAGAUUGUUGAAAACUCUGAAGAAGCACCGAGCAGCUAUUGGGUAUACUAUGGAUGAUCUUAAGGGCGUAAGUCCCACAUUAUGUCAACACAAAAUUACAUUGGAGGACGAUGCCAAACCAGUUAGAGAUCCUCAAAGACGAUUAAAUCCCAAGAUGAAGGAAGUGGCAAGGAAGGAGAUAUUAAAGCUCCUUGAGGCAGGUAUUAUUUAUCCCGUUGCUGAUAGUGAAUGGGUAAGCCCUGUCCAUUGUGUUCCUAAAAAGGGAGGUAUUACCGUUGUUCCUAAUGAUAAAGAUGAAUUGACCCGCAAAGAAUUAUUACAGGUUAUAGGAUGGUAAUUGAUUUCCGUAAGUUAAAUAAAGCUACUAAGAAAGAUCAUUAUCCCUUACCUUUUAUUGAUCAAAUGCUAGAAAGACUAUCCAAACACACACAUUUCUGCUUUCUAGAUGGUUAGUCUGGUUUCUCUUAGAUACCUGUGUCAGCGAAGGAUCAAUCUAAAACUACUUUUACUUGCCCUUUUGGUACUUUUGCUUAUAGAAGUAUGCCUUUUGGUUUAUGUAAUGCACCUGCUACCUUUCAAAGAUGCAUGAUGGCUAUAUUCUCUGAUUUUCGUGAAAAGAUUUGUGAGGUAUUCAUGGUGACUUCUCCGUCUAUGGAUCCUCUUUUGAUGAUUGUUUGAGCAACCUUGAUCGAGUUUUGCAGAGAUGCGAAAACACUAGUCUCGUCCUGAAUUGGGAAAAGUGUCACUUUAUGGAUAAUGAAGGCAUUGUCUUGGGGCAUAAGAUCUCCGAGAGAGGUAUUGAAGUUGAUAAAGCCAAAGUUGAUGCUAUUGAAAAGAUGCCAUGUCCCAAGGACAUAAAAGGUAUAAGAAGUUUUCUUGGUCAUGCCGGCUUUUAUAGGAGGUUCAUUAAGGAAUUUUCUAAGAUCUCUAGGCCUCUGACUAAUCUAUUGCAAAAAGAUAUUCCUAUUGUCUUUGAUGAUGAUUGUGUAGAAGCAUUUGAAAUACUUAAGAAAGCUUUGAUCACUGCACCUGUUGUUCAGCCACCUGAUUGGAAUCUACCUUUUGAAAUUCUCUGUGAUGCUAGUGAUUAUGCUGUAGGGGUUGUUCUAGGGAAAAGAGUCGAUAAGAAAUUGAAUGUUAUCCAGUACGCUAGUAAGACUCUUGAUACAGCCCAAAGAAAUUAUGCUACCACUAAAAAAGAUUUCUUAGCAGUUGUGUUUGCAUGUGAUAAGUUUAGACCUUAUAUUGUUGAUUCCAAAGUUACUAUUCACACUGAUCAUGCUGCUAUUAAAUAUCUUAUGGAAAAGAAAUAUGCUAAGCCUAGACUCAUUAGAUGGGUUCUCCUGCUCCAAGAGUUUGAUUUGCACAUUAUUGAUAGAAAGGGAGCUGAGAACCCCGCUGCAGAUAAAUUGUCUAGGUUAGAGAAUGUUCUUGGUGACCCACUGCCUAUUGAUGAUAGCUUUCCUGAUGAACAAUUAGCGGUCGUCAAUGCUUCUCGUACUGCUCCUUGGUAUGCUGAUUAUGCUAAUUACAUUGUUGCAAAAUUUAUACCGCCUAGUUUCACAUACCAGCAAAAGAAAAAGUUCUUUUAUGAUUUAAGACAUUACUUCUGGGAUGACCCGCACCUCUAUAAAGAAGGAGUAGAUGGUGUUAUUAGACGUUGUGUGCCUGAGCAUGAACAUGAACAGAUCCUACAUAAGUGUCACUCUGAAUCCUAUGGAGGACACCACGCUGGAGAUAGAACUGCACACAAGGUACUACAAUCCAGUUUUUAUUGGCCUACUCUCUUCAAAGAUGCUCGUAAGUUUGUCUUAUCUUGUGAUGAGUGCCAAAGAGUAGGUAACAUUAGUAGACGUCAAGAAAUGCCUAUGAAUUACUCUUUGUUAUCGAACCGUUUGAUGUUUGGGGCUUUGAUUAUAUGGGACCUUUUCCUGCCCCUAAUGGUUAUACUCAUAUUGGAGUUGUUGUUGAUUACGUUACUAAGUGGGUAGAAGGUAUUCCAACUAGUAGUGCUGAUCAUAAUACUUCUAUCAAAAUGCUUAAAGAAGUUAUUUUUCCGAGGUUUGGAGUCCCUAGAUAUCUUAUGACUGAUGGUGGUUCACAUUUUAUUCAUCGUGCUUUCCGUAAGAUGCUUGCUAAGUAUGAUGUCAAUCAUAGAAUCACAUCUCCUUAUCAUCCACAGUCUAGCGGUCAAGUAGAGUUGAGCAAUACAGAGCUCAAAUUAAUUUUGCAAAAGACUGUUAAUAGAUCUAGAAAGAAUUGGUCCAAAAAACACGAUGAUGCAUUAUGGGCCAUAGAACUGCAUACAAAAAUCCUAUGGGUAUGUCUCCAUAUAAGAUGGUUUAUGGAAAAGCGUGACAUUUGCCUCUUGAACUUGAACAUAAGGCAUAUUGGGCUAUUAAAGAGCUCAACUAUAACUUCAAACUUCCUUGUGAGAAGAGGUUGUUUCAUAUUAGCUCAUUUGAUGAAUGGAGAACCCAAGCUUAUGAGAAUGCCAAGCUAUUCAAAGAAAAAGUCAAACACUGGCAUGAUAAGAGGAUACAAAAGCGUGAAUUUAAGGUAGGUGAUUAUGUGUUAUUAUUCAACUCUCAUUAAGAUUGUUUGAAGGAAAUCUUCUCUCUAAAUGGGAAGGCCCCUACGUUAUCGAGGAGGUCUAUCGUUCUGGUGCGAUAAAGAUCAACAACUUCGAAGGCACAAGUCCGAGGGUGGUAAACGGUCAAAGAAUUAAACAUUAUAUUUUAGGUAAUCCUAUUAAUGUUGAAACUAAUAUUAUUGAAACCGUAACCCUGGAGGAAUACAGAAGGGACACUUUCCAGAACAUUCCAGACUCCAUAAAGGAAUAGGUAUGUGGUACGGUAAGUAAACCGACUCAAAAACAACUCCAAUGGCAAUUUUAAUCAGUUUUGGAUUAUUUAAGAAUUUUAGGAAGAAAUAAGUAGUCCAAAAGGGACACGAGGCCCCCACGAGAGUGGAGGGCGCGCCCCCCUUACUGGGCGCGCCCCCCUGUCUCGUGGACACCUCGUGUGCCUCUCGGACUCCGUUUUCUUGCACGUUAUGUAUUUUGGUCAGUAAAAAUUCAUUAUAUAUACUCCCGGAGGUUUUGACCACCGUAUCACGCAAAUAUCCUCUGUUUUUGUUUUGAGUUGUUUCCUGUUGCAGAUCAAGAGCAAGAUGUCUUCUCAGGAGUCAGUCGAGGACCGUCGGGUGUCCCAUCCAGCACCAGUACCAGGAGCAAUUAGCUAUGUUCAUCACUUUGGACCAUCAAUGGAGGAUGAGAUGGAGGCCGAUUCUAAAAGGAUAGAUGCCAUGGAGGAGGAUCAAGAAGUUACCUCUCGUCUCCGAGAAGAAUUCACUAUGGGGGAACUACCUAGCCUGGCUGUCCCUAUCUCGGUCACUCCCUCCAACUCUAGAUUUCUUUCUAAUGAAAAUAUGAAAAAGAGUUUCACUUGUUCUCCAGAAGCUAUGCAUUAUCCUUGGGUAAAAGGAGCUUUGGCCAUAACGGGCAAGCUCCGUAAAGAAAUUAUGGACCUCAAACGACAAGUCAAUACGCUCGAGUAGGAGAACCGUAUCCUUAAGGGCAUCAUCGCCAAGAAGAUCAUAACGCCAACCGUGAAGAAGGAGACAUAAUCACAUGGGUAUGGGCACUCCCCCUUGGCAACUACCAAGCUUGGGGGAGGUGCCCCAGUAUCGUAUCACUAAAAGAAUUGACGAUGGACAAGGAAGACAACAUAAUGGUUUAUGUUUUCUCACAUCUCAUUUAAAGUAUGUUGUCAUUGACCUUCCGAACAUGUUGAUCUUGCCUUUCCCCCUCAUUCUAGCCAAAUUCCUAGCACCAAGUAGAGAUACUACUUGUGCUUCCAAAUACCCUUAAACCCAGUUUUGCCAUGAGAGUCCACCAUAUCUACCUAUGGAUUGAGUAAGAUCCUUCAAGUAAGUUUUCAUCGGUGCAAGCAAUAAAAAUUGCUCCUUAAAUAUGCACGACUUAUUAGUGUGGAGAAAAUAAGCUUUAUACGAUCUUGUUAUGGAAGCAAUAAAAGCGGCGGACUGCAUAAUAAAGGUCCAUACACAAGUGACACAUAAAGUGACGUUCUUUCGUACUAAGAUUUUGUGUAUCCAACCCUAAAAGCGCAUGACAACCUCUGCUUCCCUCUGCGAAGGGCCUAUCUUUUACUUCAUGUUCUUACUUUGUGCUUUUAUUUUGUGCUUGAGUCAAGGUGAUCUUCACCUUUCCCUUUUUCAUUUUAUCCUUUGGCGAGCUCCUCAUGUUUGAAAGAUCGUUAUAUACAUAUCCAAUUGGAUGUUCAUUAGCAUGGGCUAUUAUUGUUGUCAUCACCAAAAUGUGAAUAUGUUGGGAGGCAACACAAUAAGCCCCUAUCUUUCUUACUGUCCGUCUGAAACUCCAUAACCACAAGUAUUUCGUGAGUGUUAGCAACUGUAGAAGACUAUAUGAUAGUUGAGUAUGUGGACUUGCUGAAAAGCUCUAUUGUUGACUCUUUCUGAUGUUAUGAUAAAUUGCGACUGCUUCAAUGACUGAGAUUAUAGUUUGUUAGUACUUAAUGAAGUUUGUGAACCAUACUUGAUAUUGUGAAUUGAUUGUUACUUGAGCAUAAGAAAUUAUAUAAUGGAAUCUAUACAUGUUGUUGUUAUAAGAAUGAUCAUGAUGCCCUCAUGGUCAUAUUUUAUUUUUAUCGACACCUCUAUCUCUAAACAUGUGGACAUAUUUUUCGAUAUCGGCUUCCGCUUGAGGACAAGUGAGGUCUAAGCUUGGGGGAGUUUAUACGUCCAUUUUGCAUCAUGCUUUUAUAUCAAUAUAUAUUGCAAUAUGGGCUGUUAUUACACAUUUUAUAUCAAUACUUAUGGCUAUUCUCUCUUAUUUUACAAGGUUUACCAUGAGGAGGGGGAAUGCCGGCAGCUGGAAUUCUGGCUGGAAAAGGAGCAAACGUUGGAAACCUAUUCUGCAUAGCUCCAAAAGUCUUGAAACUCCACGAAACAACCUUUUGGAAUUAAUAAGAAUUUCUGAACAAAAGAAAUACACCAGGGGGCCCACACCCUGUCCAGGAGACAGGGGGCGCCCCCCUAUAGGGCGUGCCCCUAUCUCCUGGGCCCCCUGGUGGGCCUCCGGUGCCCAUCUUCUGCUAUAUCAUCGCUUUUACCCUGGAAAAAAAAUCUUUGGCAAGCUUACGGGACGAAACUCCGCCGCCAUGACGCGGAACCUUGGCGGAACCAAUCUAGGGCUCUGGCAGAGCUGUUCUGCCGAGGACACUUCCCUCCGGCAGGGGGAAAUCAUCACCAACGUCAUCACCAACGAUCCUCUCAUCGGGAGGGGGUCAAUCUCCAUCAACAUCUUCACCAGCACCAUCUCCUCUCAAACCCUAGUUCAUCUCUUGUAUCCAAUCUUGUAUCCAAAACCACAAAUUGGUACCUGUGGGUUGCUAGUAGUGUUGAUUACUCCUUGUAGUUGAUACUUAUUGGUUUACUUGGUGGAAGAUCAUAUGUUCAGAUCCUUAAUGCAUAUUAUUACACCUCUGAAUAUGAACAUGAAUAUGCUUUUUGAGUAGUUAUGUUUGUUCCUGAGGACAUGGGUGAAGUCUUGCUAUUAGUAGUCAUGUGAAUUUGGUAUUCGUUCUAUAUUUUGAUGAGAUGUAUGUUGUCUUCUCCUCUAGUGGUGUCAUGUGAACGUCGACUACAUGACACUUCACCAUUAUUGGGCCUAGAGGAGGGCAUAUGGAAGUAAUAAGUAGAUGAUGGAUUGCUAGAGUGACAGAAACUUAAACCCUAGUUUAUGUGUUGCUUCGUUAGGGGCUGAUUUGGAUCCAUAUGUUUCAUGCUAUGGUUAGGUUUACCUUAAUAUUUUUGUUGUAGUUGCGGAUGCUUGCAAUAGGGGUUAAUCAUAAGUGGGAAGUUUUUCCAAGUAAGGGCAAUACCCAAGCACCAGUCCACCCACAUAUCAAAUUAUCAAAGUACCGAACAUGAAUCAUAUGAGCGUGAUGAAAACUAGCUUGACGAUAAUUCCCACGUGUCCUCGGGAGCUCCUUUAUCAUUAUUAGAAACUGUCCAGGCUUAUCCUUUGCUACAUAAAGGAUUGGGCCACCUUGCUGCACUUUAUUUACUUUGUUUACUUGUUACUCGUUACUAUUUAUCUUAUCACAAAACUAUCUAUCACCUACAAUUUCAAUGCUUGCAGAAAACCUUACUGAAAACCGCUUAUCAUUUCCUUCUGCUCCUCGUUGGAUUUGACACUCUUACUUAUCGAAAGGACUACGAUAGAUCCCCUACACUUGUGGGUCAUCAAGACUCUUUUCUGGCGCCGUUGCCGGGGAGUGUAGCAUUUUUGGUGAGUGGAACUUGGUAAGGAAACAUUUAUAUAGUGUGCUGAAAUUUUCUGUUACUUGUCACUAUGGAAACUAAUCCUUUGAGGGGCUUAUUUGGGGUAUCUUCACCCCAACCAGAAGAGCAAAGAGUUGCUCCUCAACCUACUGAACUUUAUGAAAAUAUUUAUUUUGAGAUUCCUUCGUGUAUGUUAGAGAAACUGCUAGCUAAUCCAUUUGCAGGAGAUGGAACGUUGCAUCCCGAUUUACACCUUAUCUUUGUGGAUGAAGUUUGUGGAUUAUUUAAGCUUGCAGGUAUUCCCGAUGAUGUUGUCAAAAGGAAGGUCUUCCCUUUAUCUUUGAAGGGAGAUGCAUUGACAUGGUAUAGGCUAUGUGAUGAUACGAGAUCUUGGAAUUAUAAGCGAUUGAAGUUGGAAUUUCACCAGAAGUUCUAUCCUAUGCAUCUUGUUCAUCGUGAUCGUAAUUACAUAUAUAAUUUCUGGCCUCGCGAAGGAGAAAGCAUCGCUCAAGCUUGGGGGAGGCUUAAGUCAAUGUUAUAUUCAUGUCCCAAUCAUGAGCUCUCUCGGGAAAUGAUUAUUCAAAAAUUUUAUGCUCGGCUUUCUCUUGAUAAUGGCAACCUGCUUGAUACUUCCUGUGCUGGUUCUUAUAUGUUGAAGACUAUUGAUUUCAAAUGGGACUUAUUGGAAAGAAUUAAACACAACUCUGAAGAUUGGGGUUCCGACGAUGGUAAGGAGUCAGGUAUGACACCUAAGUUUGAUUGUGUUAAAUCUUUUAUGGAUACCGAUGUUUUUCGUGGAUUUAGCGCUAAGUAUGGACUUGACUCUGAGAUAGUAGCUUCUUUCUGUGAAUCUUUUGAUACUCACGUUGAUCUCCCUAAAGAGAAGUAGUUUAAAUAUAAUCCUCCUGUUGAAGUUAAAGUAGUUGCACCUAUUACAGUCGAAGAAAAGACUAUUACCUAUAGUGAUCCUAUUGUUCCUACUGCUUAUGUUGAAAAACCUCCUUUUCCUGUUAGGAUAAAGGAUCAUGCUAAAGCUUCGACUGUUGUUCGUAAGAGAAAUACUAGGACUUAUACACCUCCUGAGCAAAUUACUGUUGAACCUUGUAUUGCUAUUGUUAAAGAUCUCUUGGAUGAUAAUUUAGAUGGGCUUGUUUUUUAUUUCUGUGAUGAAGCUGCUAAUAUUGCAAAACCAGACGCUAAGACACAUAGGCCCGUUGUAGGCAUGCCUGUUAUUUCUGUUAAAAUAGGAGAUCAUUGUUAUCAUGGCUUAUGUGAUAUGGGUGCUGGUGCUAGUGCAAUACCCUAUGACUUAUAUAAAUAAAUUAUGCAUGACAUUGCACCCGUUGAAUUGGAAGAUAUUGAUGUUACUAUCAAGCUUGCUAAUAGAGAUACUAUUUCACCAAUUGGGAUUGUUAGAGAUGUUGAAGUUUUGUGUGGGAAGGUUAAAUACCCUGCUAAUUUUCUUGUUCUUACUUCCCCUCAAGAUUCCUUUUGCCCCAUUAUAUUUGGUAGACCCUUCUUGAACACUGUUAAAGCUACGAUUGAUUGCAAAAAGGAUGUUGUUACGAUUGGCUUAGAUGAUAUGACUCAUGAGUUUAAUUUUGCUAAAUUUCGUAGACAACCCCGUGAUAAAGAAUUAUCUAGUAAAGAUGAAAUAAUUGGUCUUGCUUCUAUUGCCGUGCCUCUUACUGAUCCGUUAGAACAAUAUUUGCUAGACCAUGAAAAUGAUAUGUUUAUGAAAGAAAGAAGGGAAAUAGAUGAAGUGUUCCUUAAAAAGGAACCUAUGCUGAAACAUAACCUUCCUGUUGAAAUUCUUGGGGAUCCCCCUCCACCCAAGGGUGAUCCCGUGUUUGAACUCAAACCCUUACCUAACAAUCGUAAGUAUGCUUAUCUUGAUGAAAAAGAAAUAUAUCCUGUAAUUAUUAGUGCUAACCUUUCAGAGAAAGAAGAAGAAAGAUUGUUGAAAACUCUGAAGAAGCACCGAGCAGCUAUUGGAUAUACUCUGGAUGAUCUUAAGGGCGUAAGUCCCACAUUAUGUCAACACAAAAUUACAUUGGAGGACGAUGCCAAACCAGUUAGAGAUCCUCAAAGACGAUUAAAUCCCAAGAUGAAGGAAGUGGUAAGGAAGGAGAUAUUAAAGCUCCUUGAGGCAGGUAUUAUUUAUCCCAUUGCUGAUAGUGAAUGGGUAAGCCCUGUCCAUUGCGUUCCUAAAAAGGGAGGUAUUACCGUUGUUCCUAAUGAUAAAGAUGAAUUGAUCCCGCAAAGAAUUAUUACAGGUUAUAGGAUGGUAAUUGAUUUCCGUAAGUUAAAUAAAGCUACUAAGAAAGAUCAUUACCCCUUACCUUUUAUUGAUCAAAUGCUAGAAAGACUAUCCAAACACACACAUUUCUGCUUUCUAGAUGGUUAGUCUGGUUUCUCUCAGAUACCUGUGUCAGCGAAGGAUCAAUCUAAAACUACUUUUACUUGCCCUUUUGGUACUUUUGCUUAUAGACGUAUGCCUUUUGGUUUAUGUAAUGCACCUGCUACCUUUCAAAGAUGCAAGAUGGCUAUAUUCUCUGAUUUUUUUGAAAAGAUUUGUGAGGUAUUCAUGGAUGACUUCUCCGUCUAUGGAUCCUCUUUUGAUGAUUGUUUGAGCAACCUUCAUCAAGUUUUGCAGAGAUGCGAAAACACUAGUCUCGUCCUGAAUUGGGAAAAGUGUCACUUUAUGGUUAAGAAGGCAUUGUCUUGGGGCAUAAGAUCUCCGAGAGAGGUAUUGAAGUUGAUAAAGCCAAAGUUGAUGCUAUUGAAAAGAUGCCAUGUCCCAAGGACAUAAAAGGUAUAAGAAGUUUUCUUGGUCAUGUCGGCUUUUAUAGGAGGUUCAUUAAGGACUUUUCUAAGAUCUCUAGGCCUCUGACUAAUCUAUUGCAAAAAGAUAUUCCUAUUGUCUUUGCUGAUGAUUGUGUAGAAGCAUUUGAAAUACUUAAGAAAGCUUUGAUCACUGCACCUGUGGUUCAGCCACCUGAUUGGAAUCUACCUUUUGCAAUUAUCUAUGAUGCUAGUGAUUAUGCUGUAGGGGCUGUUCUAGGGAAAAGAGUCGAUAAGAAAUUGAAUGUUAUCCAGUAUGCUAGUAAGACUCUUGAUACAGCCCAAAGAAAUUAUGCUACCACUGAAAAAGAUUUCUUAGCAGUUGUGUUUGCAUGUGAUAAGUUUAGACCUUAUAUUGUUGAUUCCAAAGUUACUAUUCACACUGAUCAUGCUGCUAUUAAAUAUCUUAUGGAAAAGAAAUAUGCUAAGCCUAGACUCAUUAGAUGGGUUCUCCUGCUCCAAGAGUUUGAUUUGCACAUUAUUGAUAGAAAGGGAGCUGAGAACCCCGUUGCAGAUAAAUUGUCUAGGUUAGAGAAUGUUCUUGGUGACCCACUGCCUAUUGAUGAUAGCUUUCCUGAUGAACAAUUAGCGGUCGUCAAUGCUUCUCGUACUGCUCCUUGGUAUGCUGAUUAUGCUAAUUACAUUGUUGCAAAAUUUAUACCGCCUAGUUUCACAUACCAGCAAAAGAAAAAGUUCUUUUAUGAUUUAAGACAUUACUUCUGGGAUGACCUGCACCUCUAUAAAGAAGGAGUAGAUGGUGUUAUUAGACGUUGUGUGCCUGAGCAUGAACAGGAACAUAUCCUACAUAAGUAUCACUCUGAAUCCUAUGGAGGACACCACGCUGGAGAUAGAACUGUACACAAGGUACUACAAUCCAGUUUUUAUUGGCCUACUCUCUUCAAAGAUGCUCGUAAGUUUGUCUUAUCUUGUGAUGAGUGCCAAAGAGUAGGUAACAUUAGUAGACGUCAAGAAAUGCCUAUGAAUUACUCUCUUGUUAUCGAACCGUUUGAUGUUUGGGGCUGUGAUUAUAUGGGACCUUUUCCUGCCCCUAAUGGUUAUACUCAUAUUGGAGUUGUUGUUGAUUACGUUACUAAGUGGGUAGAAGGUAUUCCAAAUAGUAGUGCUGAUCAUAACACUUCUAUCAAAAUGCUUAAAGAAGUUAUUUUUCCGAGGUUUGGAGUCCCUAGAUAUCUUAUGACUGAUGGUGGUUCACAUUUUAUUCAUGGUGCUUUCGGUAAGAUGCUUGCUAAGUAUGAUGUCAAUCAUAGAAUCACAUCUCCUUAUCAUCCACAGUCUAGCGGUCAAGUAGAGUUGAGCAAUAGAGAGCUCAAAUUAAUUUUGCAAAAGACUGUUAAUAGAUCUAGAAAGAAUUGGUCCAAAAAACACGAUGAUGCAUUAUGGGCCAUAGAACUGCAUACAAAAAUCCUAUGGGUAUGUCUCCAUAUAAGAUGGUUUAUGGAAAAGCAUGUCAUUUGCCUCUUGAACUUGAACAUAAGGCAUAUUGGGCUAUUAAAGAGCUCAACUAUAACUUCAAACUUCCCGGUGAGAAGAGGUUGUUUCAUAUUAGCUCAUUUGAUGAAUGGAGAACCCAAGCUUAUGAGAAUGCCAAGAUAUUCAAAGAAGAAGUCAAACGCUGGCAUGAUAAGAGGAUACAAAAGCGUGAAUUUAAGGUAGGUGAUUAUGUGUUAUUAUGGGAAGGCCCCUAUGUUAUCGAGGAGGUCUAUCGUUCUGGUGCGAUAAAGAUCAACAACUUCGAAGGCACAAGUCCGAGGGUGGUAAACGGUCAAAGAAUUAAACAUUAUAUUUUAGGUAAUCCUAUUAAUGUUGAAACUAAUAUUAUUGAAACCGUAACCCCGGAGGAAUACAGAAGGGACACUUUCCAGAACGUUCCAGACUCCGUAAAGGAAUAGGUAUGUGGUACGGUAAGUAAACCGACUCUAAAACAACUCCAAUGGCAAUUUUAAUCAGUUUUGGAUUAUUUAAGAAUUUUAGGAAGAAAUAAGUAGUCCGAAAGGGACACGAGGCCCCCACGAGAGUGGAGGGCGCGCCCCCCUUACUGGGCGCGCCCCCCUGUCUCGUGGACACCUCGUGUGCCUCCCGGACUCCGUUUUCUUGCACGUUAUGUAUUUUGGUCAGUAAAAAUUCAUUAUAUAUAUUCCCGAAGGUUUUGACCACCGUAUCACGCAAAUAUCCUCUGUUUUUGUUUCGAGUUGUUUCCUGUUGCAGAUCAAGAGCAAGAUGUCUUCUCACGAGUCAGUCGAGGACCAUCGGGUGUCUCAUCUAGCACCAGUACCAGGAGCAAUUAGAUAUGCUCAUCACUUUGGACCAUUAAUGGAGGAUGAGAUGGAGGCCGAUUUGAAAAGGAUAGAUGCAAUGGAGGAGGAUCAAGAAGUUACCUCUCGUCUCCGAGCAGAAUUCACUAUGGGGGAACUACCUAGCCUGGCUGUCCCUAUCUCGGUCACUCCCUCCAACUCUAGAUUUGUUUCUGAUGAAAAUAUGAAAAAGAGUUUCACUUGUUCUCCAGAAGAUAUGCAUUAUCCUUGGGUAAAAGGAGCUUUGGCCGUAAUGGGCAAGCUCCGUAAAGAAAUUAUGGACCUCAAACGACAAGUCAAUACGCUCGAGGAGGAGAAUCGUAUCCUUAAGGGCAUCAUCGCCAAGAAGAUCAUAACGCCAACCAUGAAGAAGGAGACAUAAUCACAUGGGUAUGGGCACUCCCCCUUGGCAACUACCAAGCUUGGGGGAGGUGCCCCGGUAUCGUAUCACCAUCACACUCCUAUCUUUACCGCUUUAUUUAGUUCGAUCCUUUUAGUAGUUUCUUGAUCUAGUAGAUUGAAGUUUUGAUAUCAAGUAGUUUGAGUUUUGCUUAGUGCUGUCUUUUUGUAAUCGAGUCCGUGAGUUAUCUAUAAUAAAGAUUAGUGUUGAGUCAAGGGCUUUUGCUUUGUUGCUAUGAUCUAUAGAAAGAACAAAAAGAACAAAAGAGUUCAUAUUGAUCUUAUGGAUAGUAAUAACUUCACACAUAGAAAGUAUGAGGCUUAAAGGUUGUUGAGAUUUGAUAAACAUAGUUUUGGUCAUCGUUGCAAUUAAUAGGAAGUAAUAAGGGAAGAGAGGUUUGCAUAUAAAUACACUAUCUUGGACAUCUUUUAUGAUUGUGAGCACUCAUUAAGUAUGACGAUGGACAAGGAAGACAACAUAAUGGUUUAUGUUUUCUCACAUCUUAGUUAAAGUAUGUUGUCAUUGACCUUCCGAACAUGUUUAUCUUGCCUUUCCCCCUCAUGCUAGCCAAAUUCCAAGCACCAAGUAGAGAUACUACUUGUGCUUCCAAAUACCCUUAAACCCAGUUUUGCCAUGAGAGUCCACCAUAUCUACCUAUGGAUUGAGUAAGAUCCUUCAAGUAAGUUGUCAUCGGUGCAAGCAAUAAAAAUUGCUCCUUAAAUAUGCACGACUUAUUAGUGUGGAGAAAAUAAGCUUUAUACGAUCUUGUUAUGGAAGCAAUAAAAGCGGCGGACUGCAUAAUAAAGGUCCAUACACAAGUGACAUACAAAGUGACGUUCUUUCGUACUAAGAUUUUGUGUAUCCAACCCUAAAAGCGCAUGACAACCUCUGCUUCCCUCUCCGAAGGGCCUAUCUUUUACUUCAUGUUCUUACUUUGUGCUUUUAUUUUGUGCUUGAGUCAAGGUGAUCUUCACCUUUCCCUUUUUCAUUUUAUCCUUUGGCGAGCUCCUCGUGUUUGAAAGAUCAUUAUAUACAUAUCCAAUUGGAUGUUCGUUAGCAUGGGCUAUUAUUGUUGACAUCACCUAAAUGUGAAUAUGUUGGGAGGCAACACAAUAAGCCCCUAUCUUUCUCAGUGUCCGUCUGAAACUCCAUAACCACAAGUAUUUCGUGAGUGUUAGCAACUGUAGAAGACUAUAUGAUAGUUGAGUAUGUGGACUUGCUGAAAAGCUCUAUUGUUGACUCUUUCUGAUGUUAUGAUAAAUUGCGAUUGCUUCAAUGACUAAGAUUAUAGUUUGUUAGUUCUUAAUGAAGUUUGUGAACCAUACUUGAUAUUGUGAAUUGAUUGUUACUUGAGCAUAAGAAAUUAUAUAAUGGAAUCUAUACAUGUUGAUGUUAUAAGAAUGAUCAUGAUGCCCUCAUGUCCAUAUUUUAUUUUUAUCGACACCUCUAUCUCUAAACAUGUGGACAUAUUUUUCGAUACCGGCUUCCGCUUGAUGACAAGUGAGGUCUAAGCUUGCGGGAGUUGAUACGUCCAUUUUGCAUCAUGCUUUUAUAUCAAUAUCUAUUGCAAUAUGGGCUGUUAUUACACAUUUUAUCUCAAUACUUAUGGCUAUUCUCUCUUAUUUUACAAGGUUUACCAUGAAGAUGGGGAAUGCCGACAGCUGGAAUUCUGGCUGGAAAAGGAGCAAACGUUGGAAACCUAUUCUGCAUAGCUCCAAAAGUCCUGAAACUCCACGAAACAACCUUUUGGAAUUAAUAAGAAUUUCUGAGCAAAAGAAAUACACCAGGGGGCCCACACCCUGUCCAGGAGACAGGGGGCGCCCCCCUAUAGGGCGCGCCCCCUAUCUCCUGGCCCCCCUGGUGGGCCUCUGGUGCCCAUCUUCUGCUAUAUCAUCGCUUUUACCCUGCAAAAAAAAUCUUGGGCAAGAUUACGGGACGAAACUCCGCCGCCAUGACGCGGAACCUUGGCGGAACAAAUCUAUGGCUCUGGCAGAGCUGUUCUGCCGGGGAAACUUCCCUCCAGCAGGGGGAAAUCAUCACCAACGUCAUCACCAACGAUCCUCUCAUCGGGAGGGGGUCAAUCUCCAUCAACAUCUUCACCAACACCAUCUCCUCUCAAACCCUAGUUCAUCUCUUGUAUCCAAUCUUGUAUCCAAAACCACAAAUUGGUACCUGUGGGUUGCUAGUAGUGUUGAUUACCCCUUGUAGUUGAUACUUAUUGGUUUACUUGGUGGAAGAUCAUAUGUUCAGGUCCUUAAUGCAUAUUAUUACACCUCUGAUUAUGAACAUGAAUAUGCUUUUUGAGUAGUAACGUUUGUUCCUGAGGACAUGGGUGAAGGCUUGUUAUUAGUAGUCAUGUGAAUUUGGUAUUCGUUCGAUAUUUUGAUGAGAUGUAUGUUGUCUUCUCCUCUAGUGGUUUCAUGUGAACGUCGACUACAUGACACUUCACCAUUAUUGGGCCUAGAGGAGGGCAUAGGGAAGUAAUAAGUAGAUGAUGGGUUGCUAGAGUGACAGAAGCUUAAACCCUAGUUUAUGCGUUGCUUCGUUAGGGGCUGAUUUGGAUCCAUAUGUUUUAUGCUAUGGUUAGGUUUACCUUAAUACUUUUGUUGUAGUUGCGGAUGCUUGCAAUAGGGGUUAAUCAUAAGUGGGAUGCUUGUCCAAGUAAGGGCAGUACCCAAGCACCGGUCCACCCACAUAUCAAAUUAUCAAAGUACCGAACGCAAAUCAUAUGAGCGUGAUGAAAACUAUCUUGAUGAUAAUUCCCAUGUGUCCUCGGGAGCUCCUUUACCAUUAUUAGAAAUUGUCCAGUCUUAUCCUUUUCUACAUAAAGGAUUGGGACACCUUGCUGCACUUUAUUUACUUUAUUUACUUGUUGCUCGUUACUAUUUAUCUUAUCACAAAACUAUCUAUCACCUACAAUUUCAGUGCUUGCAGAAAACCUUACUGAAAACCGCUUUUUAUUUCCUUGUGCUCCUCGUUAGGUUCGACACUCUUACUUAUCGAAAGGACUACGAUAGAUCCCCUACAAUUGUGGGUCAUCAGAGACCAUGUCUUCUCGCAACACACAACAACUUGGUACAGAAAAACAACCGCUUUAUUCAUGCUAGCGGAGCAUAGUUCAUAUUACAACAGUUAGCGAGGCCAAGCGGCACACACGGUGUGGCUUAACAAUAUGUACAUUAUUUAGUAAACAUAAAGGGGCCUCGAUCAUGACAAUUACGCGGCAGCGGAACAACGUCGUAGCGGGACUCCAUAGCACAGGGACACCGAUGUGGACACGAUCUAGACUCGGAUAGCUCUCCUUUCCAACGAGACUUUCCUGAAAUCUGGCAUGACACACCAGGUCAGUACAUUGAAUGUACUUGCAAGCUCACAACAAGCAUAAACAUAAUGACAAACAAUAUCAUGAUACUUAAACAAUUAAUAAUAAUGCAACAAUAUAUCCAACAUGCUGUGAAUAUGCUCAAGUGGUACUGGUCCCAUGGACUCGUUUACUGAACGUGAUCAUUUCCAGACCACACACAUGAAGAAUUCAACGACAAUAUCGCGAUCCUUACGGCGAUCACAACGAGACCACACCUGGUCUAACUCAACCCGAUGGCCUUACUGCCAUUACCUUAGUGCAAAUUUUAGAGUGCAAAUUUAUGAAGUGUUGACCCAUGGUGUACCCUACUUUCGAGCGUGUCCGUAACCGUGGACUCGGUUAUCGAUAGAUUAAUACACUCUGCAGAGGUAGCGCACUGGACCCAUACUACGGAACCCAUGGCCUCGCACGCCCAUUCAUGUGGACCAAUGGCAUUCUGACGAAACCACUUCAUUGUCAUGACACUCUCCCGGCCACUCUGACUAAAUCCCCAUCGGGCUAGUCCUGGGUGGCCCUGUGUCUACCUCAAGACACCUCAAACCACCGUCGUGGCAACGAUCCACUCUGGGACCCAAACACUUAACUCAGCAACUGGCACAUAAGGUUAUGCCUGCUUACCGGGCCAGGGUACAGCACGCCCAUAACCUUCCCUAGAUGGAGGCACCAACCAGAGGCACGACAAUGAAACGCAUUAAGGCCGUCCCAUACCGGCAAAUGUGGUUGCACUUGGAAAAACUCAUUUCAGUGGCACCAUGACCCGGUCAACAACAUAUUCAAGUUGAGUGAUUUAUCAGGUUCAACUUAAAGUGAAAGUAACCGGUGUCAUAAUGCCAUGCUAUGCAUCACUAACAUUUGCAUCAAAUAAUCAUGAAAAUAACUAAAUCAACUACGCUCCCACAGAGCCAUCACUAACUCAAGAUACUUCUCUGGUUAAGAUCAAACCUCACUUAAACCAAAACCAUUUCUAGCAAUCUCAUCAUUUUUCAUCAUGCAAGAAUAAUAAUUAAACUAACUAUUAACCUUCAUGACCAUAUCCUUUUAUUAUCACCCACAUCUAAGUUCUUGUUAGCUUAUCAGCAAGAUUCAUUUCAAACUUUCUGUAAAUCAAACACACUUAACAUGACAAGAAUCUAACAGAAUAUAAUUAUCAUAAUAAUUAUUUAAAUGCAUGAAUAAUCAUAAGUUCAAGUAGAAAAAUCACAAAUAUUGAAGUGGGACUAUGAAAAUGUUUUUUUGGCUUGCCUUAGUGUUGAUGAGGUUCACAAACCUCCUGGUGAUCCUCAAGACAAGCUUGCUCUUCUGAAAAUAAAUAAAACCACAAAAAGAAAACAUCAAGAAACCUUCUGAAAAUUACAGAAAAGACAGCAAGGAAAAAUCCCAUCUUUUGGGUGCUGCUAGACUUUUGGACAAAGAACACAAUGGAAAAAAGAAUCAAUGCAUUUGGACUUAUAGAAUGAAAGUUGUGGCUGUUUGAAGUUUCCUGGAUUUAAAUGAAUUUGAUUUAAAAAGAAAACAGACUCGGGGNNNNNNNNNNNNNNNNNNNNNNNNNNNNNNNNNNNNNNNNNNNNNNNNNNNNNNNNNNNNNNNNNNNNNNNNNNNNNNNNNNNNNNNNNNNNNNNNNNNNNNNNNNNNNNNNNNNNNNNNNNNNNNNNNNNNNNNNNNNNNNNNNNNNNNNNNNNNNNNNNNNNNNNNNNNNNNNNNNNNNNNNNNNNNNNNNNNNNNNNNNNNNNNNNNNNNNNNNNNNNNNNNNNNNNNNNNNNNNNNNNNNNNNNNNNNNNNNNNNNNNNNNNNNNNNNNNNNNNNNNNNNNNNNNNNNNNNNNNNNNNNNNNNNNNNNNNNNNNNNNNNNNNNNNNNNNNNNNNNNNNNNNNNNNNNNNNNNNNNNNNNNNNNNNNNNNNNNNNNNNNNNNNNNNNNNNNNNNNNNNNNNNNNNNNNNNNNNNNNNNNNNNNNNNNNNNNNNNNNNNNNNNNNNNNNNNNNNNNNNNNNNGUCGAAGGCGUAAAUGCCUGGGGUGCCACUACUUGUACCGCUUGGCGCGCGUACUGAGUGGCUGAUUAGCAGGCCCCGCUAGUCAGGCCAGAAGGAGGGGGAGAGGAAAAUAGAAGGAGGCGGGGCUUCGCCGGAGUACACGCCGGCGACGAGGGUUCUUGGGGUCAAACGAGAGGGGGGGGAUCGAAGGAGAAGAAGGUGGCACACCUGCCCAUACCCGUAGCGUGGCUAGAGGUGACUGGACGGUGUCGAAAGCGGCCUCUCUAGCGGAGGCAGAGGGCAGCGGUCACUGGAGACGAAGACAACGGUGGUUCGGGGCGGCUCCAGGGGGUCCAACCGGGCGGAACUCCCUCACCGAAGAGUGGCGGAGGCCCUGGCAGGGUCGCCCUAGCCUGGGAGGGGUCGGAGCUGCGGGGACGAUCUGGAGGGGAUAGCCGACGAGCUCGGGCUUCGGGACGGUAGCCGGCAGCCUGCCCGGUCGGGCUGCGGCUUCUACUGGUUUGUGGAGGGUGUGGGAGUAGCUGCGGGGGCUCAAGGAGGCUGGGGGUGGCGGCAUUUAUAGGCGGGCGGCGAGAGGGGUUCGGGCUCCGCCGGAGGACACCUGUCCACGGCGCCCGGUGACGAACGGCGCCAGUGAGAGAGGGGGAAGACGACGGAGGUCACGCGGAAACUAUUGGCGGGCACGUACGAGCAUAGGGGAGAGGGAUAAGACGACGAGCACAGUGCGCCAUGCACUUGUCGUUGGCCGGACUGUGCCCUUGCCCGCUGCAGCGAGCUCCGGCAUCGGCAAGAGCCAGGGGGAGUUAAGGGGGUGGAGACGGGGAUGGUGGCGAGGCUUGGCAUGCUCGGGCAGGAUGGGUAGCAAGCACGCGCUCAACUGAGCGCUAGGCGGCAUGCAGAGCGCAUGUUUUGCAUGCCAGCACGGCCGGACAAACGCGGUCACCGCGUGAACCAUGACAUCAGGCCACCCUAAGCGCUAACUUGAUGUCUGGCAUGUAGUCCUUGGUGGUUUGAAGUGUUACCAUGGUUGGGCUUGGAUCCAGGUGCACUAGAAAUGGAUUUGUACUGCUAGCAAGUUUCUGGACAGUAACUUUGGAGGUUUACUGUGGUCAGACCACUGGGAGUUAAGGCUUUGGAGGCUAGCUUACACGUACUAAGGUAAAUAGGCACAAGAAAAACCAGCUACAAUGGAGCUAGUAAAAUGGUAGUUGCUGUAGAAACUACCAUUUAUGUCCAGAAAUGAAUUUAUUUUCUGUAGCCAAAAUAUUCCAAAGAGUGAUGAAAUAUUUUUGCUAAGAAAGGUGCCCUAGGGUUCAAAGAAUAAUUUGGAUUUUUCUCAGGAUUUUUGGGGCAAGAAAAAUUAGGGUUGCUUUGGAGCACAAAGGGCUAGCUACGGUUUUGGAGGGCGAAAUGAAUAUUUUUCAUUUAAGAAAAAUAUUCCAAGCAAUAUUUUGAGUUGAUCCAGAGGUGAAAUGAUGGUUUUGAGGAGGAGAGGGAGCACUUGGGUGAAAGUCAAGGGGUACCUAAGUGGUUAAGUCAAAAUGAAGAGAUUCAAAACUCCAAAUUCAAAACCAACUCAACUGAAAACCAGACAGAGACAAAGAGGGCAAAAACCAGGCUGUCACAUGCGGUACGCCACAUCCCUCCUGAUGAACAGGACCCCCGUUUCGACUGUAGCGCUCCAACACAAGUCUGUUUUGUCCAUUUUGCGGGACGCCACACCCCUCCCAAUCAACAAGACCCCCGUUUCGACCGUAGGUGGUCCGUUUCCUCCGUUUUGCGGUAUGCCAGACCCUUCCCAAUGAACAGGAUCCUGUUUCAAACGUGGCCGGUCGAACACAAGGCCGUUUCCUCUGUUCUGCGGUAUGCCAGGCCUCGUUUCCAUCGCCUGUUCCGUCCAAGCCCUCCUGAUGAACACGACGACGCGUUCCGUUCCAACCCAGCCGGUUGGCUCCCCUUGUACACAACGAGGACGUUGUUUCUCUGUUGCGACCCAGCCAUGUACACGAGGACUGGCCGUAUGUAUGCGCGAGUAGGCAUUCGAGACCCCGCCCGUAUGUACACAUACGUGACCGUAUUUUCUUUCUUGCACACUGGCCGCUGUACAUACGUGUACAUGCUACGUGUGCGCCUCUACUACGACACGUGCGCGCCUCUACAUCCACUAGUAUGUACGUACAUGUUCGCGACCAGAAUGACAACGCUACGUACCCUUCGACCAGGUGGGUCCCGACUGUCAGGCACUUCCUUGCGUGCGAAGAUGUAGCUAGUGGGUCCCAGCAGUCAGGGGGCAAAUCGUUUUUUUGCCCGGACGCACUCCCUUGCGUGCGAAGAUGUAGCUGGUGGGUACCAGUAGUCAGGGGGGAACGUUUUUUCGCGAAAUACAGUGGCUCGUCCGGUGGGUCCCUGCUGUCAGGUGGAUGUAUCAUUAUUUUCCGCGUAAUAAGGAGGCACUUCCUUGCUACGGCCGUGGACCCAGCUGUCAGCCUCUCCACGUACAGUGCAUGUCCGAUGGAAGUCAUUCCUUGACCACAUUGACCACGCCGUGCCGAGAGCACCACAGCGGUGGAUGACAGCAAGGCUUAGGAAGGGGACGCCGCGGAGCUGGGGAAGACGCGGCAGUGGAUACCCGCGCGGAGAGGAGUACGAGGGUUCAUUAGUUCGGCUGUGGUGUAAGGCUGCCGUUGUCACAGAAUAACAUGGGGUGUGGGUGAGUGGAGGGAUGGCCUGGCCAGUGGUGGGAGUGGUAUGGGGGCGGUGAGGCCUCCGCGGUAGCACAGCCGGCCACGGGAGGCAGGAGCAGGCGGCAUGACCGGCGCUGCUUUGGGCGGCUGGAGCAAGAAGACCAGAGGUUGAAGAAGCACUAUGGCCAUUGGAUGGACAUCAUACGGUCACUAGAGUAUUGACUAAGUUGACAAAGCCCUCCGUCCCCAUCAACUUAGUAGGCCCACAAGUCAGCCCAACAAUAUGGUGGGUCCCAGCUAGCAGGGGGGUAUUCAUUUUUUUGGGCAUAAUAAGGAGGCACUUCCUUAUGUGCGAAGAUAUAGCUGGUGGGUCCGACCUGUCAGCGGGGGGAACGCUUUUUUCGCGAAAUAAAGAGGCCCUUCCUGUGGGUGCUAGCUGUCAGGUGGAGGAAUCAUUAUUUUGCGCGUAAUAAGGAGGCAUUUCCUUGCAUGCGGCCGUGGACCCAGCUGUCAGCCUCUCCACUACAGUCCACUUCCGAUGGAUGUCAUUCAUUAACCACGUUGACCAGGCCACACCAAGAGCACCAGGGCGGUGGACGACGGCGAGGCCUAGGAAGGGAACGACACAGAGCCAGGGAAUACUCGGCAGUUGUUUCCCACAUGGAGGAGUACGAGGGUUUACUGGUUUGUCUGCCAUCCCCGGAGCAACAGGUGUGGGUGAGUAGAGGGAUGGCUAGGCCAGCAAUGGCAGUACGGUGGGGCCGUGAGGCCUGUGCGGCAGCAUAGCCGGCCGUGGGAGGACGGAGCAGGCAGUCCCGCCGGCGCUUGUUUGAGCGGAUGGAGCAUGAAGAGCAAAGAUUGAAGAAGCACAACAGCCGUUGGAUGGACAUCCAACAGUCACUGCUCUCGUGUGUGGACUAAGUUGACAGGGUGUUGCGUGUGCGUCAACCUCUUUUUUUAUGAAAGCAUACGCGUCAACCUGUAGUAGGUGCACAAGUCAGCCUCAAAUCUGUGGAAAACAGCAUACAACCCAUCUGCCAUUAUUUCUAAUAAUGUACAGCCCAUUUGCUAAUUCUUAUGAAUUAUUUUGGAGCCCAUCUUCUUUUUGUUAGCAUUAGACCCCAUAUUGUGGCCACGGUUAAAAAGUAUACGAAAUUUUGCAUAUUUUGGUGCGGUCAACUGUUUUUAAUCCAGAAAUAUGGAUUCACAUUCAAACUAUUUUGAAAUAUAAUUUAUAUAAAUAUAAAAUCCAAAUAAUUGUCCAUGCAUAAAAAUCAAUGGAAUUUAAAAUCUUGUAAUGAAAAAAAAUUGAAACUAAUUCCCGGUUUGAUGUGUUUUAAAAAUGUACAGCCCAUUUCUGGGCAAACCGAAUGAAACUCUCCUCGUCUUGAAAGAUUUGCAGCCCAGCAGGGCCGAUAAAGCAAGUAGGCCUUGUUUGGGUAUUUCUUUAAAAAAAGAGAACUGGGCUAGCCAUUUUCAGCAAGAAAAAACACAACUGGGCUCAUGAUGUGGUAAACAUAAAUAAAACCCUGGCUAGAUGGGCCACAACCCCGCACAACCCCGUUGUUACCCUGAUCCGUUGCUAAAACUAGUAUAAAUAACAAUUGCUUGUUCCUCAAAAAAAAUGAGCAACCUGCUGGGUCCCUGGUAUCAGCCGCUCGUAGUGUAAUUCUCUCAUUUAUUGACUUUGUUGACAAUGGCGUGAGCCCCAGAUGUCCAACCAUUAGGAGGAACCAUAUUUUUGGGCUUGUAAUAUAGAGGCACUUGCUUGCAUACUGCCAUGACGCUGGUGGGUCCCUACUGUCAUCCUCUCCACGUACAGUCAUCUCCUUGUUCCUCUCGGUUGUUGAUGACGUUGACAACGCAAGAGAGCGGCGCACUACACACGGAGAGCGAACCAAGGCCGCAAAGCGGAGGACGACGACGAGGCCUCAGACGGAACGGACAUGAGCUGUGGAAGAUGCGCCGGUCCAGUCGCAGGUGGAGGGGACUACGAGGGUCGACUGGUUCGGGUGCGGGUCGUGUUGGGGCUGACAUCGCUGGAGAAUAAUAGGACGUAUGGGGGAAUAGAGGGAGGGACUGGCCAACAUUGGAGGGUACGUAUGGUAGGGCGGCGGAGGCGCAGCCAGCCAUGGGAUGCGGGACAGGCGGAGCCGACGGGGUGGUUCGGUUUGGGCGGCUGGAGGAAGAAGACAAGAGAUAGAAGAUACAUGACAGAUGUUGGAUGUCAAUCCAACGGCUGGUAGGUAGAAUCGUUUGUUGACUGGCUAGUAAGUCGACACCACCUUGGAUAGGCUAUUUCCUCGCGGAUCCCAAAUGUCAGAAUCCAAAUCUGUCACGGUCAAGCAGCCUGUCCUAUAAAAAUUUAGAGCCCAUUUGAUGUGCUAGUUCGAAAUAAGUUUGUGGGUGCUGGUGGGGGCUAAUCACUUGGCUUCUGUAAUGCACAGUGAGCUCAAGCAGCCGGCGAGAGUGAUGUUAUUUCCCUUGGUUGGGAUUUGUUACAAUAUUUCACUCUAAUUUAAACGAAUGGCAAGCCAUUUUCCUUGUUUCAAAGAAAAUAUGACAGUCACAGCCGAGUUGAAAAGGGCAGGAACAUCUAACUCCAUCUUAUAAACUGUACAAAAGCAUGAGGGUUAAUUGUUCAUCAGGUUUACAAAAAAACCCAGGUUGAAAAGGGCAACAACAUCUAACUCCAGCACUGUUUUCAGCAGUCACAGUCAAAUGGAUCGGUUAUGUCCAUAGAAUGAACAUCCUGGGUCGUAAGAGUUACUAGAUUAUGACCACAAUAUGUUGUAAAUAGAAGCUCGGCAUGUUCAGAUGCUCUUUUGCCCACCUGAAACUCCUUUUUUUUGCUCUUUGACAUACCCAUCCGUCAAAACCAUGCUGCUGAUAAACUUAAGCCGGAUGGACAAUAGUAACCUCGCAUUCAGCAGGAACAAUGUGACAAAUCUAGUGUUUGCAUGGUUGGCUACAUAUCGUUCUAGCGUUAUUGUCUUCAAUCAAAUAUCAUGAGAAGUGAGAAAAUCCCGAUGCUUAUGAAUCCACCGAUUGGUAAUAACUUUCUUACCCCGUCAUGUUGCCUAAAUAGACAUGAAGAUUGAAAACAGUUAAGGUCUAAAAAAAGAGUGUCAAAAGAGCAACAAUUGAACGGUUAAUUCUAGUACACUAUAUGCGGGCUUCCAAUGUGCGUGAAAUUAUCACCUUUAUAUACAACUUCUCCAGACAUGGAAAUCAUUGCAGCAAGCCAAUAAUCUUGUUCAGAUCAAAACUCUUCAUUUGGAUAUAUAAGAUCUUGACAAAAUCCAACAACAUUGAUAGGCCAUCCAUGGAGAAACUCUUCAUUGAGCAUAGAACAUAAUAUUGGUACAAAAUGUGUACUCCAAGAUGAUAUAUAACUUAUGGGAAAAAAUUUAAAAUGCAGCUUAUGGUUACAAGUGUAGAUCAUAAUAUAAAGUACCUGAAGAACUGUGGAGCCAAACAGCAUAUUGAAAUGAGCACAGAGAUCAUGUAUUACACCCAAGGUCUCCAGUUUAGGCGCAGAGAGGACAAUUAUUUGCAACGGUGAAUAACUAGAAUCAAGGAUCAACCUUUGAAGUGAAGGGGCAUCUUGGAUGAUGAGCUGCCUUCUGUUAAAAGAAAUUCCAAUUCUUACAAGGUUAGGCGACUUUAUUUGGAGACAACCGAUUCUAACUGUGAAAACAAGCACCAAACACUCCAGGGCAGGGCAACUGGAGUGGAUGAUGCUGUGCAAUGAGGCCUCCGAUAUACGAACCCGCACAAGUGAAAGUUUCUUGAGAAAUGGGAGUCGAAGGUUUAGUACCAUAUUGUCUGGUAGGUAGCACAACGCAAAGGUGGCGGUGUGGAGAGAGGAGGAAAACCGCGAGAUGGACAUUGGUGCUGAGGGCACAAGUUCAUGGCAUUCGGUAUGUGGUAUGUGAUUUCCAGGGGAAUAGUAGAACUCAAGCAGUUGUAGUUCUGUGAAUAUAGGGGAUUUCAGCCAGGCGUCCACCGUGCAGGGCAUGGUAUGCUUGCUCAGGUAGCAUGACGGGAUGCAUAGGCUUUGAACGGAGCCCUGGUGGGAGGAGAUGAUGGCUCUGGGGAUUUCAAAAUCAUUGAAGAGAGAUAGCUGACGACAAUCGAUAUUAAGGGCACGACGCGCCAUAGAGGGCGCCACCGAAUUGAGUGGACUUGGUUGCGGAAGCUAUCCUUGGUGGGGAUAAGCGAGAUGAUCUCCCCAAGUACGGUGUCCGGGAGAUCGCUGAUGCGGUCCACCCGAGAUUCUACGGGUUCCUGGGAUCCGGUGGGGGCGGGGUCGCCGCUUCUCCCCGUGCUGUCGGGUGCGGGAUCUACAACAGGCGUUGCCAUUGGCGGGAGCCUCAUCUUCUUUACGAUGGGGUCAGCCGACUGCAUUUUCCUUGAGGGCGUCGCGUCGCUCUCACGGAUUUGAGCAGAGUAACGAACGACGAGCCUAGUUGUAGUGCGAGUGAAGAAGAAGGGGGGCUGAGGUUUUUUCUGUAGUAGUGAGGAAGAAGGGGAGCUGGGGUUUUCUGUAGGAGUGAGGUGAGAAAUUUGGGGGUACGAGUGGAGCGAACUGACGUGAGGUGGGUGGGAGCGAGGAGGAAGAAGAGCACCCAGGUUUUUUGGGGGGCAGUGUGUUGGGUGUGGGUAGCGCCUCUCAUUCAGUAAAUAUAGGGCUUUUGAAUUGAUUUUUCUAUUUACUAGUGUGGAUGGGCUGUUUUGUCUUGGCCCCAGAGAAACAAUUACUACUAGUAUAGUGGAGACACUCUACAACUACCCAGAAAAACAAUUACUACUAGCACAGUGGAGACACACUACCGCUUAUGGCUCCUCCUAGGUCAUUGAAACGUCUCCCUCUACUAAAUGCCAUUAUACUUUUGUUCACCGACAUGCGGGCCAUGCAACGCGCGGGCCCAAAUGCCAUCCACCAAAUUAGAAGGCAGUAUGCAGGCGGAGAGUCACCCCGGUCGUAGCGCGGCAGUAACGAGCCGUCGUAUCACAAAACCCCACCUCCCCGCAGUUUAAGUUUGACGGACGAAGCAACCAUCAUUUCACUCUUCGCUGAAUCCCCUUCUCCCUCACCGUCUUCAAGAAAGGAAACACUCGCAUCUGCCACUGUUCUUCUCUACCAACGAAGGGAAGGUAAGCGGAUCCGUGAUGUUGGUAUAUUUUCGUUCAGAGAAAAAAAAGAACUUUUGCAAAGCAGUAAACGACCCUCACUCUCUUUUUUGUUUCAUUGUCAUUGCGAUUGUGUUUUCCUUUCAGUGGUCUCCUAGUAUUCGUCAGUUUCAUGAUGGACCAAGGAGAACCAGGCAAAGAUCUGCCAGUAUUGGAGCAAACGCGGGAGGCUGAUCCCCACGAGACAGAGAGCUCCAAGAAGAUGGAGGCAGCCACCGAGCCGACCCCAGAUACGCUCACGGGCACUACUGAGAUGGUCAACGCCCCGUUUCAGGUUACAGCCCCCGUGGCACUGCAGGAGCAGUUUUGCCCCUUCGAGGAUGUGUCCCCCCCCCCCCGCGGCGGAGCUGCCCAAGGUGAUUUUCUUCUUUUCCGAUCUCGAUUGUGGUUUUUCAUCUAAGUAUGUGGUGAUUAAUAAUGCAAAAUUUUAUUAGUAUCGAUGACAUGCUAUACAUAGUGGUUUAAAUAACUUGUGUUUCUUAUACUGAAAAGUAAUUCAGAAUUUGUUUCUGUUUCAAUUAGAACCCUGAUGCAGACAAGGAUUGUGUGGUUGUACAUAUCACUCGCUAUGAGGCGGAUGACCUGAAUAUACGCACUUGGAAAACAGAGUUCUUAGGCUGUUGGAUCCUGGAAGCCAUUUGCGGUUAUACCAAUGAAGAGUUGUAUUCCAGCCUCACUGUUGACAGGCGUGUUGUCCAGGGUGUAUUGAAGCAUAAGAAGUUCAAAGAUACUCCUUCGUUUGUGAGGCAUACUGUUCUUGUCAAGCUUACACAGGAAGAUGACGUGGCAUGCCUCUACAAACAAGUUUAUCAGUGGCAAGGCCACAAGGUUGUCUUCAUGAAGGUUCAUAGGAUUAAGCUGCUGCGGGACAUCCUCGAUGAUGUUCAUAGCAAGGUCCGUCUUGUGUCCAGCCCAAAUUAGAUCAAGGCAUGAAAAAGUUUCCCUAGCUAGUGUUUAAUAGUAGUUUGGAUUGUGUCUAAUUAUCCAAACCUUGCAUGUUAUCGACACCUCUGGGGCUAGUACUCUGUUUGAAUUCGUCUAUGGGAACUGCUGCUACUUUUGUGUGCCCGUGAAUCAUGUGAGAACCAUUGUAAUUGUUGCCGAAACAAAUGCGUCCUCACUAGUUUUUUCAUGAAUAUGGCAUGGUAAGACAUAAGUUUCACGGUUUAUCAUAUGAGCAGUGUGUGUUUUGAUGAAAUAGAGCACUCGUUCGAGAACUGUGCGCCAACGUAUACAUAAGUACUUGUAAACACUGUUGGUGUUACCCCACUUGUAAGCAGUUGUGCAAAACACGGCACAUUGGCUCAGCUCGCUUCAACACUAGGCUAUCGACCAGCUAACAAUCAGCAAUCUGCUGUCUGACAUAUAAGCAACUAUGUAUCUUGUUACAGUGGUUCAUGCAGUUAACUGAGGCCACAAUGUAAAUUCUAAAUGUUCACACGCUAGUCCCGCGUUCAUGUGGAACACUCACAUUAAACUCGUCUUCAUAAAAAACUUGAAAAGCAUAAGUUAAGCAAUUUUAUACAUCUCAAUGAUUCAUAGAACAUAACAAACAUAUACUAGUUCACAGCAAAAGACAAAGUUGUGAGAAGGUUUACAAAUCAGGAAAAAACAAGCAAGGCUUCUCUGAGAAAAGGGCCUCCCGGUAGGCUUAAAUUUCCUGGAGUUCACUCUGGUUUUUUCUUGUUGCCACCAUCCAAGGUUAGGUUCUCUCAUUCCAUAAUAACCAAUUAUAAUUGUGGUCUCAGCUGGAAUGCUGAACUGAACCAUGCAGUGUACUGACCAGGUGAAAUUCUUGUGCAUUCCACUAAAUUUAAGCACCGCUAUUUGUAGAAAUAAGCAUAGCACAAUGCAUCUUGUCCACGCACCUGUCCAAAAAACUGCUGUACAGCCAUGGCAGCUAGUCCUCGGUCCAUGAAUGAACUGGUAGAAAGUGCAUUCCGGACUAGGAUGUAGUUGUUUUCGCUCGUCCCUGCACUGCAAUCAGGAAGUAAAACAUACGAAUCAGCUUCUUUUAGAUUGCGUUGGUCAUUCUACCUUAGUUACUACCAAUGUAAGAAUACCUUGAAGACUGGAGGUUAGACGACGGCAACGAGGGAUAGCCAUCUCAUUUUGCGCAGUUGUACUAAAACUAAGGUGUGUGCUUUUGAUUACGCGGAUAGAAACGAUACGGAGACAGACAUCCCGAAACGAUAUGGAGACAGACAUCCCUGUUUGCGCAAAUACGAAAUACGGGUAUUUAAACAGUGACAGAUAUUUGCAGUGGCGUAUUAUUAACAGCAGCAUCUAUUGUGUUAUAAUUUGCACUAGAUUGAUAGUAUGAAGAGUCCUUAAGUAAGUAGCAUCACAUCACAUCAAUAAUGCCACUAGAUUAACAUGCAGAACAAUAGCAUUAGUAUUACCGUCAUGAGAGUAGCACAUGGUCAGUAAAUGUGCAAUCAAAUUUGUGCAGUUCCACUAGGAUGAAGAAAUGUUAGCGGUGUGAGAGUUAAGUGUAACUGCAAAAAUACAAUUCAUGGGAAAUAAAGCAAGAUGGAAGCACUUCAUAAAAUGGUGGUGGCAUUGCUUCAAUUUAUCGAUGGCACUGGGACAGCAGGGGCAGCAGGGACAGCAGGGGCAUUGCUUAUAGUGAUAUUAGGUGGCAUUGCUUAAUGCUAAAUGUGAUUUUACAUUAACGGGGGCAUUGCUUAUAGUGAUAUUAGGUAGCAUUGCUUAAUGCUACAUGUGAUUUUACAUUAACGGUAGCGAUAUGGGCGUAGGGACAGCAGGGGCAGAAAGUGGUGAGGCAGAUGUGGCUGCCGAGAGCGGCGAACACUCAGGCAGCAUGUCUGCAUUUGUCCCAUUUUUUAUCUCCUCGGUGACAUUUUCCUAUGUGAGCACAGGAAAUCUAGACCUGCUCAUUCUCAUUUGCGUUGUCCCCCAACACCCGUCACUUUCUUUCCUUUUUCAACCAAGAGAUAGGUCCACUUCCCCCCACCCUUCGCCAUCCACCAUGCUUUCUUCGUCUUUUCAACCAAGAGACCGGUUGGGUAGCCAGUAUCUACUACUUUCCCAUGUUUCCUCUUAGAACCAAGUCCUAGAUUCAUGCUAUAGCUUUCCCACUUUAUUCCCUGUUUGAACCAACUCUUAGAGUCGACCGUAUGAACUAGCUUUACCUCUAAUAAUAGUAAAAUUCUAGGUGGCUUUGGAAUAGCGGAUGGAAUUAGAAAAAGUUCCACAUGAAGGGAGUUGGGGCAGUAGAUCAAGGCAGGUUUCGAAGGAAUAUAUACCUGAGGGCCGUCGUCAUGUGGCAAAGACGACGUCGGGAGGCCGCAUCUUGGCCACAAUACCGCAGGGAGGAAGAAGGGGUCGGAGGCCCUCCCGAGCCGGCGCUCUCUCGGAGAGAACGACACGGCUGCCGAUCGGGAUGCGCGGGCAGCCGUUGGUCUCCUCCCUCGCCGCCGACGACAGCGAGAACGAUGCACCUAAACCCCUGCCCCGGUCGAGGUUGUCCGGCCGGAUUUGUGACCAACCGUGAGCUGAGAGAGAGUGUGGCCACCUAUGUCUUUCUUAGAUCUGGAGAGCAUGAGAGAGUGAACGAGAGGAACCCUAGUAAAGCAAGCACUAAGGAUCCUGCUUAUAUAUAUAGUGGAGUGAUUUUGUUGUACCAGCUUCAAUAAAUGCGCUCCUACAUGUACCAGUGAGUGGGUGUGAGAGAACUAGUGCGUGCGUGCACCGCUUCUCUUCAUGAUAGUACAAUACACUAUGCCCAAAGAACGUUCGCCGCAAGAGUAAUAGUAUAAGUGUGUGACGUGUGAGCUAAAAUAAAAUGUGCGCAACGUCUUUUGGUUUUUAGAAGUUCUGAGGGUGGGGUGUGAAGAGCACAUAUGUGCAUGACAUCUACCUGCAGAUAGACGGUGGGUGUGGCAUGUGAGUCUGUGAGAGGACUCGGGAGAGUCGUGACUCAUGAGGGUGCGUGUGCAUGAGAGGGGGGGCACGUAUCAAUGCAAUGCAUGUGUACGUAAAUCAUUAUCCGACAAACAUUCGCUACAAGUCUUUUCCUGACGAACGCCGUAAGAACCGUUAGAUCGGCAUCCGUCAGUGUCAGUUUUGCCAUGUCAUUUAACAGAACAGCCACUCCUCCUACACACAAAUCUUCCACGUGAGUGUUAGCAACUGCCGUAUGCUCCCUCCGUUCCGAAAUGCAGUGCACAUAGCUUUAUUGAAAAUUUGAACCUCACAAACUUUUACCCAGUUUUCAUGUACCAAAUUGCACAUGUAGAAUACCCUGUAUAUAUCAUUUCAUUCAUCUUCGAGAGGUAACUAUAAAGAUGGGGGAGGAGUCUACAAAGAAAGACCAUCGUAUCACCCGCAGCAAUUUUAACCAUCCUUUGGUGUGAGGAAUAUCAUAGGAACUCUAUAUGAUAUGAUUUUUAUAGGAUUUUUUCCUUUAGAGCCAAUUGGUUCAUAGGAAUAGAUUCAUAUACUCCACAUUUCAAAGGAAAUAAACAUGAUAUCAUUUCUAUAGCUUUAGAGCCACUUGGUUCAUAUGAAUGGAUUCCUAUACUCCCUUAAUUUCAAAGGAAAAUAAACAUUAGCGUAUAUUCAAUAGAAAAGUUCCUAUGAUAUGAACCAAAUUACAUAUCUUUUCUAAUCCCUCCUCAUUGGAAUUGAGAUACAUGUCAUCUCUGGAUUCAAUAGAAAAGUUCCUAUGAUGUGAACCAAAUGACAUCUCUUUUCCAAUCCCUACUCAUAGGAAUUGAGAUGCUCCAUGUCAUCUCUUUCCCUACAACUUCCAUGUAUACAUCUUCUAUUCCUAAAUAGAUAGUACAACCCACUAGUAGCUUUUUUUCCAAAACAUGCAACUAUGGCACAAGAACUAUAUAGUGUGCCAAUAACUUUGAAAGAUGGUCGCUGGAUGAAGCUAAUCCGACAGUGCAGAGAUGGAAAAUCUGAGCACUACUGGCCGUCGGAUAUCAUCAACAUUCCACCAGAUCUUCCACAUUUACAAUUUAGAAGACUCCAUGGUUGAACUUAAGCAUAAUGCACAAACCUCAAAACACAAGCACUUCUCCUUUGUUCUAGAAUCUUCUGUAUCAUAAUUGAUUUUUUUUCUAAAUGAAUUGCCAUUAUUUGUUUUUUACUUUAUGCUUUACAAUGCACAACCCCAUCAAUCUUAACAUUUUUAUAAAACUAAUUGAUUUUGAAUGAGAUGAACUAUAAGAACUAAACGAACAUCUACAUCAUGCAUAUAUGACUCAAAGCUUUACAUGCUAUAGUGUGUAUUUAUUCAUAAUUUAAUUUUGAAAUCUCAUCCAUUCAAUGCAUCAUUGCCUUUCGGUCGAACCUAUGUCCACAAUUUUUUGUACGUACUAUAUCUCCACUGGUCCCCGAACCCAAAACGUUGCCUCGUUCCCGUAAAACCAAGCGGCCCACACAUGCGUCGACUCGAACCCGUUUACGACGAUGUGGCCCCACACGCCGUAGUACUCCUACGAACCCUACAGCCACACUCAUCAUCGGUUUUCUUCAAGAGGACGAGGGAGAAGCCGAUUUGUAGUGGAGGCGCUCUAACAAAAAAGGAUCUAUAGUGGAGACCCCUUCCCUAGGGUGCCCUAGGUAGCUACCGCACGCAUCAUUGUUUUCCCUUUUCUUUAUGCUCUUGCACCCUAGAUUGAAAUGAUGGUUGUUUCGUCCAUCCAGCUUAAUGUGGGAAAGGUGGGGCUUCGCUCAUUUUCUACUACUGUGGCGCUACGACCGGGGUGCCUCCAGUUCCAACCGCUGCUCCGAAUUGUAAUUUGGUGCAUCGCACGUGGAACAAGACGGUGGAUGAGCUACAUGUCGGCCAAAGGGGUCCUGUUAAGUAUGUCGCCAUUUCGUGUGCGGACUGGCCCUGCUUGAGUUGCUACGCCAACACGACAGGAGCAGCCUACCACUUGGUUUUGCUCCUUGGUGAAUCCCGACUAUAUUGAUCUAAAAAGAUACGUGCAAAACUACCCUCUCCUUCUCGGUUUUUUAUUUUUAGGUGUCUCGGUUUAUAGGGUGUGCACGUAGUUCUAGGUCAUCCAUUUGACUAACUAAAUAUGAGUUACUAUGUCACAAAAAGUACUACCUCCGUCCUGGUUUGUAGGCCCCUUUUGUAGUUUGUGUCAAAUUUUGACUAAAGAUUUAACUAACAAAAUGUUAAUGCAUGUCAAGAAAAAUUAUUUCAUUGGAUUCGUAUUUGAACAUAGUUUUCAAAAAUAUAAUGUUUGGUGACAUGCAUGAACAUUUUGUUAGUUUAAUCUAUGGUUAAAAAUUGGCACGAAAUACAAUGGGGACCAAUAAACUCGGAAGGAGGUAGUAUAUCAUUGGAUUCUUAAGCGGAUGUAGUUGUAUUUAAAAGUCGAGGGCGGGGCUUUUCCUACGCAGUAGGCGGGGCAGUUCCGCCUAGUCGGUUCGACAGAGACGCGAGAAGACAAGGGAGUAGGCUGCUGCAAAUGUAGGGCUGUGUGAUUUGACAACGAGUUACUGCUGGACAGGUGGGGCCCCGUGAUUUGACUUGCCAUUUUCAUUUUAACUACGGCGCUACGACCGGCGUGAGUCUCCCGAUUCCUGGCCACCUCCAUACAGGGGCCUCUCCCAAUGCUCCACCAUGUAGUUGAGGCUGGCUCUUGCAUGAGAGCCCACUUCUCCACUUUUUCCUUGCCUCUUUCCUCCACAUAUGCAAAAAUGCCAUGUAAAGCGGGCUUAUAGCCCACUAUUGUAGUACUUACUUGCUCCUACAGGUGCUAAGCUAGCCACAUAGGCAUAAAGUCUGAUGUGGCAAGUUUGGUGACCCAAGGAAGAAAUGAUGAUAAGCGCGUGUACCUAGGUGAAAAGACAAUUUUGAGUCUAUAGCUAAUUAAAUGAAGCAAACUUAGCAACAAAAAACUACUAAUAAGCACCUAUGCCUUGGGGACUUCAUUGCUAAGCCAUUUAAUGCCCUUAGCACCUCAUCUAAGCACCAUUUCAUUGGAAGAGGUCACUCCUUGGCAAAUGCAAUUAAUACUACUCCCUCUAUCCCAUAAUAUAAGAACGUUUUUGGCACUACACUAGUGUCAAAAACGUUCUUAUAUUAUGGGACGGAGGGAGUACGAAGAAAGAGAUAGAGAGAAGUAAAAAAAAUACACUUAUACCCAACCUUAUAGCUAACCAUGUUGUAGUAUGAGUGACUAAGUGAUGACUAUGUUUGACAUGCCAACAUCAGAUAGCCUAACGCAUCAUGUUAAAUCUUCAAGGGUGCGAGCGACGCGACGGUCGUGGUAGGCGCGACCAUGAUACGGGCUGCUGGCAACCCUUGGAUAUGAUAUCAAACGGUCGCAUGCUAAGUUGAUGGAAAUUUGCAGAAUAACCCUCCAGGAUAGGAUAUUCACCCAUAGGUCUAGAAUCACGCCAUGCAACCAUUCAAUCUCAGAUCCAAGGGCUCUCGGAAGCCUGUAUCAUGGGAGAAUGGAAAGCCACUACCCUGUCGUUCGCACGCUGACAGUUCGCUCCUACUCGUCCCCGCACGUCCUUUAAUAUUACGGUGGUUCGCUCCUAGUCGUCCCGUCCUUUCACAUUACGGCAGUUCCACUAAUCCUAACCCUCCUCCCAAAUCCAUGGUGUCCCAAAUCUCCAUGAUCGGGGAUGAGUACAAGGUUAGAACCAUCACCGACAAUGAGUUCGACAUCCUCUACACCCAUUCUUCCGCGACGGUGAAAGGAUGCCUUUAUCGCUUCAGACGCAUGUUCGAAAACUCACAUGAUGAGUGGGUUGCUGGGUUAGAUGUUGAGUACACCACAGUCCUGGGACGAGAGAAGGAUCUAAAGGACGAAGAGAGGAAGAAGCCUGUCGUGAUCCAGGUUUGCGUGCAUGACUUAUGCUUGGUCUACCACAUAUGCAAUGCCGACGUUGAAUGCCUGGAUUUUAAGAACUUCCUCGAGAGCAACCUAGUCAAAUUCAUUACUGUAGACUUUACAAAUGACAAAGAAGUCCUGGGUCGGAUAUAUAGGCCUCGUUGUAGGCAACCCCUUCGACCUCCAGAAGAAUCGGCUGCUGCCCUCCGGUGGCCAGCCUUCAAUGCUAACACUGGCAGGAGCCAUGGUUCAUCCUUCGUACGGUAAACUGGACAAACCUCAUUACAAGUUUCAUCGUCAUGCAUGGCAGCGGAAUGUACUAUGUAUAGACCACAUCCACUACGCUGCAAUGGAUGGCUACCUUUGUUUCAAUAUCUACAAGGGUUGGAUGAAGAGCAAGAGCCAAGUGUGCGGUUCAAGCAAAGAAGUAUCGGCCAAGAGGAAGAGGGACAAGGACGAAGUCGAGGACGUGGACGAGGACUCCGUGUGAGUAAGGUGUCAGUAUCGUUGCGCAUGGUGGUUCUAAUGCAGUGUCUACUGGAUUAGUUGCAUAGUUUAAUUUCAGGUGUGCUUAGUUUAAUUUGAGGGGCAUGUUGUGCUGAGCCCCAGCAGAACUAUGUUGUGUUUCUUCUCGUUACUUUAACUCCUCAGUACGUACAUACUAUUAGUAUUUCUUUAAUAGAAUUUAGCACCCCAAUUAAGCACGUGCUAGCUUUUUUAAUAGUACUAUAUGCAUAAUUUGGCAACGAGCGCUCUCUAUAUGUACCACCUUUUUUUUAAUUUCAAUUUUUGCUCCAUGGCGCAAUCCAUCGAUACUACUACUGCACAAAAGUAUACAUUUUUUAAAAGGCUAGAGUACUAUUCAUCACAUAUAUAGCUAGUUAAAUUCUCAACCUAGAACGACGUGCAUGCGAUGUAAACCGAUACGGAGGAAGUAUGGUAAAAAUGAGGUGAUUUUACCGAGCGAUCGGCGGGGAGCAUGGCCUGUCAUGCGGUCCCACGUGUCAUGAUGUACCAAAGUGAUGCGUGUGUCCCUCUUGAGGCAGAAGCAAUACUACGUGGUUUGAGAUGAUGGAGAACCGAAGUAUGAAAUAAUGGUUGCUUCGUCCGUCUGGGAAGGUGCGGCAUUGUGAUUUGACGUCUCAUUGCUCAUUAGUACUACUGGGCCGGUAUGAGUGGGGUGCGUCUCCCCUGCUGUUCUGUACUGUUAUUUGGUGCUUGCCACAUUGAUCCAGUUGCUAUAUGUCCCACAUGUCGGCGACAGGAAGUAUAGAAUUCAUGAAAGUGAGCGUCAACGGAGGAGUAUACUACAGAAUUCAUGAAAGGGAGCGACUUAGUUUUGGAAAAAUCUGUUUUUACAGAGUACGUACCCACUAGGGUUUAUAGGGCUCAUGUAAAGAACAUUCGUUUUUCCAUUUGAUAAGUCUCAAUUCAACUACUAGUAGUAGUACCGUUACAUGUUGCAUUUCGAGGUGCGUUAGAUCACCCGAUGCAAGCAGUGUCAAGAGGAAACUCACCAAUGCAUGUAGAAGUUCAUGGAAUGCAUUUGUUCUAAUUAAUGCCUCGGUAAACAUAACUUAUUGAGAAAAAUGAGCGUACUAAUUACUUGUGCAAACUACAAAAUUAAUUCGACCACUCACCAUCUACCUUGGUUGGAGAGAUUUUGAAAUUGAGCCAUAAACUGGAAAGGAGGGAGUAGUAACUUUUGUCUCGAUUACUAUUCGUGGCCUUGUAUAGAUGCAAAAUGUAUUUUUUUAUAGUGGCCUUGUAUAAGUAAAUGGAGGGAGUAUUAAAGGACAUAUAUAUUACAAACAAUAUGAGAAUCUCUCUAAGCAAGGUACAUAGCAGGGAUGAGGAGUAAACGGAGGGAGUAGUAAAAUUUUCUCCUUGUCCUGCCAGCCACCGCACGCAUGGGCGAGGGAGCGGGCGUAAGGCGUGCAGUAGUAGUACUACUACUACUCGUAAGCAAGCUUCACCUCGUCCUGCGAGCCACCGCGCCCGUGGGCGGGGGAGACGGCGUACUAAGCAAGCUUCUCCUCGUUCUGCGAGUUGACGGGAUACAUCAAAAUUACUCCAGUGUAUAGAGCCUUGCCUCUAAGGUAGGCCCCACAUGGUUUGCCUCUUUUUUAACAUAACACGUCAAGUCGCAAUUUGUUUGUUCAUCCUUUGUAGACGACCCUCCCUCCACCAAGUGGACAACCAGUACACGUGUCAAAUUACCACGUGGGCUGCCUUUUCGUACAGAAAUGAGCUCCACCGUGUACCCGCGCGGGUGUGGUUAGGAAAGAGACGUGAGUACGUGCACCGUGCAUGCACCUUUUCUCUUCGUGCACGUCCCCCACCUACGUGGGUGUGUGUGAGAGAGAUACAAACCUAGACAUAAUGCGCCGUCCAUCCCAAUGCCUCCGCCCAGUCCGACCACCUGUCACCACCACGCCCCACUCCUCCUCACUUUAUCCCUCAUCUUUCUCCCUCCAUUUUUAUAUACAAGGGGCCACUAUCAAAAUUACAAUUUGCAGAUAUACAAGGCCACUAACACUAAUCGAUGCAAUAUUAAUGGUGUUUGCCUCGUGGUACUAGCAAAGGAGGACAUUAAUUAUCCCUUGCAUGCAUGCGGGAGUUUGUAAAAAAUGCAUCUUGAUGUUCCGUGCAAUGCACGGGCAUCUUGCUAGUCCAUGAAAACAACACAUGGCAAAAUUCCACGACGAACGAGGGGUUUGAAUCUGUCGGGACUUGGGAGGGGCUGUUUGGAUCUUGCCCGGGAUAGCCAAAAAUAUUGGCGACCCUUUUGUCCACUGGUGCCUUUGCCACCGAUGAACGAGGAAUGGCUCGGGUGCUCAUGCAUCCUCCAGUGCGCACGUUGAAGACGAGCUCGCAUGAGCUGUGUUUUUUUUUGUCCCACAACACCGCUCGAGCCGCCCAUAGACCGACCGGCGACCCGCAAAUUAUGCCAUCCAACCGUAGCCGCACACAUUAUGACAGCAACUCAACCAACCGGACGAAAUUCACGCAAGCACAUAGACAAAUUGAUAUUUCAUAUAAACAAUGACGGAAAUCAUAUAAAAUACCAGAUUUUCAUACAAACAUGACGGAUUUCAUUACAUUCAAAUGAACUACGUGGUGCUAGUUCUGGCCUAAAUGGUCGCCCACCGAUCAAUUUGUGUUCCUCAUGUCCGGCAGCAUGAUCACCGGACUGCCGGGAGCCCCAGAGGUAUAUGCUUCAGCGCAAAGGACGGCUCGCUUCCCCACUGCCCAACUGAUAUCAUUGGCUGAUGCCAAAGAUGAUGGUGGCUGGCACCGGUUCGAGUUUAUCACCGGCCACUACUUCGCCAUGGUUGGCACCGGCUCGAGUUCAUCCUAACAUUCCCCUCUUCCGUGGAGCCCAUGCAGGGUCGACGAAGGUUCUCGCAACAAAAGGAUUCGGCAAGACACCUGCUAUGUACGCCGGCGUCGCCUCUGCGAUGGCCUUCAUGGGACCCAAGCGACGGCGGCCUCCCGUGUUCUACUUCUCCUCGAUGAUGGUGGCAGACGCGGAGGCGCUGGCCACCGACACGUCACUCUCCAUGCAUCCGGCUUCUGUCGCUGCUUGCAUGGCACGGCCGCCGGCAUGGGAGUCCUGGCCACAAAAACGGGAGACGUGAUACGAGGCGGCGAUGUGGACGGCAGCAACGACGCCCGUGAGCCGCUCCUCGUCGAGCUGGCCUGGAGCGGCGAGUUGCUGAACCGCGCGCCGGCUUGGGGCGGCAACUGGCUCUAUUGGGCGAGGGGAGGGAGGUGGAUCAGCGAGCUGCAUAGCUCGUAUCCGGCGGGCUACCCAGCCGGCUUGGACGCGGAAUAACUACUUUUCGUAAGCCAUUGUAAGAGUGGACAAAAUGGUGAAGGAGGAGAUAAGGGAGCGGCGGAGGUGUGCGAUUCUUGGCCGGCGUUUGGCCUCAUUUAAAUAGGAGAUUAAAUAGACGGCGGACGGGAAGAGCUUGGCCGGUGUUGCAUUUAAUGUCGGCCCAGUCAUGAACGGAUGUGUGUCCAGAGUGGGUUUCUCGGCUUCCACACGGGCGGGUUUCAUGGAGGCGUUUGAAUGCGGCAAGGAGGCGUGUUCAGCGGGGCGUGCAACAAGUGGCGCCCUCGACUCUGACCUAGGACACCGUGCCGUUCUUCCACUAAUGUGUGGGCUCUUCGGGUACAUGGCUUGCAUGUCAGUGACCCAACGCAGGCAGCGCACAGUAGAGGAACCUUUGGUGGGCCAGGGCAGUCAGAAGCGGGCAUUUCAUAAACCGAUGAUUGUUCAUUUAGUGUGACGUCAUCUUUUUCAUGUAGAUAAGCCUACUAUGUUGAUAGCCCGUUUGAUACGUUGUGAUUCAUAAAGACCGCUGCAAACAUCAAUGUCCUGCUUAUCACAGAUAAGAUUGUUUAAUACCCGUAACAAUCCAUGUCCUUAACAAAGGGUGCAUGCACGUAUAGGUUGAGCGUGUGUCUUGUGUCGUGUGCUGUGUGCAUGCAGGCGUGCGAGUGUUGCCUGCAUGCAAGGGUACGAUUCAGUGUUGCAUGCAUGGGUGCGUACGUGCGUGUGUUCAUGAGUGCAUGUGUACGUGUCAGUGUUGCACGCCUGCAUGCGAGUGUGUGUGUACGUUAUGUGUACGUGUCAGUGUUGCACGCCUGCAUGCGUGCAUGCAUGUGUACAUGCGGGUGAAGCUACACGUCAGUCGGCUGACUUUUUCAUCUCUGGUCAUUAGAUUUUCCAGUCGUUGGAUAGAAAUCAAGGGCCUCCGGUUUAUCAUCAAACUCCACCCCCCUGAGCCGCCAGCCACCACCGGCCAAACCGCCAGCCCCCGCCCGCGGCCGGCCCGCGCCGCCCCGCCCUCCCCGAAACCACUCCCCACCACCAGUCUGCCGCCGCACCGGCCAUCCCUCUAGCCCCCCCCCACGCCAAGCUUUUUCUCCGGUGAUCCCCACCCCACUGCCCAAUCGUUGCCCCGCCCCCACCGACGGCGACUUCGAACCAGAGGUCUCACGACUUCGAAUACCCACCGACCACUAAUUUAUUACCAUUUAUGUCCUUCAUAUACGCGCUGACGGGUGGGCCCUAUGGUAAUGUGCGCUGCUGAAUGUGAAGCGUUUGACUGGUCAAUUGAUCGUGUUAUCAACAAAUUACGGAGCUGUAUGGUGAGCCAGUGCCCGUAUGAUCACCCUAAAAUGUACUCCUAUUUUAUUAACACAGUACAGACUCAAACUACCAUUUCUUUCUUUCAUAUACAGGCUGACAGCUGGGCCCCACGGUUACGCGCCCCGAUGGUGCAACACUAGUUACGCCGUGUGGAACAUUUGACUGGUCAAUUGAUUGUGUCAUCAACAAAAUACAGAGUUGUACGGGUGAGCCAGUGACCGUAUAAUCAUGACAUGUAUUUGUUUAACACGGUACAGACGCAAGGGCUCAUAUAUACGUGCAAGCACUCACCGCUAUAAGCGCACACACGCUGACCCUACCCCUAUGAGCACCUUCGAGAGAGUGGGCCAGCAUAUAUGAUCUUGAGAUUUUACGAAGUCACCAUAGGUGCCUCGUAGUCGAGUGGAACGUCUCCUCCCACUGAACCCACAUCGCCGGAAAAUACUGAAAUUAACACAAGAUAAAUGCGAGCACCGGGACUUUAACAUUGGUGUGCUCGAGAAACCACUAUCCUGCUAACCAUCCAACCACAUGUUGGUUAGCACGACCAAAUGUAUGUGGUGACCGUGAUCAGCUUAUUCUAAAGUCCAGUGACCAUAUCGUGCUUUCGCUUCAAAUACAAUGACCGUAAGUGUCGUCAACAAAAUACGGAGCACGCAUUAAAUGCAAAGUCCGUUAGUGUCAUCAACAAAAUAUGGAGACGUACCGUGAGCUAGAUACCGUUGUACUAUUGUAUAUGCUUAUUUUCUUAGUGGCCGAUUAUAUGUGUUGUGUGGUGGGCACAUCAUUUCUAGUUGUGGUGGGUCAACAUGAAGACUCAUGGGCCGGUUCCAUCCUGCACCACAUAUAGGUUGGACCGAGAUGCGUUAUACGAAGACCCAUGUGGAGGACUCUGCGUACAACACGAAGCUACCAGAGUCGCGGAGGACUAUCCCCACUGGUGAUAAGCCUACUAUAUAUGUUAUAGAAGCUUGGGGGCUAGUUCAUCGAUAGUAUACACACACACACAAUGCCUAGUAUUCACGUGUACUUUGUACACACCCCUAUCACUAAUAUACAGUACCAGGAGUAGGCUCUUUCUUCAACUGCAAGGGUCCGAACUAAGGAAAAACUUUGCCUCGUAUUACCACCUAGCCUAGCAGUCAGGGAUAUCCUACCGAAUGAUANNNNNNNNNNNNNNNNNNNNNNNNNNNNNNNNNNNNNNNNNNNNNNNNNNNNNNNNNNNNNNNNNNNNNNNNNNNNNNNNNNNNNNNNNNNNNNNNNNNNNNNNNNNNNNNNNNNNNNNNNNNNNNNNNNNNNNNNNNNNNNNNNNNNNNNNNNNNNNNNNNNNNNNNNNNNNNNNNNNNNNNNNNNNNNNNNNNNNNNNNNNNNNNNNNNNNNNNNNNNNNNNNNNNNNNNNNNNNNNNNNNNNNNNNNNNNNNNNNNNNNNNNNNNNNNNNNNNNNNNNCGAGAGAGGCCUAAAGAUAAUGUGCGGGCGGGAGACACGUAGGCACAUAUAUGUGUGUAUAGAUGGCUAGUAGAGAUAGUGCGUUUGUAUAUAGACAUGUGAGAGAAAUAGUGUUUUCCAACUGAGAUUAGUGAAAAGAGUGGUACAUAGUUGUCAGAAAGAGAGAGAGAGAGAGAGAGAGAGAGAGAGAGAGAGAGAGAGAGAAACAGAGAGAGCAUGUGCGUGAGACACCCUGACACCCUGAGAGAGAUUGUGAGCAUGUGUGAAAGAGAAAUGCCGAUGCAUAUAAAGUGUGUGCACUUAUGUGUUAGAUAGAGAGAUAUAUAACGCGUUUGUGAGAACGGGCCGAGGCAUAGUGCAUCUACGUGUAAAAGGAGGUUCUACGCAUUAAAUUAAAAUAAAAAUGGCAUUAUUAUUUUUGGAUGAGAUCAUGAAUUUUGCAAAUUGCGUAUGGACGAAAUCAGUCUAUCAGACACCCAUACUCUAUUGAAUUCUAGCAUGUGCAUGUGUUUAUUUCAUAUUAUCGAUCCAUAGAGUGAGAGAAGUUUGAAAUACAGGCAAUGGAUGCUUUUGCAAUUCAUAUAUAAACAUUAAUUAGUGCACUCCAUGUUGUUAGUGUGAAGCACUUUAUACAUUUGUCACUUGCAUGGAUACAUUCCAAAUUGCUAAAUAGAAUAUAUGUCGAAUUCAACAUAAAGGGGGUUUCGAAGAUUCGAAUUCAUAGGAAGUGCAUUCAUCUACUUGAACCCGAGAUAAUGGAAUUUGUAAAUCAGAUGUAAAAGCGGGCAUCAAUAUUUGUUGUGAGUUUGAACAUGCUAUAUAUAUUCAUACGCAUAUCUAAAUUUUUUUUGCAACCAAGGAGAUUAUAUCUGGAACCAUGCAUGAACAGAGGUAAGUUGCAUAUUUUUUAAUAUAUACUCGUGUACAAUGUACAUUCAAAUGUACCCCCUCCAUUCCAAAAUAAACGUAGCUUUAGGAUUUUCAAGAGUAAAGAUUUGCGAAGUUUGACAAAUCCUAAAAGUUCAAUUCAAGAGAACCGAAAACGUUAAUGCUUCUGCUCCCAAAUAUUGAACAAAGCGCCAAAUAGGCCUGUGGUCACCCGAAACCGCGCGAGACUAAUGUUUGGUGGUAGGAAAUUACUGUCCUGACUCUGGCCCGUGUAGCCUAUCGGCCCGUUGUCCAAAGGUCUAAACCGGGGUAGGUCUUUAACUUCACCAAGACGCCAGUCUCAACCGCCUCCGAGAAGAAUCCAUACUCCAUGGGCGCCUAAACACCCAUGCGCUCGGUCGAAAUCUAUCCCGCCCACAUUUGGGACAACUGAGAUUACUGUCGUACCCCCAACCCGCAAUAUGUCCAAAAUUUUAGAUGGGGGCAAAGUUUGUAACUUUCCCCAAAUUUCAAACAAGCGCAUCUCAAACCGAAACAUUGUUCCCCCUUAGUUCCCCGCCUCCCUCCGUUUCCCCAUUUAUACUCCAUGGGCGCCAAAACACCCUCUCCACCAGCCGCGAAACCCCAGCCUCCUCCGUCCUCCACCCCAUAGCGGCCAAUCCACCGCCGCCCUCCUCCAUCACGUCGGAGCCGGUACCCCGACGUCGUUGUUCAACGCAACCACAACCACAACUCCCUCAAGGACUUAGCAGCUGAAGCCGAGGCAGAGCUGCGUCCAUGAUGCCGACGCUGACGUGCGCCGUACCAGAACCACUCCGACCACGCCGUCCUGCACCUCACUGCUGCCGCUCCAUUCUCGCAACCGUCCACCGCACCGGAGGUGUUCCCGCUACACCGUCGUUCGCCGCCUCAGAUCUGGUUCCCCGCCGCCGACAGACGGCCAUCGCACCAUACUCAACAACUUGGCCAUGGGUUCGUCCAAGGCUCCACCGUCCUCCACAACUUCUCAUUUCCAGCGAACCACAAGAAGAUCGUUGAAAAAACAGAAGGAGGACACAACACUGCCAGUAGAAAGUGGUACUCCUAUUCCCUUAUUCGUGCAAAUCUUACGUCUCUGCUCACACCGUAUUCAUCCCACGAAAGAAACUAGUUGAGCGCUUCUUACUGCAUCUUCUUCGUGAUACUAAAUGCACAAGGUUUCCUCCCUUUACUAUUUCACUUAUGCUAGAGGUCAGUAGCCCGCCUGGAUUUCAAUUUAGGGUCAAUCGAACCGCAAUUAAAAGAAGCAGCACCCGCUUAGGCGCGCGGAGCACCUAGUCCGCCUGUUCCUCGGGGAAGCGGCGCAUUGGUGUCUAUCAUAGGGGUGUGGGGCGCAGGAGCUGCUUGCGCCUGAUCUGGAGGUCGGCAAGGCUUGAAUGGAUGGCCGGGGGGCAGUGCCAAGCACGGCAGUGCGGUGAGAUCGAGGGGAGGGCGCAGGUAGGGGAGGAAUACUGGGUCGAUGGUCGCUGGCGUUUCGAGGAAGAUCGUCAACACUGACUGGCUGGAGGUAGAUGAAGGCGAUUUGCCCGUUCUUUGUACAUCGGACGGUGCAGAAAAAAUGGACUGACCUAUUUGUUUUUAGUCAACUGUUAUUUUCAUAGAAUCCUGUAGUAAUUUAGUGUGCCAUGCAUGUUGUAGAGUUAUCAUAUGUCUCCCGUCAUUUGUUUCUCACUGACCUGCUAUCUGCUACCUUUACACUGUACUAAUUGUGCACACACACUUCACCCAUACUCACACUAUUGCUUUUUUAUGCAUGGGUAUUUCAGACUCUGAAGCAGUGUUGAUGAAUGCAGAAAAGAAAAGAUAAGCACUAAGUGUUUCAGCGCUCUAAUGGGUGCAGUGUCAGCAGUUGGAGACAGUAAAUGUAGCUCUGCACUUGAUGAUCUCAAUUGCCACACACAACCAUCCCAGGUGCUUGCUUUAACUUUGCGCUGUCAAAUGUGGUUACAUGUUGCAUAUGGUGUCUAGCUUGUAUUGCUUCCAAUUUGGUUAAAUUGCAUCUUCUUACUUUACACAUUAUACCUUUGAUAAUGACAUGCCUCCCUAUUUUUGAUACAUAGUACAUAUGUCUAUUAACCAUUUUCGUACAUCAAACUAAUGCUCUUUUAUAUCCCUCGUCAAUCACUUAUGAUGAGGCAGUCACCCGAGUGGGUUACUGUGAGACGCCCUACUCGUUUAAACAGUGCAGUGUCAUCCUCCCCACAUGAUUCUCAAGAAACAACAAGGCUAAAUGAAGAUAGUCAACGUAGCUCUCUAGUUGAUCACCACAAUUCCCCCACACCACCAUCGCAGGUGCUUGCUCUUACUUGGCAGUGUGAUAUGUGGUUGCAUGUUCCAUAUGGUGUCUACCUUGUAAUGCUUCUAAUUAGGGUAAAUUACAUCUGCUUAGUUAACACAUUAUACCUGUGAAUAUGACAUGCCUUCCUAUUUUUGGUACAUACUACGUCUUUCUAUUAACCAUGUUCUUACAUCAAACUACUUUUCUUGUGUAUCCGUCAUCAGUCACUUCUGACGAUACACCUUCAAGUUGACAGUGUAAUAUUGGUUGCAUCUUGCAUAUCAUUUCAAACAUGUAUUGCCUCUAAUUUGUUGAAGUGUCACUUAUAAUGAGACACAUCUAACUUGGUAGAGUGAUUUUGGUUGGAUCUUUCAUAUGGUGUCUAGAUUGCAUUGCUUCCAAUUUGUUGAAAUGCCUUCUGCUUAGCGUUUUUCAUACAUAUUCCAUCCUCCUACAAUGUGGUUGCCAUACAUAAAAGUUGUGUUCGUCAGUAUCAUGCAUCAACGAAUUUGGAAGUGCGAAUUUCAUUCCAUUUUCUUGUGUCUUUACUUGACAAGGCAAAAUCUGAAAGGAUGAAGGCACGGAACGAUGGUGGUCCUCUAAAGCAACCAAAACAAAUGAUCUCUGCAGAUUCUCCUCCUACUCGUACUGCAGUGCUAGCUCCAAAUCUCAUCUCCCCUACUCCACAACCCAAGGUACUUGCUCUAACAUGGCAGUGUGAUAUCUGGUUGCAUGUUCCAUAUGGUGCCUAGCUUGUAUUGCUCCUAAUUUGUUAAAUUGCACCUCCUUAGCUUACACAUUAUACAUGUGAAUAUGACAAGCCUUCCUGUUUUUGGUACAUACUACAUCUGCCUAUCACACCAUGUUCUUACAUCAAACUACUGUUCUUGUGUAUCCUGCAUGUAUCGCUUAUGAUGAGACAGUCACGCGCGUGGGUUAAUAUGAGAUCCACUACUCUUAUAAUGAAUGCAAUUUCAUCCUCUCCACAUGAUUCUCAAGAAACAGCAAGCCUAAAUGAAGAUAUUGAAUGUAGCUCUGUACUUGAAGACCGCACUUCCCCUACACCACCAUCACAGGUGCUUGCGCUAACUUCGCAGUGUGAUAUGUGGUUGCAUGUUGCAUACGGUGUCUAGAUUGUAAUGCUUCUAAUUAAGGUAAAUUGCAUCUGCUUAGUUUACACACUAUACCCGUGAAUAUGACAUGCCUUCCUAUUUUUGGUACACACUACAUAUAUGUGUUAACCUUGUUUUUACAUGAAACUACCUCUCUUCUGUAUCCUGCAUCAAUCACUUACGAUGAGUCACCUUUAUUCAUUGCAUAUUGCAUAUUAUUUCUAGCCUGUUGCCAUGUAUUGCUUCUAAUUUGGUCAAAUACAUUUGUUAGUGCACCCUUUUAAUUUGGCAGAGUGAUAUUGGUUUCAUCUUUCAUAUGGUUUCUAGCUUGCAUUGCUUCUAACAAGUUCAAGCACCUUGUGCUUAGUUUACACUUUAUACAUCAUACAUGUCAAUAUGUCAUGCCGUCCUGUUUUUCAUACAUAUUCCAUCCUCCUAUCAUGCGGCUGCCUUACAUGAAAGUAGUGUUCGUUAGUAUCAUGCAUCAAUGAGUUCUGAAGAGCAAAUUUUAUUCCUUUUUCUUGUAGGUUUGACUUGACAAGGAAAAAUCAAGAAAGAGGAAGGAAAAGAGUAAGGAAGGCGAUGGUGGUGGCCCUCUGCAGCAAUGUAAACAGAGCAUUAGUACCGAUUCUCCUUGUACUGAUAGUGCAUUACAAGGUCCAAGUCUCCACUCCCCUACUCCACCAUCCAAGGUGCUUGCUCUAACUUGGCAGUGUGAUAUCUAGUUGCAUGUUGCAUAUAUGUCUAGCUUGUAUUGCUCCUAAUUAGUGUCAACUGCAUCUGCUUAGCUUACACAUGAUACAUGUGAAUAUGACACGCUUUCCUGUUUUGGUACAUACUAUAUCUGUCUAUCACACCAUGUUCUUACAUGAAACUACUCUUCUUGUGUAUCCUGCAUCAGUCACUUAUGAUGGGAAACCUUUAAGUUAGUAGUGUGAUAUUGGUUUGCGUCUUGAAUAUGAUUUCUAGCAUGUAUUGCUUCUAGUUUGAUGAACGCCACCUAUGACGAGACAGUUUUAACUUGGCAGAGUGAUAUUGAUUGCACCUUCCAUAUGGUGUCUAGUUUGCAGUGCCUCUAAUUUAUUGAAGUGACUUCUGCUUAGUUACCACAUCACAGGUGUGAAUAUGUCAAGGCGUCCCUUUUUUGUACAUAUUCCAUCCUCGUAUCAUGACUUUGCCUUUCAUCAGAGUAGUGUUCGUCAGUAUCAUGCAUGAAUGAGUUCUGAAGAGCGAAUUAUAUUCCUUUUUCUUGUCGGUAUGACCUCACAAUGCAAAAUUAAUAAAGCUGAAGGAAAUUGGCAAGGCAUUGGAUGAUGGUGGUCCUUCCGAGCAACUAAAACGGAGGUUCUCUACAGAUUCUACUCCGCCAUCCUCCCAACAAGAUUCGCAAGACAACGCAAGGCUAGACAGUCAACGUAGCUGUGUAGAUGAUGAGCACAUAUCCCCUACUCCACCAUCAUAGGUGCUUGCUCUAACUUCUCACUAUUAUAUGUGGUUGCAUGUUGCGUAUGAUUUAUAGCUUGUAUUGCUUCUAACUUUGUUGAAUUGCAUCUGCUUACUUUACACAUAAUGCCUGUGAAUAUGACAUGUGUUCCUGUUUCUACAUCAGACUACUGUUCUUGCAUAUCCCGCAUCAGUCACUUAUGAUAAGGCACCUUUAAGUCGCCACUGUGAUAUUGGUUGUGUCUUGUAUAUGAUUUCUAGCAUGUACUGCUUCUAAUUUAUUGAAACGCCAUACAGUUUGAACUUGGCAGAGUGAUAUUGGUUGCAUCUUUCAUAUGGUGUCUAGCUUGAAGUGCUUCUAAUUUGUUGAAACGGCUUCUGCUUAGUUACCACAUCAUUGGUGUGAAUAUGUCAUGCCAUCCUGUUUUUCAUACAUAUUCCAUCCUCGCAUCAUGUGUUUGCCUUCCAUCCGAGUAGUGUUCGUCAGUAUCAUGCAUGAAUGAGUUCUGAAGAGCGAAUUUUAUUCCUUUUUCUUAUCGGUUUGACUUCACAAUGCAAAAUCAUUACAACUGAACGAAAUUGGUCCGGCAGUGGAUGAUAGUGGUCCUUCAGAGCAACUCAAACAGGGGGUCUCUACAGAUUCUACACCGCCAUCCUCCGAACAAGAUUCCCAAGACAGCACAAGGCUAGACAAUCAACGUAGCUAUGUAGAUGAUGAGCACAUCUCCACUACUCCACCAUCACAGGUGCUUGCUCUAACUUGGCACUAUUAUAUGUGGUUGCAUGUUGCGUAUGAUGUCUAGCUUGUAUUGCUUCUAACUUGAAUUUCAUCAGCUUACUUUACACAUAAUGCCUGUUAAUAUGACACAUGUUCCUCUUACUAGAACAUACGUGUACAUGAUGAGCACAUCUCCCCUACUCCACCAUCGCAGGUGCUUGCUCUUACUUGGAACUAUUAUAUGUGGUUGCGUUUUCCGUAUGAUGUCUAGUUUGUAUUCCUUCUGAUUAUGUUGAAUUGCAUCUGUGUAGCUUACAACUUAUACCUACAACAAUCACUUACCCAUAAGACACAUUUAACUUGGGACUGUGAUGUAGGUUGCAUCUUGCAUUGUCUUCUAGCUUGUACUGCUUCUAAUUUAUUGAAAUGGCACUUACGACGAGACACUUUUACCUGAUAGAGUGAUAUUGGUUGCAUGUUCAUAUGGUGCCUAGCUUUCAUUUCUUCUAAUUUUGUUGAAAUGCCUUCCGCUUACUAUUUUUUCAUACAUAUUCCAUCCCCCUAUCGUACGUGUGAAUAUGAAACACUGUCUUUUUUUGUAUAUAUUCCAUCCUCCUAUCCCGCGCUUGCCUUAUAUCAAAGUAGUGUUCGUCUGUAUCAUGCAUCAACCAGUUAUGCAGAGCUAAUUUUAUUCAUCUUCUUGUGGUUUUGACUUCAUAAGGCAAUAUCAGAAAAUAGGAAGGAAAAGAGUAAGUUAGGGGAUGUUGGUGGUCCUCCGCACCGACGCAAACAGAGACUCUCUAGAUUUGCCACUGCUACUGCUAAUGAAGUUGAAGUCCCAAGUCUACAUGAUGAGUUCAUCUCCCGUACUCCACCAUCGCAGGUGCUUGCUCUAAGUUGAUAGUGUGAUAUUUGGUUUCAUGUUGCAUAUGUUGUCUAGCUUGUAUUUCUUCUAUUUUGAUUAAAUUGCACCUGCUGAGUUUAUACGUUAUACAUGUGCAUAUGACAUGGCUUUCUGUGUCUAGAAUACACUACAUCUAUCUAUCAUACCAUGUUCUUACAUCAAAGUACUGCUAUUGUGUAUCCCGCAUCAGUCACUCAUGAUUGGACGCUUUUAACAUGGCAGUUUGAUAGUGGUUGCAUCUUGCAUUGAUUUCUACGUUGUACUGCUUCUAAUUUUUCAAAUUGCCACUUAUGAUAAGACACUUUUAACUUGGCUGAGUAAUAUUGGUUGCAUCUUUCAUAUGGUGUCUAGCUUGCAUUACUUCUAUUUUUUUAAAAUCCUUCUGCUUAGUUUGCACAUCGUAGCUGUGAAUAUGUCAUGUUGUCCUGUUUUUCUUACAUAUUCCAUCCUCAUACGGUUGUCUUACAUCAAAGUAUUGCUUGUCUGUAUCAUGCAUCAAUGAGUUCUGAAGAGCGAUUUUAUUCUUUUGUGUUGUGGGUACGGCUUGACAUGGCAAAGUCAAAAAAGAGCAAGGAAAAUAAUAUUGUAGGGAGUGGUGUUACUCGUCGGGUGAAACGGAAAAGGAUCUGCCGUCGAGAUUCUGCUGGUACUUAUAGUGUAGUAGAAGGUCCAAGUCCACUGGCUAAAUCUACAAAUACAGUAUCACCUGCUCCACCAGCUGCAUCAUCCGCUUCAACUGUACCAGCAUCUCAACGAGUUACUCGUUCGUUUGCUCCGGAACUGCCCAGUUCCCAAGAUGCCUUCACACAUAACACUACUUCCGAAGCACUACUGACACAACAGGACUUGGCAAGAUCAUAUGAACCUCAUGAGCAUCAACACCAAGAUGAUACCUGACCGAGUCAAGUUGCAGUUGCAUGCUCCUUUAUAUGUACUCUCACAGUUUUAUGUACACUAACACUUUCAUAUUCGUUGUUGAACUAGCACCACGGUGCAAGCAGAAACAGACAUCAGGGAUAAUGCUUGGUAGAUUAACAAAAUCUAAAGGAGGAAGAAUGGAGAUCCAUUUUGAGGCAGGUUUAAAAAGGCCACGUGAUGCUACAGAGUCAGCCAAGUUAGUAUCAGAGACAGCCGUUGCCGUUAGGUGUCACGCACGUCUCCUCCCAACGUGGAUCCAGUACAAGAAUGAGAAAGACAAUGCCCGGUUUAACACCUUCCUUGACCAUUUAUCCGUAAGUAAUGUUAUUCAUCACAAUUAGUAAUAUUGUCUUGCUCUGUCCCAUACUUUCUAGCUUCCUCCUAAUAAGACUCACAUUCUUUUUUCAACAGAUGAGGUUCAAGUUGGAUCCGAAAGAUGAUGCAACUAAACCAGCAUGCACUCAUGUUUUUCAGUCUGCUCUGCGACAGUAUCGGCACCACCUUAGAAAAUCUCACUUUGAAGGCAAGGCUAAUAAUGAAAUUGCGCAAACAUCUCAAGUGGAAUAUAUUACAGAUGAAGACUGGACAGCCCUCAUUAAACACUGGCCUGAUCCAAAGUGUCAGGUAGGCUAUAUAUAUUUGAUCAGACCACAUAUUGAACUUGUAUUUAUGUAUGUGCCUUACAAGUGUAUCUUGUUCUAGGCUAACUGUUUGAAGAACAAAACCAACCGUUCUAAAGUGAAAUUCCAACAGACAACAAGAUCUCGUAGCUAUAUUGCACACUGCAAGGCUCUUGUAAAUAGUUGCUACUUCCUUCUUUUUUGUGCCAUAUUAUCGUAUCUAUAUUGACUUGUUCCAAAUACAGAGGAAAGCCCGUGCGGACCAAAAAGAACCUGAACCGAAUGCAGUGCAAAUCUUCAAGGAUUACCACACCAGCAAGAUGAAGGACAUGAGCACACCAGUUCAAGCCGCUGUUGUAAGUCCUUACUCCUCCUGCCUUUGAACUGAUUGGUAUUGUGAUGUGUUCAUUUAGCUACUUGGUUUGCAGCCAAUGUGAGUUACUCUGUUCACUUUUAUACACAGUUGUCUUAACGUACCAUUUCACCUUACAUGGCAUGUUUGCUUUAUAUCUGUUUGCCCACGAUAUGAAUGAUCUCAUACUAUGUUCAUCCUACUUUAAACCAUGUCUAUUUAUCCUUAGAUGUCAAUGAAUGUGAGGAAAUAGACAAUACAGUAGGCAUGCUACAUGGACAUAUAUUCAAAAAGUGAUUUUAUUAUGUAGUUGGCACUACAAUACAUGCUAAUGUAUUACAGUAGUUCACCAAAAUAAGUUAUGUAUAAACGUUUAACCUACUUUGUUUUUUGUCUCAUUAGUAACUUAUCUGGUACACUAAUCUACAAGUUCAAACUUUCAGGAAGCUAUGGAACAAAUGAUUGAACAACCACAACCACCUGAAGGUGACGAGGCUACCACAGGCACAAUGUCACCUCUUGCUGCAGUGCGUCAGUAUCUCUCCACUAACAGUGCAAAAAGCACGUUCCUGCGUAAUUCUGGGUUGGUUGUCAAGGUAACAUCGUCCAAAUCACCUACUGAACAAAAUCUUCCUGCUAGACAGAGUGAUAUAUCCGUGCUCCAAACACAAGUCCAAUCCCUAAUGGACGUCUUUUCGGAAACAAGAAUAGUGGUUGACAAAUGUCAUCAAUAUAUGAAUGGUUUUCAAACCAUACUAUCAGACAUUCGCUUCGUUGUUCAAGAGAAAUGGUGGGAAAAAGGUGAAGGUCGUGCUGCUCCAUCAGAUUCUAUAGACUAAAACAUUAGCACUCAUGUCAAAUGAUAUGUACUUCUAUACAUCUGAUGGUGCUUUUAUCUAGAAGGACUGUAAACUUUCUGCCAAUAGGCCUUUUGUUGUAUGGUUGGAAUUUAUUUUGUUGUGAUACAACAUUUAUGAUGCUGCCAUAGGCUGUAAUAAUUACGACGCUAUUUUUGUAUAGUGUAGGUUUAUCUUAGUAAUGUAUUCAGCUGAAAGCUUCAUAGGAGCCCAACAUGCCAAUAUUCGUCAGGCCCAUUCCAAUUGGGCAAAAACGAUUACGGGCCGAAAUUGGCAUGUAGCCCACUAAAAAUAUCUGGGCCCAAAUCAGCAUAAGCUUUCAUAUUUUUCUGGUAGGCCUGUGCCCAUAGUGGGCCUUUAACAGACCUAAACAUAAUUUGGGCCCUUUGUAAAAAUAGGUCGUUUACAGGUGUAGAUAUCUCAAGCCCAUAAAAACAUGGGCCUUUAAUAGACUGAAAGUGAGAUUAGGCUUUGAUUAUGCCAAAUAACCCACUGGUCUUAGCAGGCCGAAAUGGUGGUCCAUUUACGAUGCGGAUCUUUGACAGGCCGAAAUUCGGAUGGGCCGUAAAUGCGCCGACCUAAUACACGACCCUUUAACAAGCCGGAACUUCGGUCGGGCUAGAUUAUCGUCAGUUUUAUAUGGGCCGUUAAUGGGCCCGAUAUGACGCUGCGCCACAUAUGGCCCAUGGUUUUCGUCCGGCAUUAACAGACCGAAAAUGACAACAGGCCAAAAGUGGCCCAAAUCUAUAGUGGGCCUCUAACAGGCCGAAUGUCAGACAUGGCCGAAUAUGACCCAAAUCCUUCACGGUCGUUUAUGGGCCCAAAGUUUUGAUGGCCUGUAAAAGGCCCAAAUGAAGCAGGACCUUUAACAGGCCGGAAAUACACCGGGCCGUAAUUCGGCCCAAUUACUUAGCGGGUUGUUAACGGGCCAGAAGUGACCAUGGGUCGCGUUGAUGACAAGUUUAUGACACGCCGUUGACGGGCCAAUUUUACAGAGAAUGUUGGGCCUUUAGCUGGGCCGGCCCAUUAUGGUCUGCAAAAUCUUGUGGGCCUUUAGCUGCGCCGGCCCAUUGUGGUCCACUAAAUCCUGUGGGCCUUUAGCUGGGCCGGCCCAUUAUGGUCUGCAAAAUCUUGUGGGCCUUUAGCUGGGCCGGCCCAUUAUGGUCCACUAAAUUUUGUGGGCCUUUAGCUGGGCCGGCCCAUUAUGGUCUGUAAAAUCUUGUGGGCCUUUAGCUGGGCCAGCCCAUUAUGGUCCGCUAAAUCUUAUGGGCCUUCGGUUGGGCCGGCCCAUUUAAACUUUAUGGGCCAGUUUUGGGCCGGUCCAUGUGUCAACAUAUCAUAGGCACAUCUCGACCGUUGGAUGAGUGACACCUGUGCUAACAUGGAGCUGACGCAUGGAUCUGUCAGCCAAUGAGAAUUUUAAACAUGGAAAAUCGGCAUUGGUCGUGGCUGUUAGCGGGUUAUCGGAUCCAAAAACCGGACUCAAUAAGUUAACGGCGGUUAAUGGCAUCCCGUUGCCACGUGUCGGUCACCCUUGACGAAAGCACUUCUAUGACACGCGAUUUAUCGUCAUGGAAGUGGACACUUCCGUGAUGAUAAUUUUGGUAAUGUCAUGGAACACUUCUACGACAGCACGGGUAUGACUAUCUUGAUUCUGUCAUAAAAUCGUCAUGGAUGUACAUGCAUGACAAAAAACGUGACCUACUGUGACAAACACGUAUCAUCACUGAAGUGUAUUUUUUUGUAGUGUUGAUGGUCACGCAGCCUUUGUAGGACCGAUCGGAGGUGUCCUUUGUGCUCGCCUUCACUUUUUGAGUAUAUUAGAAUAUCAUCGAUAAAAACCACCACAAAUUUAUCGAGGAAAUCCAUGAAUACUUUAUUCAUCAUGUGCAUGAAGAAAGCAUGAGCAUUGGUGAGGCCGAAAGACAUGACGGUAUACUCAUAAAGACCGUACCGAGUGGUGAAUGCAGUCUUAGGAAUAUCUUCCUUCUUAAUCUUAAGUAGGUGGUAUCCGGUCCUCAAAUCAAUUUUGGAGAACACUUUGGCCCCACUAAGCUGAUCAAAUAAGUCAUCAAUUCUGGGCAGUGGAUAUUUGUUUUUGAUGGUGACAUCAUUCAACUGACGGUAAUCCACACACAUGCGGAGACUACCAUCUUUCUUGUCCAUGAAUAUAGCAGGUGAUCCCCAUGGUGAGGAACUAGGACGGAUGUAACCUUUUUGGAGCAUCUCAUCCAGCUAUUUCUUUAGCUCCACUAACUCUGAGGACAGCAUUCGGCAAUAUUUCUUGUAUAAUGGUGCGGUUUCGGGCACAAGGGCGAUUGCAAAUUCAAGCUCUCUGUUUGGUGGCAUGCCCGACAGUUCUUCAGAGAAUACAUCUGGAAACUCACUGACCACCGUAAUUAAUUCCAAUUCAGCCACAGCGGCAAAAACCAUUUCUUUCUGUGGUAUGCUUCUACGGGCAUGGAAUUUUGUAUCUUGCCCUUCUGGACUUAUCAAGGUGACUUCUCGGGUUGCACAAUUUAUGCAGACUUGGUACUGUGUCAGCCAAUUCAUUCCCAAAAUGAUGUCCAGCUUAACAGACUCAAUGAAUAUCAAGGAAGGUGGAAAGCGGACACCAUUGAUAUUUAUUUCCAGAUCACGGAAGACCAGAUUGCUUCUGAGCAAAGAUCCCUGGGAUUGUACCAGCAUAUUCUUGCUUAAAAUCGAACAAGCAAAUUUGUUUUGGGCAACAAACCUCCGUGAAAUAAAAGACUAGGAAGCCCCAGAGUCAAAUAAAAUUACGACAGAUAUGCUAUUAACUGAAAACAUACCAAUGACGACUUCGGGGUUCUCUUGGGCUUCGUCUGUGGAGAGGUAAUGGAUUUGCCCGGUGAUGUUUUGCUGAGUAGGGUAUGCCCCAAUAUAAUUGACUUGCCGCCUGAAUGGAGGGUUAUUCCUGCCGCCCAUGGGACACUGCCUGGCGUAAUGUCCGGUUUGCCCACAAUUGAAACAGGAAUUGUUGCGCUGGCACUCUUCUUGCACUGGGUUGGCUACAACAUUCUUGACUUGAGUUGGGGCCUUGUUGAUAUUCUGCUGCCAAUUGGGCUUGUACUCUACUUGCAGUUGCUGCCAAGUAUGAGCCUUUUGCAUAGGUUGACCCUCCUUUCUUGGUUCGAACUUGCGUUAGUGAUCAUUAUUUGUAGUCUUGUUAUCAUUUAUCAGUUUGUGUUCCCUCUCAGCAAUGAGGGCCUUGUUUACCAGAGUUUGAAAAUCGGUGAAAUCAAACAUGCUGAGGGUGCAUCCGAGAUGUUGAUUUAAUCCUGCAAGGAAACGAUCAAUCUUCCUUUCUUCGGUGGCCACAUCAUAAAGAGAGUAGCGGGCCAACUGAUUGAAUUUAUUUAAAUAUUCACUUACAGACUGACUCCCUUGGAGGAGCGCAAGAAAUUCGCGCUGCUUGACCUUCAUUAUUCCAGCAGGAAUAUGGUAUUUACGAAAUUGAUCCUUGAAUUUUACCCAGGUGAUUUCCUCAUCAGCAGGCAACAUACCUUUUUCGUUUUCCCACCAUAUUGCGGCAACGCCUUCAGGAUAAUGAGUUGCAAAGGGGACUUUGUCAUUUAUAUCAGUAUGGGAAAUCUCAAGCUUCUUUCUCAAUAGUUCUUAACCAGUUGUCUGCAUCCAAUGGAUCAGUGACCUCGCUGAAACUGGGAGGGUUGGUCCUUUGAAAAUCUGAUAGUUUGGAGUGAUGACCGUUCUAGUUUCCAUUCUGUCCAACCAUAGCUUGCACACUUCUUAACAUUUUGAGUAGAUCAUUAGUUCGCCUUUCUUCAAACAUACAGAGAAUUUGCUUAGUGGAGGGUGGAUUUGGCAGUGGAGGCGGUGGUGUAACGAACGGCUCGGGGAUUGUCCUGCCUGUCAUGCGGAAAGACGAACAGGUGUAGCCUCACGAGCGUUGCCACUGAUGCCUCCCCGCGUCAUCCUAUGGUUUUUCCCAAGAGAACGCGAUCAAGAUGAGCAACAUCCAAAAAUAAGAAUAGUAGGGAAAAGCCAGCGACAAAACCGGAAAGAGCGAAACUCCAAAGAAACACACCAAAUAGAAGAAAGUCCAACAUAAUUAUACAUAGACCAGUACAUAAAAGAUAAAUGACAUCAUACAUCGAACGGAACAUCAUCACUUGUACAACUACAUCGGUACAUCGAGCGCUCUAAGGCUCUGCUGGUGUUGCAGUAUCCUCUCCUGAAGUGGACUCGGAUCCUGAGUUGAUGGCGUUAACCAAGACCUCCGGGUUAAAUGUAACACGACGACGUUGCCUCGAGGGUUCUCCCUUUGGAGCAGGCGCAGGAUGAGGCUGAAGCAUCGGGGCUAGUGGGUAGCGAGAAGAGAAACCCACUCAGCAGGAGUUCUAAGAGGGUUUGUGGUCGCGGUGUCCGAGCUACUCAGAGGAACAACCGGUGAAAUAGGCGAACUAGAACUGGACGGAAUAUAAGGAGUAAUUCCCGUAGACGAUGGAGUAGUGACAGCUCUAGUAGCGGCUAAAGCAAUGCGGGUGCGAGUCAGCUCUCGGGCCAGCUCAUAGAUCAGAAGGUAGCUAGCAGUGAUAUAGCGAGAAAGGUGGCUAGCAGCACUAUCGGACUCCGGAUCAAUGGUAGGAAACGAACACGACCAUUGUCGUGCAGGGAGGGAUAGCAAUAGAAACCUGGAUGGUUCUGCAUUCGGGACUUCGUUAUAGCGUAACUUGAUGAGGACCUCCAAUGCAACAAACUUGACAGCCUGAGAAGCGGUAGAAGCAUAACCACUCCGGGAAGUGCGGGUGUAAGAGGUAGAGGAUGAACUGGUGCGCAGGGUAACCACAGCGUGAUAUUCAUACACUGAAUCUGACAGACGCUCCAGGUACACAUGAUAGACUGGGUCGUCACCGUGAGGAUACAGUCGACGCCACAUGUUGUGAAGGAGAUGCGGUGACAUGCACGGCAUCAGCUACAACUGGCACGGAUACGGCACCGGAGCCAUCUACCCUCACAGCCAUUAGCAGGUUAGAAAUAAAAUAACCAAGUGCAUGCAAUGCAACAACCAGUUAUAAACACUACCGGCGCUCCACUUUUAUCUUAGCUAAUGUCCAGUAAUGUGACAGUAGUCUAGCGUGUUCUACUGUCAGCGCGGCUCUGAUACCAAGCGUUGUGGCACCCCGGCUAAGAGCAACUGGUUUACCUUGCAUUACCAGCCCAGAGACCGUGUCUUCUGGCAACACACAACAUCUUGGUACAGAAAACAACUGCUUUAUUGAUACUAGCUGAACAUAGUACAUAUUACAACAAGUUAGGAGGCCGAGUGGCACACACGGUGCGGCUGAACAAUAGUACAUUAUUUAAUGAACAUAAAGGGGGCCUCGAUCAUGAUAACUACACGGCAGCGGAAUGGCGACAAAGCGGGACUCCAUAUCACAGGGACACCGGUGUGAACACGAUCUAGACUCGUUCAGCUCUCCGUUCCAACGAACCUUUCCUGAAAUCUGGCAUGACACGCCAGGUCAGUACAUUGAAUGUACUUGAAAGCUCACAACAAGCAUGAACAUAAUGACAAACAAUAUCAUGAUCUCCACCAAAUUAAUCAAUGCAAAAUCAUACUAUGGAUGCAGUGAAUAAAUUCUCGUGCUUCAAGUCCCACGGACUUACUUACAAACGGGUUACCACGUAACCAAACGGUGAUCUUUCUCGGAUCACAAAUGGACCAACAACUUGGUCAUCAAAUGGGUUACCUCGUAACCAAACGGUGAUCUUUCUCGGAUCACAAAUGGACCAACAACUUGGUCAUCAAACGGGUUACCUCGUACCCAAACGGUGAUCUUUCUCGGAUCACAAACGGACCAACAACUUGGUCAUCAACAUCAACAUGAUUUUCCAACCAUCCAACAGUGCCAUAUUAUUAAAUUAGUGUGCAAGAUUUAUUAAAUGUUGACCCAUGGUGUGACCUACUUUCGAGCGUGACCGUAACCAUCAACUCGGCUAUCGAUAGAUUAAUUGCACUCUGCAGAGGUAGCGCAUUGUACCCACACCAAGGAACCCAUGGCCUCGCACUCCCAUUCGGGUGGACCAAUGGCAUUCCAACAAAACCCCUCCAUUGCCCCGACACUCUCCCGCCCACUCCGACUAACUCCCUAUUGGGCUAAGUCAUGGGUGGCCCCAUGUCUACCCCAGACACCAACGGCCAACAUCGUGGCAAAAUGGUCCGAAACGGGAACAAGGUACCAAAACAACAUCAACGGGCACACAAGGUUAUGGUUGCUUACCGGGCUAGGGUACCGCACGCCCAUAACCUUCCCUCGUUGGAGGUACGGACCAGAGGCAUGACAACGGACCGAAUAAAGGCCUUCCCAUAAAGGCAAAUGUGAUUGCGCUGGGAAAAACUCGAUUCAGUGGCACCAUGACCCAAUCAACGAUAUGUUCAAGUUGAGUUAUUAUCAGGUUCAACUUAAAGAUAAAAAUGACCAGUGUCAUAACAUACCAUGAAAAUGCAUUCAUAUAACAUGCUUCACUAACCAUUGUAAUCAUACCGGGUCAACUUAUAUCAAACACUAAGCAAAAACUCCAGAAACACAUGGCACCAUUCUAGUCAUGUUUAAACAGCAACUAGUCAUAACAAAUUUAAGCAUCAUUAUUUUCUUAACCAAGAAAAUAGUAUCCCAACUAUUUUCUUUUCAUAAGCAGAUUAUUACUCCAUAUUCUAACAUGACUCAAAAAGACUAACACUAACUUAGUUAACUUUCUAACUUACUGUAAUCCAACAUAUUCACAUAAUCUAGCUUCCAACAGAAUGAAAAUACUAUUUACUUGGUGAUUAAAAAUGCAUGAACUAAAUUUAAUCAUUCAAGUUUGAAAAUAAAUCACAAAUAUUGCAAUGACACCAUGAAAAUGUUGUUGUGGCUUGCCUUAGUGCAUAUGAGGGUCACACUCCUCCUGGUGAUCCUGAAGACAAGCUUCUCUCUCUGAAAACAAUUAUAAACACAAAAAGAAAACAUCAUGAAACACUCUAAAAUUUGCCAGAAAAUCUAGGCAGUAGAGAAAAUCUCAUCUCUGGUGAGCUGCUAAAGAUUUUCAUAUAGAACACAAUGCAAAAAGAAUCAAUUCAUUUGGACUUAUGGUUAAAAAGGUGUGGCUGUUUGAAGUGCUCUAGAAUUUAUUUGAAUUUGAAUUAAUAUAAAACAGACUGGGGGUGACGUCGAAGGCGUAAACCUGCAGAGCGCCACCACUCGUACCGCUUCGGGCGCGUACAGAGUGGCUGACUAGCGGGGCCAGCCGGUCAGGUGAGAGGGAGGGCGAGAGGGAAACAGAGCAUGGCGGGGCUCCACCGGAGCACACACCGGCGAGGAGGGCUCCUUGGCCAGAGCUAGAGGGAUAGAUUGAGAGAGGGGACGGAGGCGCACCUGCCCAUACCCGUAGGCUAGCUAGGGAUGGUCGGACGGCAUCGGAAAUGACCUCUCCAGCGGCGAUAAGAAGCAGAGGUCGCCGGAGAUGAAGACGACGGCGACUAGAGCGGCACUAGGGGCUCCAAUCGGGUCGGACGGCACCGCUGAUGCACAGUGGAGGCCCUGGAAGGGUUGCCUGGGCUUGGGAGGGGCUGGAGUGGUGCGGGCGGGCAGAGGGGAUCGCCGGCGAGCUCGAGCUUGAAGACGGCGGCCCGAGGCCUGCCCGGCCGGGCCACGGAUUUCUACAGGCUUGUGGAGUGUGCGCGAGGAGUGGAUGUGGCUCGAGGAUGCUGGGGGGGCUCUACUUAUAGCUGAGCGGAGCGAGGGGAUCGGGCUCCGCCGGAGGACACCUGGAUGCUGCGCCUGGCGACUAGUGGCGUCAGUGAGAGAGGGGGACGGCGACGGAACUCACGCGAGAACUGUGGGCGAGCGGAGACGAGCACAGGGGUGAGGGGAUGGCGACGAACACAGUGCACGGUGCACUGUUGGGUUGGUCGAACCACGCCCGUGCUCGCUGCGGCGAGCUCCGACGUUGGCGAGCACCAGGGUGCAGUUAAGGGCGUCGGGACGGAGAUGGUGGUGGGGUUGGGCAUGGUUUGGCAGGCGGGGAAGCGAUCACGCGAUAAAUAGAGGCUCAGGCGCGUCGCAGAGCGCGUCGGCUGCAUGACAGCAUGCCUGGACGAACGCGGUCACCGCGUGAACUCUGACCUCAGGCCGACCUAAGCCUAAACUUCAUGUCGGGCGUGUUGUUCGUGGUAGAUUUAGAGGUUACCACACUUUGGUUUGGGCUCAAACAUAGUGAACAAGGUUUUUACUUCACUGCAAGUUACUGGAUAGUAACUUUGAGAGCUUGCUGAGGUUAAAUGCCUGGAAGUUGGGAGCUGUGCUUUGGUGGCUAGCAAUCAUCUAGGAGGGUGGUGAUGCAUAAGAAAAUGCAGCUCCAUUUGAUCAAGUAAAAUGGCAGUUGUUGUAGAAACUACCAUUUCAGACCAGAACAAAAAGUAAUUUCUGUAGCAAAAAUAUUCCAACAGGUGAAUGAUAUUUUUGCUAAGGGAGGUGCCUUGGGGUUCAAAGGAUUUUUGAGAAUUUUCUCAGAUUUUUGUGGCCAAGAAAAAUGGGGUUGCUUUGGAGCACAAUUUUCUGGUUAGGGUUUUUGAGAGGGAAAUGAAUAUUUUUCAUUUAAGAAAAAUACUCAUGCCAUUAUUUUGAGGUAGAUCAGAGAGGAAAUGAUGGUUUUUAGGAGGAGUGAGCCCCUUGGGUGAAAGCCAAGGUGAUGCCCAAGUGUUUUAAGUCCAACUGAAAAGAUUCAACUCAAAAUUCAAAUCAAAUCCCAACUGAAAACCAGAAGAGAGAAGAGGGUGAAAACCAGGCUAUCACAUGAGAGGAGAUGGUGUUGUCGAAGAUGUUGAUGGAGAUUGUCCUCCCCAAGAUAGGAGAGUUGUUGGUGAUGAUGAUAAUGAUGAUUUCCCCCUCCGGGAGGGAAGUUCCCCCGGCGGAAUCGCUCCACCAGAGGGCAAAAGUGCUCCUAUGAAAGUUCCGCCUAGAGAUGGCGGCGCUUUGUCCCGAAAGUCCUCUCCAGAUUUUUUCUAGGUCAAAAUGACUUAUGUACCAGGAGAGGGGCACCGGAGGUGGGCUGAGGGGAGCACAAGCAACCAGGGGGCGCCUGGGCUCCCUAGCGCAUCCAGGUGGGUUGUGCCCACCUGGUGGGACCCCUUUGGUACUUAUUUGCUCCAAUAGUUCUCAUUUAUUCCAUAUAAAUUGCUUGUGAAGUUUCCGCUCAUUUGGAGUUGUGUAGAAUAGGUAGCCUGACGUAGCUUUUUCAGGUCCAGAUUUCCAGCUGCUGGAAUUCUCCCUCUUUGUGUAAACCUUGCAUAUUAUGAGAGAAAAGACAUUAGAAUUACUCCAAAAAGCAUUAUUACGCAAUAAAACAACAUAAAUAACAGUAGGUAAAUAUGUUGCAAAAUGGAUGUAUCACACUCAUUUACCUUUUGUUUAAACCGAGAUAUUUCAUUAAAACUGAGAUAUUCGCUCCGAUAUUGCUACUAAUUAAUAAUGAAUGCAAAGGAUUCCAAUAUCAUCUCUUUUAUGUGUUUCCACAGGAGAUGGACUAGAAAUGCAAGAAAUCACGUGUGGACAUGGAAAUGAGUGAAGAAGAAGAUAUAAGUGAAGGAAAUAUGCCCUAGAGGCAAUAAUAAAGUUGUUAUUUAUAUAUUUCCUUAUAUCAUGAUAAAUGUUUAUUAUUCAUCCUAGAAUGGUAUUAACCGAAAACUUAGUACAUGUGUGAAUACAUAGACAAAACAGAGUGCCCCUGGUAAGCCUCUACUUGACUAGCUUGUUAAUCAAAGAUGGUUAUGUUUCCUAACCAUAGACAUGUGUUGUCAUUUGAUGAAUGGGGUCACAUCAUUAGAGAAUGAUGUGAUGGGCAAGACCCAUCUGAUAGCUUAGCAUUAUGAACGUUACAGUUUUAUUGCUACUGCUUUCUUCAUGACUUAUACAUGUUCCUCUGACUAUGAGAUUAUACAACUCGCGAAUACCGGAGGAACACCUUGUGUGCUAUCAAAUGUCGCAACAUAACUGGGUAAUUAUAAAGAUGCUCCACAGGUGUCUCUGAAGGUGUUUGUUGGGUUAGCAUAGAUCGAGAUUAGGAUUUUUCACUCUAUGUAUCGGAGAGGUAUCUCUAGGCCCUCUCGGUAAUGCUCAUCACUAUAAGCCUUGCAAGCGAUGUGACUAAUGAUUUAUUUGUGGGAUGAAGCAUUACGAAACGAGUAAAGAUACUUACCAGUAACAAGAUUGAACUACGUAUGAUGAUACCGACAAUCAAAUCUCGGGCAAGUAACAUACUGAUGACAAAGGGAACAACGUAUGUUGUUGUGCAAUUUGACCGAUAAAGAUCUUCAUAGAAUAUGUAGGAGCCAAUAUGAGCAUCCAGUUUCCGCUAUUGGUUAUUGAUUGGAGAUGUUUCUCGAUCAUGUAUACAUAGUUCUCGAACCCGUAGGGUCCGCAUGCUUAACGUUUGAUGACUGAAGUUUGUCCGGACUCCUGAAUAAGAUCACGGACAUGACGAUAGAAGAUAUUGAUGUUACAAUUAAGCUUGCCAAUAGAGAUACUAUUUCUCCAAUUGGGAUUGUUAGAGAUGUUGAAGUCUUGUUUGGGAAAGCUAAAUAUCCUGCUGAUUUUCUCGUUCUUGGUUCCCCACAAGAUAACUUUUGUCCCAUUAUAUUUGGUAGACCCUUCUUAAAUACUAUUAAAGCUAGAAUAGAUUGCAAAAAAGAUGUUCUCACGAUUGGCUUGGAUGGUAUGACUCAUGAGUUGAAUUUUGCUAAAUUUCAUAGACAACCACAUGAUAAAGAACUUUCUAGUAAGGAUGAAAUUAUUGGUCUUGCUUCUAUUGAUGUGCCUCCUACUGAUCCUUUAGAACAAUAUUUGCUAGAUCAUGAAAAUGAUAUGUUCAUGAAUGAAAGAAGGGAAAUAGAUGAAGUAUUCAUUAAACAGGGUCCUAUUUUGAAACACAACUUACGUGUUGAAAUCCUAGGGGAUCUUCCAUCACCCAAGGGUGAUCCCGUGUUUGAACUUAAACCAUUACCUGAUACCCUUAAAUAUGCUUAUCUUGAUGAAAAGAAGAUAUAUCCAGUUAUUAUUAGUGCUAACCUUUCAGAACAUGAAGAGGAAAGAUUAUUGAAAACUCUGAAGAAGCACCGUGCUACUAUUGGGUAUAUUCUUGAUGAUCUUGAGGGCAUUAGCCCCACUCUAUGCCAACACAAAAUUAAGUUGGAAGAAGACACCAAACAAGUUGUUGAUCAUCAACGACGGUUAAACCCUAAGAUGAAGGAAGUGGUAAGAAAGGAAAUACUAAAGAUCCUAGAGGCAGGUAUAAUUUAUCCUGUUGGUGAUAGUACGUGGGUAAGUCCUGUCCAUUGUAUCCCUAAGAACGGAGGUAUCACUGUUGUUCCUAAUUAUAAAGAUGAAUUUAUCCCGUAAAGAAUAUUACAGGUUAUAGGAUGGUAACUGAUUUCCGCAAAUUAAAUAAAGCUACUAAAAAGAUCAUUACCCUUUACCUUUUGUUGAUCAAAUGCUAGAAAGACUAUCCAAACAUACACAUUUUUGCUUUCUAGAUGGUUACUCUGCUUUCUCUCAAAUACCUGUUUCAGUGGAUGAUCAAGAAAAGACCACUUUUACUUGCCCUUUCGGUACUUUUGCUUAUAGAGGUAUGUGUCGUGGAAUUAUCAAGUCAAAUGUCCUAGUGUGAGGACUUAGUCGUGGAGCCAUCGCGACUAGGUUACCUUAGAGGGGUUAAACCGGACAAAGGACACGGGGAGUUUAUAUGGGUUCGGCCCCUUGCGGUGAAGGUAAAAGCCUACGAUCCAGUUGUGGUGGAAUUGAUGGGGUCUCCAUAACCAGGGAGCAAAUACGCUUUGCCUAGUUCUUGAGUUGUUGUUUCUUGUCCCUGAACCAUCGUCGGGUCGUCCCUUUAUAUACACAAGUUGACGCCCAGCGGUCUACAGAAUACCGAGGCCGGCUCAUACAUGUGUCCGGCUCGGUUUCUUCCUUUUCCUAACUUACAAUACAAGUUACACAUCUCAUGGCAGUUUAUGUCUAUGGGCCCUAAUCUGCCCUUGGGCUCUAGGCCUUCUAGUCUCUGUAGUAAAGUGCCAUAUUCCUUGUCUUCAUGGGAUUCAAUACGGAUGAUUCCUUGUGAGUAUAAUCCGGCCUCUCCUGGGCGGUUUAUACUCAGUAGUCAUAUCCCCAACAGUAUGCCUUUUGGUUUAUGCAAUGCACUUGCUACUUUUCAAAGAUGUAUGAUGGCUAUAUUCUCUGACUUUUGUGAAAAGAUUUGUGAGGUAUUCAUGGAUUAUUUCUCCGUUUAUGGAUCCUCCUUUGAUGAUUGCUUGAGCAACCUUGAACGAGUUUUGCAGAGAUGCUAAGAUACUAGUCUUGUUUUGAAAUGGGAGAAGUGCCACUUUAUGGUUAAUGAAGGCAUUAUCUUGGGGCAUAAAAUUUCUGAAAGAGGUAUUGAACUUGAUUAAGCUAAGUUGAUGCAAUUGAAAAGAUGCCAUGUCCCAAGCACAUCAAAGGUAUAAGAAGUUUCCUUGGUCAUGCCAGUUUUUAUAGGAGGUUCAUUAAGGACUUUUCCAAAAUCUCUAGGCCUCUGACUAAUCUAUGACAAAAAGAUAUUCCUUUUGUCUUCGAUGAUGAUUGUGUAGAAGCCUUUUAAAUACUUAAGAAAGCUUUGGUUUCUCCACCUAUUGUUCAACCUCCUGAUUGGAAUUUACCCUUUGAAAUUAUGUGUGAUGCUAGCGAUUAUGCUGUAGGUGAUGUUCUAGGACAAAGAGUUGAUAAGAAACUAAAUAUUAUUCAAUAUGCUAGUAAAACUCUAGAUAGUGCCCAAAGAAAUUAUGUUACUACUGAAAAAGAAUUUUUAGCAAUUGUAUUUGCUUGUGAUAAGUUCAGACCUUAUAUUGUUGAUCCUAAAGUAAUAUUCACACUGAUGAUGGUGCUAUUAAAUAUACACUACUAGGGAAAAGCCUAGCAGCAGCGCGGGUUUUGGCCCUCUCAGUAGCGCGGGUACCGGCGCUACUAAUAAGGCGCUACAGCUAACGUAUAGCAGUAGCGCCUGUUGACCCAUGCUACUGCUACUGAUGAAUAGCUGUAGGGCUCUUUGGAAAAAGGCGCUACUGAUAUUAUCUGCAGCGCUUUUCAGCAGGAAGCGCUACUGGUAAGUCGGCGCUACUGCUAAAUUUCCCCCCUCGCUACUGCUAGUUUUAUUAGUUUUUUUUCCUGCAUAUUUGUUUUUUAUUUGUUUUGUAUUUGAAUAGGCUUUAUACAAUAAUCUUUAGCAUAUCAUCCACAUAAAAAUGUAAUCAUAGCAUAUACAUACAAUUAGUCUCAUCAAAUCAUGUCAUCAUCAUAAUCAUCAUCCAACACAAAGUGGUCUCUCGUCAUCAAUCUCGAAAAUAGCGAUACAAGUCUCGAUUACUUGCAAAUACAUCGUCAUCCAUCUAAACAAUGAUAUACGCGAGAAUAGCUAUCACUUUGAGUACAUGAGUUCGUAUCCCUCUCUCGCAUUAGCGUGAACCUAAACUAAGUAUUGCGUGUCCCUCGGAAACCGAAAACCGGUACACCUGGGCCUGACACUCCGGCCACUUGUCGUAUAUAUACUCCUGGCAUAGCACUUCUUCGCCAUCUAUGAUCUAUGCACCUGCAUCGUCACAUGAGUCGAUGAUAUGCAACAUAUAUAGUUGAGCAACAGAAGUCGAUGAUCUAUGUCUUUCCGACGACCUCAUUCAUGAUGAUUUGGGCAAGUUCACGCUGGAUGUUAUAGAACUCACCUCGAAGUCGAUGAUCCUCGAUAUCUCCUAUGUCCUUUGCCCAUUGCAGAAUAUGGGCAUCGCCAGAUCUAGGUGCCAUGUGAAGGUUCAGGUGAUCCCGUCUGUACUCCAGCAUGUGGUGUAGGACAUAGAAUCCAUCAUUAAGAGAAUCAUUCGGUUGCUGGAUGCAGCAGAAGUCGGUCUUAUAGCUGAAGGCGGCCCUGCCGCCCCUUCUCUUCAUGUCCCUAACCUCUCCACCCCUUGCUUGGUAGUAAAACAUAGCACUGUCGAGAACAUCUUUGAUGUGGGUGUAAUCCUUUUUGUGAAUGUUCUUCGACGAGUCCAAGUAAAGAGCGUGGGAGAAUCGGGGGUAGAGGAUGAUGAGGACGGCGCGCCCGCCGCUGUGCAAAAUAAGUACACCUCAAAUUAAUUAGCCUCCACCGUGCAAAUGAAUUAUUGAAAUCGAAGGAAGGAUAGCAGCGUGAAUGACUUACACGGGAUGAUAAGGCACGAUAAUCGCCUCCUUGUCCUUAUUGCGUGCAUGAAACUGACGAUGUAAUCCCUCGCGUAUUCACGAUGAUGUGCACAGACUCCCAAGAAGCCCUCGUGCAUGUAGUACGGGUCAGCGACACAGAUAAAACGUAUCUGCUCAACCCCAAUGAUGUAGUUCAUGUGCAAGGCAUAAAGGCGGACAAACGUAAAAUCCAGCUUCUUCACAUGAAACAUGUCGAAUAUGUAAUCGAAUCGGAGGAAGAACUUAUCCGCGGGGAAGCCGUCGACGUACGACAUUUGCCGUGGAACGUUAACCACGUAGAGUGGGUAUCCUGGAUCUUUCGAGGCGAUGAGGCCUUUCUCUACCCGCAGCACAUCGUCAUGAAGUCUCCUUAGAUCGCCGAAUCUAGCCCAUAGCGCUGUUUCAGGUAGGAUUGGUCGACCGGGGAUAUGCCAUUUAUCAGCAUCGGGGAUAUCUACACGGUCCUGAAGCCGAGGCUGCUGAGGCGGCUGGAUCAUAGAAUCAGCUUUUUUGCCUUUCCUCGCUCUCUUCCUAGGCUUCUUUACCACUGGAUGGUCGUCAAUAAUACGUUGAGACGGUAAUUCAGGCACCGACUCAUGAUGCUCAAACCCUGAGGAGGCGCCAGUAUAGACAUAUUGUUCAGCGCCAUCGUCAUCCUCAUCCUCAUCCAUGGCGACGUCAUCAGCGACUAAUGGAGCCACCUGCUUAACCCGUCCGCUAUCACCCAACCCGACACUAAUUGGGUAGGUGGGGUGUUGAUGUUCAUACCUUGCUGAGGCUGCGUGCUCGUGGGUGUGCUCCCGGCCGCCUCUAGACGAAGAAGACUCUUUGGCCACAACAGGACCCACCCAUUGCAACAAUCACCAAGCCGCCGCGGGGUCUCGUCGUCAUCGCCCACUAGUAUUAGAGGAGGCAAAUUCUCGUGGCCCGGUUUGACACUGGCCACAGAAACCUUGAAGACGUUCGGGGGGAUCGACCGGCUGUGGAACAAUGGUUCCUUCGGCUCCAUUAUCGUCUUCUUCCCCACGUCCACCUUCUGUUCGCCGAUGGUGUACAAUAUGGUGCACGGGGUUUCGUCGGCCUGCAAAGAAAAGUCUGCAACGUGAGACAUCCGAAAGGCAACAAAAACGGGAGAUUAUACAUUUAUAUUGAAGGGGGCCGGUGUGGCAGAUACCGUGAGGGCGUCGAGCUCAGCCAAAGAGGAGGCACCAUCGAGCACGUCCGGUGCGGGAGCCGGUGCGGGAGCAGGUGCAGGAGCCGGUGCGGGAGCAGGUGCGGGAGCCGGUGCGGGAGCAGGUGCGGCCAAGAAGUCAGCAAGGGGAAAGUCCUCUGCAUUUUUUUCUGGAUUUUGCCUUGUCCAAGUGUAAACGCCCGUCACCAAGGAAGUAGAUAUAUCUGCAAUCUCCUGUUUUGCGGCAGCUACCGCUGUUGCGACUGUCUGAGAAGAUUUCUUCUCAACCGCAAUCUCAACCUUCUUGUCGAUGCUUUCUUCAGUUAACCUCUGUCUUUCCUUUUUCUCCUCCGUGGUCUCACGGUAGUACUUCUUCCACAUGGCGCCGUCUCCAACACCGUGCACGCGUCCAUACGACGGUCGAGUAUCCACCGGUUGUUGUUUCAAUAUGUUUAACGCCCGGUUGAAUGGAGUGUCCCACUUGGGCCUCGCCAAUGCCUCAGACGGCGAGUCGCUUUCGGCCGCAAUCCGGUGCUGCUCUCUUUGCAAAAGGCACAAGGAUCGUUUACAAAUAUGACUAACAUGUGCAGUCGAAUUGAUCAGAAACUAAAAUUACCAGCAGUCUCAUGAACUCCGUAAUCACCGGUGUUGUCUCAUAAACCUUCUUCACUGGGUCCCAACGGUGUCGGGCCCUCAGGACGUCACGCUCCUGCGGGACGGUGAAAUCCGCCAAGGGGUCUGGGAUGCCCAGACUCGCGGCUUCCGCGUCCUCCUUGGCCCAUUUGGACCUCUUUCCGCCGUAACCACGGCUUCUGAGGUGGUGGGUCCCAAUGUUCCUCUUUUGAAGCCCCUUCAUGUACUUAGACUUUUCUUUGGCAGCUUCGGCCUCGCAAGCCUCCUUGAAUAUUUGAAACUGCUCUUCCGUGAUUGUCAGACUAUCCUUUACAAUCUCGGAGUAGGGUUCCCCGUUGUUGAUCUUUGCUUUCACUCAAUUUUUCCAGGCGGCCAACGCGUUGCUAAACUUGGUCAUGGCGUGUUUGUUUAUCUUCUUCAUUGCCGGGUCCUUGUCUGGAUCUUCAUAAUCCUUCUCAUUCCGGCCCGGGAACAAGAAUAUCUGGUGAAACUUCUCUAGGAGGGAGCUCCUCAUAUUUUCUAUCUUCUUUAGAUUCUCAUCAUUGAUGGUGGCGGUUGUCCGUAUGAUGGAGCCUAUUUGAUUGUCGUAGCACGCGCGCGCUUCCUCGGGCGCCUUUGGCUCAAAAUUGCCGUCGUCCACCUCCGUGACCACCAGUCUAGUAGUCCUGAGUUUGUUAGGAACCCAUCGCCUCUUUGCUUUCGGUUCUACACCGGCUCCGCUCCCCGAGGCAGCACCGGUCUCAGCAUGGGUCUCGAUGCCGGUCUAAAUCUCACUGCCGGUCUCAGUCCCAGCACCAGUCUGCGUGUCGGUCUCAGCACCGGUCUGCGUGUCGGUCUUAGUCCCUGAUGCCACCGGUGGGCCCAGCAACAACAUCUGUUGAUCGUUGGUAAGGCUAAAAAAUUCGUCUACCGCCCGGUAGACGUCGUCGCAAUCACCAGAACCCUGUCCUUCAUCGUUGCUAGCCAUGUUUCCUAUGAUUAAAUCUAGUCAAUUAAUUUUAGACCUAAUAAAAUGAAUAAUGACAUAAAAAGGACUAUUGUUUUGCAGGAAUGUUGACUCCUUCCUGGUGCGGCAAAUCCCGGGCACUCGAUAUGUCCUAGUUUGUAGCACAAGUCAUGCCGAAAUUCAUGGGAAAUUUCGGCAUGACCUUUGCUAAAAAGUGGACAAAUCGAGAACCUGAAAUUUGCCGGAACAGAAAUGAAUCAACAUUCUGGCAACACAUAGGCCACUCAGCAUCAUUCCCUGGAAACAACAAAGCCACUUGGGCACAAUCGAACAACUUCAAUGAAAAGAUAUAACAUGACCACUUCAAUGAAAAAUAAAAUUUGCCUAAAUUCUUUUCCUUGAAAAUAGUGGUCUUUUCAAAAAUCAAAAACCUUUGCCAAUCUACUUAACCUAGCUUAUUAAUCCAACGAACCUAAUUAACCUACCUAUUUAACCUAGUUAGUUAAUCUAGUUUACCUAGAUAAUUAACCCUAAUUAAACUAGUUAACGCGGCUAGUUCUCUGUCAAAGCCUAAAAUAAAUUUUUGCACUAAUUAACCUGGAUAAUUAACCUAAUUAAACUAGUUAACCUGACUAGUUCUCUGUCAAAGCCCUAACUAAGUUUUUGCACUAACCUAGAUAAUUAACCUAAUUAAACUAGUUAACCUAACUACUUCUCUGUCAAAGCCCUAACUAAAUUUUUGCCCUAACCUAGAUAAUUAACCUAAUUAAACUGGCUAACCUAUAUGCAUGAGAGAGAGAGGAGGGGUGGGGGCUUACAGAUGAUGGCUCCGGUGGUGGCGACAGAGGCAGUGGUGGCGAGGGAGGCAGGGGCGUCUCCGGUGACGGCGAGGGAGGCAGGGGCGUCUCCGGUGACGGCGAGGAAGGUGGCGUCGACGGGGGCUCCGGUGGCGUUGACGAGGCCACGCGGCUCCGUGGCGUUGGGGGCGGCUCCGGUGUCGUCGACAGCGCACGGCUCUGGUGGCAUCGACGUCGACGGCGAAGUGGGGCGACGUUGAGUCGGGGAGACGGCGGCGCGCGGGGUGGGUUGAGGGAUUUGGGGGAGAAGUCGCCGGGAGGAAACGGUUUUUUGGUUAAGUCAAACUUAGCGGUAGCGCGUUUGGCAAAACGCGCUAUCGCUAAGAUAGCUAUAGCGGUUUCUGCAAAAUGCGCUGCUGCUAUAGCUAUGUAAAUUUCUUCCUUUUUAAUUUCCUUUUCUGUUUCUAUAGCGGGGGUCUAGGACACGCGCUGCAGCUACGUUAGCUAUAGCGCCUCUUACAAACACACGCUGCUGCUAUGCCUUCCUCCGAUUUUUCGCUUUUUCGUUUAUUUUGCUUUACAUUUUAUUUUUUCCUUUCUCCUUUUUCUAUUUCUUUCAUUUUCAUUUACUUUUCUAUUUGUUUUUCAUCUUAUUUUAUUUCCGUUAGUAGUAGCGCUCUUCCCUGGAAACGCGCUGCUAAUUAUGCCCUAGCGGUAGCGCGUUUCAUCUAAGCCCGCUACUGCUAUGCAUAGCCUAUCAUUCUGCCAAUGGGAAUAUUAGUAGUAGCGCUUUCGCGACUACCAGCGCUACUGCUAAGUUUGUAUCUGUAGCGCGAUUUCUCUUAAAUCGCUACUGCUAUAUAGCACUAGCGCGCUUUUUUGACCCGCGCUGUUGCUAAAUUUCUGUGUAUAAGGUUUUCCCUAGUAGUGAUAUUAUGGAAAAGAAAGAUGCUAAACCUAGACUUAUUAGGUGGGUUCUCUUGCUACAAGAAUUUGAUUUACAUAUUAUUUAUAGAAAGGGAGCUGAGAACCCUGUUGCAGACAACUUGUCUAGGUUAGAGAAUGUUCUUGAUGACUCACUACAUAUUAAUGAUAACUUUCCUGAUAAACAAUUAGCUGUCAUAAAUGCUUCUCAUACUGCUCCAUGGUAUGCUGAUUAUGCUAAUUACAUUGUUGCUAAAUUCAUACCACCUAGUUUUACAUAUGAACAAAAGAAAAAGUUCUUCUAUGAUUUAAGACAUUAAUUCUGGGAUGACCCACACCUUUAUAAAGAAUAAGUAGAUGGUGUUAUUAGACGUUGUGUACCUAAGCAUGAACCGGAACAGAUCCUACGCAAGUGUCGCUUCGAGGCAUAUGGAGGACACCACGCUGGAGAUAGAACUGCACGUAAGGUAUUGCAAUCUGGUUUUUAUUGGCCCACUCUCUUCAAAGACGCCCGUAAGUUUGUCUUGUCUUGUGAUGAAUGUCAAAGAAUAGGUAAUAUUAGUAGACGUCAAGAAAUGCCUAUGAACUAUUCUCUUGUUAUUGAACCAUUUGAUGUUUGGGGCUUUUAUUAUAUGGGACCUUUUCCUGCCUCUAAUGGGUAUACACAUAUUUUAGUUGAUGUUGUUUACGUUACUAAGUGGGUAGAAGCUAUUCCAACUAGUAGUGUUGAUCAUAACACCUCUAUUAAGAUGCUUAAAGAAGUUAUUUUUCUGAGGUUUGGAGUCCCUAGAUACUUAAUGACUGAUGGUGGUUCUCAUUUUAUUCAUGGUGCUUUUCGUAAAAUGCUUGCUAAGUAUGAUGUUAAUCAUAGAAUUGCAUCUCCUUAUCACCCACAGUCUAGCGGUCAAGUAGAGUUGAGUAAUAGAGAACUUAAAUUAAUUUUGCAAAAGACUGUUAAUAGAUCUAGAAAUAAUUGGUCCAAGAAACUUGAUGAUGCAUUAUGGGCUAGAACAGCAUAUAAAAAUCCUAUGGGUAUGUCUCCAUAUAAAAUGGUUUAUGGAAAAGCUUGUCACUUACCUCUCGAACUAGAACAUAAGGCAUAUUGGGUUAUUAAAGAGCUUAAUUAUGAUGUCAAAAUUACCGGUGAGAAGAGGUUAUUCGACAUUAGCUCACUUGAUGAAUGGAGAACCCAAGCUUAUGAAAAUGCCAAAAUGUUUAAAGAAAAAGUUAAAAGAUGGCAUGACAAAAGGAUACAAAAGCGUGAGUUUAAUGUAGGUGACUAUGUGUUGCUCUUCAACUCUCGUUUAAGAUUUUUUGCAGGAAAACUUCUCCCUAAAUGGAAAGGCCCUUACGUUAUCAAGGAAUUUUAUCGCUCCGGUGCCAUAAAAAUCAACAACUUCGAGGGCACAAAUCCGAAGGUGGUGAAUGGUCAAAGAAUCAAACAUUAUAUCUCAGGUAACCCAAUAAAUGUUGAAACUAAUAUUAUUGAAACCGUAACCCCGGAGGAAUACAUAAGGGACACCUUCCAAAAUGUUCCAGACUCCAAAAAGGAAUAGGUAUGUGGUACGGUAAGUAAACCGACUCCAAAUUAAUUUUAACAACAGUAUUUCUCCGUCUUGGAAUAUUUAAGAAAAUAGAAAAAUAAGAAGUAGUCCGGGAAGGACACGAGGCCUCCACGAGGGUGGAAGGCGCGCCCUACCCAACUGGGCGCGCCCCCUGCCUUGUGGGCACCUCGUGUGCUCUCUAGACUCCAUUUUCUUGCACGAUACUUCUUUUGGUCGGUAAAAAUUCAUUAUAUAAUCUCCUGGAGGUUUUGACCACCGUAUCACGCAAAUAUCCUCUGUCUUUGUUUCGAGUUGUUUUCUGACAGAUCUAGAUUGCCAUGACGUCUUCAAGCGCCCCCAAGGACAAAUUCUUUGAGAAGGUCAUCAAUCCCUACCUCGUAGAGGUGCUACAACACCCUCAAACCAUUGAGAUACAUGAGGGGGUGCUGCACAUCCGCGAUGUUGAGGGACCAAGGAGGACCGGAAGCAUGGAGACAAGUCUUGAAGCAAUGAAUCAGCAAGUUUUCAAGUGCCAAGGGAUGGUGGAACGCAGACUCAACGCCAACCAGAUGAUGAUUGCAGAGUUCACCAACAAGCACAAGCUGGAUGCCAAGGACAUUGGGGAGACCAUCUUCAAGCUUCAUGAGAAAAUCGAGCACCUCCAAGCCCAGAUCUAUGACCUACAAAACCAAAACUGUGAGUACGAAUAUAGAUUCAAGAGGAUGAGUUUGGCUGCAGAUUUGAGGAUCUCAGAGACUCGGUCAUCUUUCUAUGAUGGGGAGCCUAUACCUUGGAAGAUGGAGGACAAGCCUACAUCAUCAACAACACCACCUUCUUCACCAGCAAAGGAGACAUAAUCACAUGGGUAUGGGCACUCCCCUUGGCAACUGCCAAGCUUGGGGGAGUGUCCCGGUAUCGUAUCACCAUCACACUCCUAUCUUUACAGCUUUUCUUAGUUAGAUCCCUUUGGUAAUAUCUUUAUCUAGUAGAAUAAAGUUUGGCAUGAAUUAGUUUCGAGUUUUGCUUUGUGAUCCAUCUAUGUAAUCGAGUCUGUGAGCUAUCUAUAAUAAAGAUUAGUGUUGAGUCAAGGGCUUUGCUAUCCUGCUAUGAUCUUGAGAAAAAUAGAAAGAAUAAAAAGAAACAAAAUAAACCAUGUUGAUCUUAUGGAUAGUAAUGACUUCACACAUAAAUAGUAUGAGGCAUAAAAGUUGUUGAGAGUUGGCAAACAUAGUUUUUGUCAUCGUUGUAAUUAAUAGGAAGUAAUAAAGAAAGAGAGGCUCUCACAUGCAAAUAUACUAUCUUGGACAUCUUUUAUGACUGUGAGCACUCAUUAACAUAUGACAUGCUAAAAGAGUUGAUGUUGGACAAGGAAGACAACAUAAUGGGUUAUGCUUUCUCACAUCUUAGUUAAAGUAUAUUGUCAUGGAUCAUACAACAUGUUGAGCUUGCCUUUCCCCCUCAUGCUAGCCAAAUUCCUUGCACCAAGUAAAAAUUACUUGUGCUUCUGAAAUACCCUUAAACCAAUUUUUCCAUGAGAGUCCACCACAUCUACUUAUGGAUUGAGUAAGAUCCUUCAAGUAAGUUGUCAUGUUGCAUGCAAUAAAAUUUGCUCUCUAAAUAUGUAUGAAUUAUUAGUGUAGAGAAAAUAAGCUUUAUGCGAUCAUGUGAUAUGGAAGUAAUAAAAGCGACGGACUGCAUAAUAAAGGUUCAUAUCACAAGUGGCAAUAUAAAGUGACGUUCUUUCGCGUUAAGAUUUUUUGCAUCCCACGAUAAAAGCACAUGACAACCUCUGCUUCCCUCUUCAAAGGGCCUAUCUUGUACUUUAUGCAAGAGUCAAGGAGAUCUUCACCCUUCCUUUUUAUUUUAUCCUUCGGCAAGCACCUCGUGUUGGAAAGAUCCAAUUGGAUGUUCAUUAGCAUGAACUGUUAUUGUUGACAUUACCCUUGAGGUAAAAUGUUGGGAGGCAACACUAUAAGCCCCUAUCUUUCUCGGUGUCCGAUUAAAACUCCAUAACCACAAGUAUUGCGUGAGUGUCAGCAAUUUUGAAAGACUAAAUGAUAGUUGAGUAUGUGGACUUGCUGAAAAGCUCUUAUGUUGAGUCUUUCCUAUGUUAUGAUAAAUUGCAGUUGAUUCAAUGACUGAGAUUAUAGUUUGUUAGUUCUCAAUGAAGUUUCUGAACCAUACUUGACAUUGUGAAGAGAUUGUUACUUGAGCAUAAGAAACCAUAUGACAAUAUAUAUAUAUAUAUAUGUUGUUGUUAUAAGAAUGAUCAUGAUGCCUGCAUGUCGGUAUUUUAUUUUUUAUCGACACCUCUAUCUCUAAACAUGUGGACAUAUUUUUCGAUAUCGGCUUCCGCUUGAGGUCAAGCGAGGUCUAAGCUUGGGAGAGUUGAUACGUCCAUUUUGCAUCAUGCUUUUAUAUCAAUAUUUAUUGCAUUAUGGACUGUUAUUACACGUUAUGUCAUAAUACUUAUGGCUAUUCUCUCUUAUUUUACAAGGUUUACAUAAAGAGGGAGAAUGCCGGCAGCUGGAAUUCUGGGCUGGAAAGGGAGCAAAUAUUAGAGACCUAUUAUGCACAGCUCCAAAAGUCCUGAAACUCCCCGAAAGUCAUUUUUGGGUUUAAUAAAAAAUACUGGCGAAGGAAUCAGCGUCAGGGGGCCCAUGCCCUGGUCACGAGGGUGGGGGGCGCGCCCCCUGCCUCGUGGGCCCCCUGACAGGCCUCCGGUGCCCAUCUUAUGCUAUAUGAGGUCUUUUACCCUGGGAAAAAUCAUAAGCAAGCUUACGGGACGAAACUCCGCCGCCACAAGGCGGAACCAAUCUAGGGCUCCAGCGGAGCUGUUCUGCCGGGGAAACUUCCCUCCGGGAGGGGGAAAUCAUCACCAUCAUCAUCACCAACGAUCCUCUCAUUCGGAGGGGGUCAAUCUCCAUCAACAUCUUCACCAGCACCAUCUCCUCUCAAACCCUAGUUCAUCUCUUGUAUCCAAUCUUUGUAUCAAAACCUUAGAUUGGUACAUGUUGGUUGCUAGUAGUGUUGAUUACUCCUUGUAGUUGAUGCUAGUUGGUUUAUUUGGUGGAAGAUCAUAUGUUUAGAUCCUUAAUGCACAUCAAUACCCCUCUGAUUAUCAACAUGAAUGUGAUUUGUGAGUAGUACGUUUGUUCCUGAGGACAUGGGAGAAGUCUUGCUAUAAGUAGUCAUGUGAAUUUGGUAUUCGUUCGAUAUUUUGAUAAGAUGUAUGUUAUCUAUCCUCUAGGGGUGUUAUGUGAACGUCGACUACAUGAAACUUCACCAUUGUUUGGGCCUAGAGGAAGGCAUUGGGAAGAAAUAGUAGAUGAUGGGUUGCUAGAGUGACAGAAGCUUAAACCCUAGUUUAUGUGUUGCUUCGUAAGGGGCUGAUUUGGAUCCACCUGUUUCAUGCUAUGGUUAGGUUUACCUCAAUACUCCUUUUGUAGUUGUGGAUGCUUGCAAUAGGGGUUACUCAUAAGUGGGAUGCUUGUCCAAGAAAGGGCAGUACCCAAGCACCGGUCCACCCACAUAUCAAAUUAUCAAAGUACCGAACGUGAAUCAUAUGAAUGUGAUGAAAACUAGCUUGACAGUAAUUCCCAUGUGUCCUUGGGAGCUCUUUUCUCACAUAAGAACUUGUCCAGGCUUGUCCUUUGCUAAAAAAGGAUUGAGCCACCUUGCUGCACCUUAUUUACUUUCAUUGCUUGUUACCCGUUACAAAUUAUCUUAUCACAAAACUAUCUGUUACCUACAAUUUUAGUGCUUGCAGAGAAUACCUUACUGAAAACCACUUGUCAUUUCCUUCUGCUCCUUAUUGGGUUCGACACUCUUACUUAUCUAAAGGACUACGAUAGAUCCCCUACACUUGUGGGUCAUAAGUAUGAUGAUACCGAUGAUCGAAUCUUGGGCAAGUAACAUAUCGAUGACAAAGGGAACAACGUAUGUUGUUGUGCGGUUUGACCGAUAAAGAUCUUCGUACAAUAUGUAGGAGCCAAUAUGAGCAUCCAGGUUCCGCUAUUGGUUAUUGAUCGGAUAUGUGUCUCGAUCAUGUCUACAUAGUUCUCGAAACCGUAGGGUCCGCACGAUUAACGUUCGAUGACGAUUUGUAUUACGAGUUAUGUGUUUUUUAUGACCGAAGUUUUUUCGAAGCCCCGGAUAAGAUCACGGACAUGACGAGGAGCCUCAAAAUGGUCAAGAGGUAAAGAUUGAUAUAUUGGAAGGUUAUAUACGAACACCGGAAUGAUUCCGAAGAAGAUCGGGAAUUUUUCGGAGUACCGGGAGGUUACCAGAACCCCCGGGAAAGUUAAUGGGCCUCAUGGGCCAUACUGGAGAGAGGGAAGGCCGCCAAAUGAGGUGGCGCGCGCCUCCCCCUGCCCAAACCGAAUAGGACUAGGGGUGGAGGCGACCCCCUUUCUUUCUCCCUCUUCCCCCUUUCCCCUCUCCGUUGGAAGGAAGGGGGGCGAAUCCUACUUGGACUAGGAGUCCAAGUAGGACUCCCCCCUUUGGCGCGCCCCUCCUAGGCCGCCGGCCUCCUCCUCCCCUCCAUUAUAUACGGGGGCAGGGGGCACCCUAAAGACACACCAAGAAUUCUCUUAGCCGUGUGCGGUGCCCCCUUCCACAGUUUACUCCUUCGGUCAUAGCAUCAUAGUGCUUAGGCGAAGCCCUGCGUGGAUCACAUCAUCAACACCGUCGCCACGCCAUGGUGCUGACGAAACUCUCCCUCGGCCCUCUACUGGAUCAAGAGUUCAAGGGACGUCAUCGAGCUGAACGUGUGCUGAACACGGAGGUGUCGUAUGUUCGAUACUUGGAUCGGUUGGAUCGUGAAGACGUUCGACUACAUCAACCGUGUUAACUAACGCUUCCGCUUUCGAUCUACGAGGGUACGUAGACACACUCUCCCCCUCUCGUUGCUAUGCAUCUCCUAGAUAGAUCUUGCGUGAUCGUAGGAAUUUUUUUGAAAUUCCAUGCUACGUUACCCACACUACUAGGAAAAGGCCUACUAAUGGCGCACCAGUUUUGCCUACUAAUGGCGCACUACUGGUGCGCCAUUAGUAUCACGCCACUAGUAUUUUUUACUAAUGGCGCACCAGUGGUUCGCCAUUAGUAUCUGGUAUACUAAUGGCGCACCACUGGUGCGCCAUUAGUAUAGGCCACGGUGCGCCAUUAGUAUAGGCCACUGGUGCACCAUUAGUAUAGGUCACGGUCCGCCAUUAGUAUUUUUGAAUUUUAAAGGCGGUAAAAUAGUAGUGGCGCACCGUCUAACCCCCACCGUGCGCCAUUGCUAUUUUUGAAUUUUGAAUUUGGAUCUGGAUCGCGAUUUUUUUGCCCAUUUUUUGCUCGUUUUUUUGCUCGUUUUUUUGCACGAUAUUAUUUCAAACUUUGUUCCCAUUUUUGGAUCUUGUACGUUCUUUUGACGUGUUCUUUUGCCGGAGAGGAGUUUGCCGGAGAGGAGUUCGCCGGAGAGGAGGAGGGAGGAGGUGACCGCAGAGGCGCUCGCCUACGUUGCCGGAGAGGAGGAGGACGUCGCCGGAGAGGAGUUCACCGGAGCAUCGGAGAGGAGGAAGGAGAAACCAUGAGGAGAUGGGAGGAGAGGAGGGAGGAGGAGCUCACCAGAGAGGAGGGAGGAGGAGCUCACCGGAGAGGACGGAGGAGGAUCUCACCGGAGAUGAGGGAGGAGGAUCUCACCGGAGAGGAGGAAGGAGAGAGGAGGAGAGGAGAGGAGGGAGGAGGAGGUCGCCGGAGAGGAGGAGGAGGAGGUCGCCGGAGAGGAGGAGGGCAGUAUGGUGGAGGAGAGAAGGGAAGAUGGAGUGGAGGAGUGGAGGAGAGGUGGAGUGGAGGAGAAAAAUGAAGAGGUAAGGAGGAGAGGACACGCCCAGCCAUAUAUACGGCAUAGUAAUGGCGCACCGUGGGCAGGUGCGCCAUUACUAUUUUUUUAUUUUUUUUAUUUUUUUUGAAUUUUGAAGGCGGGAAGAUACUAAUGGCGCACCAUGGGCAGGUGCGCCAUUAGUAACUUUUUUUUGAUUUAUUUUGAAUUUUGAAGGCGGGAAGAUAGUAAUGGCGCAUCAUGGGUAGGUGCGCCAUUAGUAAGUUUGAAUUUUUUUUGAAUUUUUUUGCCUCUCCAGAUCUUAAAAGCCCUGUAUCUUUUUUUCUGUUAGGUUUUUGAGGAUUUUGAAAUUGUUUAACGGGGUUCCCCCUAUUUUNNNNNNNNNNNNNNNNNNNNNNNNNNNNNNNNNNNNNNNNNNNNNNNNNNNNNNNNNNNNNNNNNNNNNNNNNNNNNNNNNNNNNNNNNNNNNNNNNNNNNNNNNNNNNNNNNNNNNNNNNNNNNNNNNNNNNNNNNNNNNNNNNNNNNNNNNNNNNNNNNNNNNNNNNNNNNNNNNNNNNNNNNNNNNNNNNNNNNNNNNNNNNNNNNNNNNNNNNNNNNNNNNNNNNNNNNNNNNNNNNNNNNNNNNNNNNNNNNNNNNNNNNNNNNNNNNNNNNNNNNNNNNNNNNNNNNNNNUUCUUUUUUGAAACUGAAAAGGCGGUCCACAGGGGGGGGGGUGCAUUCGGGGGAAUGUUUGGGCCAAAUUACUAAUGGCGCACCGUGGGAUGGUGCGCCAUUACUAGUUCAACUAGUAAUGGCGCACCACUCCCAGGUGCGCCAUUAGUAGUUUUAAAAAUAUUACUAAUGGCGCACCGUGGGAUGUGGUGCGCCAUUAGUAUUUGCACACUAAUGGCGCACCAACACAUGGUGCGCCAUUAGUAUUUAGUAAUGGCGCACCACAUGUACGGUGCGCCAUUAGUGUCCAUCCCAUCUAUAGCCCUUUUCCUAGUAGUGCCAACAAGAAGAAAUCAGGAGGAGGCACACCACAAGAAAUAUUGUAAAUGGUGGGGUUCCAUAGGACUGCGACCGCUCGGAUGAGGGCCGUAUAGCAUCGAUUUCAAGGCAUCUCAUCCACCUGAAUAAUUUUUAUAAAGGGGGUAGGUUGAAAUGUGAACAAUACAUCCUAGAGCGAAGCCAGAACAGAGCAUCUUCUCCCAUCUUCAUCAACCCUAGCCGCCGCUGUUUCUAUCUCCAUAGCCACCAUCACCACUAUAGUGCUUCCUCAUCUAGAUCAUACUUGUAAUCGUGCAUUGCACUUGGCAUCCAUUAUAAGACAUAUCAGCAAUGAGUCAAUCUCCAUGAUGUGUUCUUCAAUGUGUUCUUCAUGUGAUCUGAUCUCGAUGUGCGAGUAGUUCGUUAUGGUAUGGGUUGAGGCAUCGGCCUUGCAACCCUCUGUAUUUGUUGUGGGGAUCAAUGGAAGUGCUUUAAAUUAACAUCCUGUAUGUGUGAAAUAAAAUUAUUCCAUACAUGUCUCCUGUCUCAUCGGCGUUCUUCAUCCUUGCAGAUACCUAGGAUCAUGGAGAGCGAGCCAUAGAGAGGAUAAGGGCAGGCAGACCGUGAAGUGUUAUUCUGAACACCAGUGAAAGAAGGGUUUAGCUUGGUAACACGGAUCCAAUCCUUGGGGAUUCAAGAGGUGUAGUCAAUAAACUCCCAAAGUUCUUGUCUGAUUAUUAUAAUCUUAAUUAUCGAGGCAACCCCGCGCGAUGGAUAGGGCCUUCGGUUGGACAACUGAUUCUUGAUGCAGGAUGCGUGCCGGUCAAGAUGUUAUUUGGACACAUCCCCAGUAAGGUUUGCGACAAGCACAUCUCUAUGGAUGCCUUACAACGCACAAAUUAAGAUCAUAUCUGGCCCCAACACAAAUGCAUGGUUAUAAGAGUUAAGACGUCAUACCCAUAUGUCUAUUUUAUUAUAAGUUUAUUCCAAUAUGCUUGGUUUGAUCCAGUCAAAAGCUGAAAUUAAUCCUUUGACAAAACCUUGCUAGAGACCAUCGCUUCAAGGGAGCCUUCCUCUCGCGGGUUCGAUAACCCAGGGUCACUUCUUGGGAAAUAGGUGUGGGGUACUUUCUGUUCCGUUAUCGAUCACUAAAGGGAGGUAUCAAACACUCCUCCCCUCCACUCUCGCAGCCAUGGAAACUUUUUUUCUGCCAGACACUACCGAUGUACGCUUAGUGUACCUUCGAACUGCACCUUGCCCUUCACAUGUUCGACACAUUGUCCCACUAGUUUUUUGUGACUAUUUUGUAGGCAAAAUGACUAAUUCAGACGGUUCUUGGACGAGGAGUAUGGAUCCAUGGAGCUUGAUGGAUUUAUUCAAAGGAGUUCUCGGAGUCGUCGGAUUCGAACAAAGAAGCGAGAUGAUGAUGAUCAUGAGCAUCCAAUAGAAAAUGGACUAAGAGGCGAGCACAGUCUGAACUUCAAGGGCUUGAUUAAAGGGAGAAGAGUCUGAACUGGGGUAGGACUACUUUGCUCCUGAACCAGCUUUCCCUGAUGAAUGGUUUCAUCAACAUUUCCGUAUGCACAAACCAUUGUUCUUGCGUGUGGUGGAGGGAGUGGAGUCACACAAUCCCUAUCAAGCACACCACAGAUUGUUGCGGACAACUCUUGUUCUCUCCUAAGAAAAAAUGCACGACAUUUAUGAGGAUGCUUGUACUUGGUACCGCUGUCGAUGCCAAUGGUGAGACAGUCUGGAUGAGGGAGAGCACAUGAAAGACCAUUGUGAAGUUUUCCUGCACCAUAGUGGAGGUGUCUGGAGCAAAGUAUCUAAGAGAACCAAAUGUGUAUGAUACAAAAAGGUUGUUGGCUAUUGGAGAGGUAAAAUGUUUUCUAGGUAUGCUCGGUUCAAUUGUUUGCAUGCAUUGGCAAUGGAAGAACUGCCCCCAAAAGUUUGCGCCAGAUGUAUCAUGGUCACACCAAAGAGGCCAUCAUCAUACUAGAAGCAGUCGCAUCGCAUGCCUUCUGGAUUUGGCAUGCUUUCUUUGGAAUGUCUGGUUCUCACAACGACAUCAAUGUGCUUCUGCAAUCUCCCAUGUUCAGGAGACUUUGCAAUGGGGAACCGCCGUCGUGCAACUACACCAUCAACGAAUGAGAUUACAAUAUGGGUACGUUGCCAAUGUUAUAUAUCCUCAAUGGGCGGCCUUUGUGAAUAUCGUAUUGAUACUUCUCCAACGUAUCUAUAAUUUUUGAUUGUACCAUGCUAUUAUAUUAUCUAUUUUGGAUGUUUAAUAGGCAUUUAUAUGCUAUUUUAUAUUAUUGCUGGGACUAACCUAUUAAGCGAGAGCCCAAUGCCAGUUUUUGUUUUUUUCCUAUUUUAGAGUUUCGCAGAAAAGGAAUACCAAACGGAGUCCAAACAGAAUGAAACUUUCGCGAUGACCUUUCUUGGACCAGAAGCAAACCAGAAGACUUGGAGAUGAAGUCGGAGACGCAAUGAGGCGGCCAUGAGGGUGGAGGGCACGCCCGAGGGUAGGGCGUGCCCCCUACCUCAUGGGCCCCUUGUGGGUCUCCUGACCUAGUUUCUUCGCCUAUAUAUACUCUUAUACCCUGAAAACAUCUAGGGGAACCACGAAACCACUUUUCCACCACCGCAACCUUCUGUACCUGUGACAUCCCAGCUAGGAGCCUUUUCUGGCAUCCUUCCGGAGGGGGAUUCGAUCAUGGACCGCUUCUACAUCAACACCAUUACCUCUCCGAUGAAGCGUGAGUAGUUUACCACAGACCUACGGGUCCAUAGCUAGUAGCUAGAUGGCUUCUUAUCUCUCUUUGAUUCUCAAUACCAUGUUCUCCUCGAUGUUCUUGGAGAUCUAUUUGAUGUAAUAUUCUUUUGCGGUGUGUUUGCCGAGAUCCGAUGAAUUGUGGAUUUAUGAUCAGAUUAUCUGUGAAUACUAUUUGGUUCUUCUCUGAAUUCUUAUAUGCAUGAUUUGAUAUCUUUGUAAUUCUCUUCGAAUUAUCGGUCUAGUUUGGCCUACUAGAUUGAUCUUUCUUGCAAUGGGAGAAGUGCUUAGCUUUGGGUUCAAUCUUGCGGUGUCCUUUCCCAGUGACAGUAGGGGUAGCAAGGCAUGUAUUGUAUUGUUGCCAUCGAGGAUAAAAAGAUGGGGUUUUCAUCAUAUUGCUUGAGUUAAUUUCUCUAUAUCAUGUCAUAUUACUUAGUGUGUUACUCCAUUCUUUAUGAACUUAAUACUCUAGAUGCAUGCUAGAUAGCGGUUGAUGUGUGGAGUAAUAGUAGUAGAUGCGGAAUCGUUUCGGUCUACUUGACACGGAUGUGUGCCUAUAUUCAUGAUCAUUGCCUUAGAUAUUGUCAUAACUUUGUGUUUUUCUAUCAAUUGCUCGGCGGUAAUUUGUUCACCCACCAUAAUAUUUGCUAUCCUGAGAGAAGCCACUAGUGAAACCUAUGGCCCCCGGGUCUAUUUUACAUCAUAUUAGUUUCCCAUCAACUUGCCAAUUUCUGUAGCCAUUCCUUAUUUCACAAUCUUUUCUUUCCAAUCUAUAAACCAAAAAUACCAAAAAUAUUUACUUUGCCGUUUAUCUAUCUCUAUCAGAUUUCACUUUUGCAAGUAACCAUGAAGGGUUGACAACCCCUUUAUCUGCAAGUUGUUGAUUGUUUGUGCAGGUAUUCGGUGACUUGUGCGUUGUCUCCUACUGGAUUGGUACCUUGGUUCUCAAACUGAGGGAAAUACUUCUGCUAGUUUACUGCAUCAUCCUUUCAUCUUCAAGGGAAAAACAAAUGCAAGCUCAAGAGGUAGCACAUACCUGAUCCCAAAGGCAACAAACAAAGCCACUUUGCAACAACACAAGAAGCAGCUAGGAAGGAUAUGGAGAGGGCAUUACAAGAUUGUUUGGGAAUUGUUUGUGAAAAUGCAAUGAUGUGAUAAUCAGAGACUUUGUGGCAGCUAAUGACAUGUGUCAUUUUGCACAAUAUGAUUGUUGAGGACGUAGGUGACGGGGCAGCCCGAACCAAUGAUUUUGAGAAGUCUGGAGAACAAGUCCACAUCCCAGAACAAUAGAAUGCAAAUUAGCUUAUCAUUUUUCUGCACAUGCAUCCGAAUCUUUGAGAUUAUCAGGUGAACGCAUAGCUACUCGGUGAUCUUGUGUAGCACAUGUGGACCCACAGUGAAAACCAAACAGCUAACGUUUAAAUUGUGCGCUCGAAAUACAUUUAAUGUUUGAACUAUGUAUUUUCAAUAGCAACAAAUGUUACUUAUGUUAUGAUGGACGUGCAUGGAUUUGACUGAAUUUGAGGGUCCUGAUUGAGGAGUGUGGAUUGCCAAAACGCCAUUCGAGGGGCGUCUAGUGUGGUCCGUGGGCACGCCUGCACGUCCGCAGACUUGUAGGGGGGAAGUUUGGUAAGUCACGCUACUCUUAGCGGCAUCUAUGGUAGACUGGCGGCCCAAGAUGAUGUGAAUUGAUGGACUAUGGUACAUAAUCUUUUUCCUGUUGCUAAAACAAGUAGGGGGGAAAUGCUCCUCAGAUAAAACAGUUUCCAUCUUUUUUGAGGAGAAAAAAUAAUUUCCUUAUCAAUUACAUGAAUGAUAAGGUGUGCAAGAAGGAUGUCACACAACGUGCAAGCGCGAGUUGGGGUGGGGGUUGAGCUGGGCGGGUUUACACUGGCAAGAUGGAUGAGCUGCCAUGGUUUCUAUACUUCUUUUCCUAGAUUUUUUUCUAGGUUUAUCUAGCUUUGGGAUUUGUACAACUCUCAUUAGCGCCUUAAUCAAGCUCCUGAUACGUCUCCAACAUAUUUAUAAUUUAUGAAGUGUUCAUGCCAUGUUUACAACAAUUUUAUAUGGCUUUGGUAUGAUUUGAACAGAACUAAACCAGACUGACGUUGUUUUUAGCAGAACUACCGUGGUGUUGUUUUUUGUGCAGAAAUAAAAGUUCUCGGAUCGACCCCAAAAAAAAUUUAUGAUUUUUUUUGGAACAAAGAGACCCCCAAACUUCGUGGGAGGACCAGAAAAGCCACGAGGCGGUGAUAAGGAACCUGGGUGUGCCCUUGGGGGUGAUGGUACCCAAGUGCCUCGUCGGCCCCUUGUAACUCCUUUUCGCAUGAUUCCGACAUUGAAAAUUCCUAUAAAUAGAGAAACUCCUAGAAAUAAACCUAGAACUUUGACUCAGCCACCGCAAGGCUCUGUACGAAAGCAAUCCCAUCUGGAGCCCUAUUACGACACCCUGACGGAGGGGAAAAUCAUCACCGGAGGCCAUCUUCAUCAUCCCGACGGUCUCCAUGAUGAGGAGGGAGUAGUUCACUCUCGGGGCUGACAGUAUGUAUCAGGAGCUAUGUGUUUGAUCUCUCUCUCUCUCUCUCUCUCUCUCUCUCUCUCUCUAUCAUGUUCUUGAUUUGACACGAUCUUGAUGUACCACGAUCAUUGUUAAUAUAGUUGGACCAUAUGAUGGUUUCCCCUCUCUAUCUUGUUGUGAUGAAUGGAGUCUUUCCCUUUGAGGUUUCACUAUUAUUGGAUCGAGUAUUUUGGAAUUGAGAACACUAGAUGUAUGUCUUGCAUGUGGAUACCCGUGGUGACAAUGGGGUGUUCUAUUGAUUCACUUGAUAUAUGUUUUGGCAAUCAACUUUCGGAUUCCCACGGUGACAUUGGGGUAAUCUAGGCAUAGAGGUUGAUGCACAUCUUCGUCCUACUUUAUCUGGUAGAAACUUUGGGGUACUCUUUGAAGUUCUUUGUGUUGGAUUGAAUAUUAUGAAUCUAAAGUUGUUUGAUGCAUAUAUAUCGUAUAAUUGACUCACAGAUACUUGUGGUGGCAUUGGAGUAUCUAGGUGACAUUAGUGUUGAUUGAUGUGUAUCAUAUUGUGUUAUUUUAGUACGAAUUCUAGGGCUGUUUGUGACACUUAUAGGAAUAACUCAAUAGAUUGAUCUGAAAUUAUAACUUUGAGGUGGAUUCCUACCUACAAAAAUGCCGUAUGUUCUCUGCUUGAUAAGAACUUUGGAGUGAUUCUUUUUCGCACGUUGAGGGAUUGUUGUAUAAUUCAAUUAUGUUAGCAAUGUUGAGAGUUUGCAUUAGUGAAUGAACCCUAGGCCUUGUUUUCAAGCAUCACAAUACCGUUUGUACUCACUUUUGUUACUUGCUACCUUGUUGUUUUCAUAUUUUUCAAAUUACAAAAAACUUGUAUCUACUAUCCAUACUACACUUGUAUUACCAUCUCUUCGCCGAACUAGUGCACCUAUACAAUUUUACAUUGUAUUGGGUGUGUUGGGGACACAAGAGAUUUCUUGUAUUUUGUUGCAGGGUUGUUUGAGAGAGACCAUCUUCAUCCUACGCCUCCCACGGAUUGAUAAACCUUAUGUCACCAUGUUCCAGAGCAACUUCGGCUGAGAUGCAGGAGGAGCAAAGUUUCAGCUGUGUACAUUAACCAAUGCUACUAGUACCACUACCAUCUAUCUCCUUCAGAAUGUGUGCGUGUUCAGGUCAGUUAAGCCACAAGAAUGUGUAAGGCAACUAGGUGAACUUGGGCGGCUCUCGCCGCUCGCCGAGCAUGUGCUCAAGCAUCCACAGGCGGCGACAAGAGGUGAUCGAUCGGUCGAGUGAAAUUCUUUAGUUUAUUCGUAUGCUUUGUUGUAGUUUUGUUAUCUUCUCUUCUCCUGCAAAGUUGUAGGUGUGUGUUGGGCGUCCAUGGUGAUGGUGUCGCUUGUAAUGUUGGGGUGGCAACUUCACCUUUUCUAGCAUUUCCACAAGUUCUGGGUCUUGUAAAUUCCAAGUCUCAAUAAAGGGAAC